rnacentral:lncRNA from 1 species
GAAUACUUCAUCUAUUUCCCAUCUUUCAUCCAUAAACAUAUCAUUCUCAUGGUCUAGCAAAUAUUGUUCUAAAGGAUCAUUAGGAGGCACAGCAAUAGAAGCAAGACCAAUAAUUUCAUAUUUACUAGGCAAUUCUUCAUCACAGGGUUGUCUACGAAAUUUAGCAAAAUUAAACUCAUGAGACAUAUCACCCAAAACAAUAGUAACAACAUCCUUUUCGUAGUCUAUCUUGGCAUUAACAGUAUUCAAGAAGGGUCUGCCAAUUAUAAUGGGGCAAAAGCUAUCUUGUGGGGAACCAAGAACAAGAAAAUCAGCAGGAUAUUUAACUUUCCCACACAAGACUUCAACAUCUCUAACAAUCCCAAUUGGUGAAAUAGUAUCUCUAUUGGCAAGCUUAAUUGUAACAUCAAUCUCUUCUAUCUCAGCAGGUGCAAUAUCAUGCAUAAUUUCUUUGUAUAAGGAAUGAGGUAUUGCACUAGCACUAGCACCCAUAUCACAUAAGCCAUGAUAACAAUGAUCUGCUAUUUUAACAGAAAUAACAAGCAUGCCUACAACAGGCCUAUGUUUAUUUUUAGCAUCAGGUCUAGCAAUUCUAGCAGCUUCAUCACAAAAGUAAAUAACAUGCCCAUCAAUAUUAUCAGCCAAGAGAUCUUUAACCAUAGCAAUAUUAGGUUCAACUUUAAUUUGCUCAUGGGGUUUGUGUGUCCUAAUAUUACUUUUGUUGACUACAGUUGAAGCUUUAGCAUGAUCCUUAAUUCUAACAGGGAAAGGUGGUUUCUCAACAUAAGUAGUGGGAACAACAGAUCAUCAUAAGUGAUAGUUUUUCUUCAACUUUAAUAGGUGCAACUACUUUUGUUUCAAUGGGAGGAUUAUAUUUAAACCACUUCUCCUUAAGGAGAUCAACAUGAGUAGCAAAGGAUUCACAGAAAGAAGCUACUAUCUCAGAGUCAAGUCCAUAUUUAGUGCUAAAUUUACGGAAAACAUCGGUAUCCAUAAAAGAUUUAACACAAUCAAACUUAGGUGUUAUACCUGACUCCUUACCUUCGUCGAGAUCCCAAUCUUCAGAGUUGCGUUUAAUUCUCUCCAAUAAAUUCCAUUUGAAUUCAAUAGUCUUCGUCAUAAAGGAACCAAUACAAGAAGUAUCGAGCAUGGAGUGAUUGUUGUCACAAAGCCGAGCAUAAAAAUUUUGAAUAAUCAUUUCUCUUGAGAGAUCAUGAUUGGGGCAUGAAUAUAACAUUGACUUAAGCCUCCCCCAAGCUUGAGCGAUGCUUUCUCCUUCGCGAGGCCAAAAAUUAUAUAUAUAUAUAUAUAAUUACGAUCACGAUGAACAAGAUGCAUAGGAUAAAACUUCUGAUGGAAUUCCAAUUUCAACCGUUUGUAGUCCCAUGAUCCCAUAUCAUCACAUAGCCUAUACCAUGUCAAUGCAUCUCCCUUCAAAGAUAAAGGGAAGACCUUCUUCUUGAUAACAUCAUCGGGCAUACCUGUAAGCUUAAAUAAUCCACAAACUUCAUCCACAUAGAUUAAGUGUAAGUCGGGAUGCAAUGUUCCAUCUCCUGCAAAAGGAUUAGCUAGCAGUUUCUCUAUCAUACCCGAAGGAAUUUCGAAGUAAACAUUUUCAUUUUCAGUAGGUCCAGUUGGUUGAGGAGCAACUAUUUGCUCUACCGGUCAGGGUGAAGAUACCCCGAACAAGCCCCUCAAAGGAUUGCUUUCCAUAGUAACAAGUGACAAUAAAUUUCACCACACUAUAUAAUUUUUUCCUUACCAAAUUCAACCUACCAAAGGCGCUUCACUCCCUGGCAAUGGCGCCAGAAAAGAGUCUUGAUGACCCACAAGUAUAGGGGAUCUAUCGUAGUCCUUUCGAUAAGUAAGUGUGUCGAACCCAACGAGGAGCAGAAGGAAAUGAUAAGCGGUUUUCAGCAAGGUAUUCUCUGCAAGCACUGAAAUUAUCGGUAACAGACAGUUUUGUGAUAAGGUAAUUUGUAACGAGUAGCAAGUAAUAAAAGUAAAUAAGGUGCAGCAAGAUGGCCCAAUCCUUUUUGUAGCAAAGGACAAGCCUGGACAAACUCUUAUAUGAAGUAAAGCGCUCCCGAGGACACAUGGGAAUUAUCGUCAAGCUAGUUUUCAUCACGUUCAUAUGAUUCGCGUUCGGUACUUUGAUAAUUUGAUAUGUGGGUGGACCGGUGCUUGGGUGUUGUCCUUACUUGCAAAAACAUCCCACUUAUGAUUAACCCCUAUUGCAAGCAUCCGCAACUACAACAAAAGUAUUAAGGUAAACCUAACCAUAGAAUGAAACAUAUGGAUCCAAAUCAGCCCCUCACGAAGCAACACAUAAUCUAGGGUUUAAGCUUCUGUCACCCUAGAAACCCAUAAUCUACUUAUUACUUCCCAAUGCCUCCCUCUAGGCCCAAACAAUGGUGAAGUGUCAUGUAGUCGACGUUCACAUGACACCAUUAGAGGGAUGACAACAUACAUCUCAUCAAAAUAUCAAACGAAUACCAAAUUCACAUGACUACUAAUAGCAAGACUUCUCCCAUGUCCUCAGGAACAAACGUAACUACUCACUUAGCAUAUUCAUGUUCAUAAUCAUAGGGGUAUUAAUAUGCAUAAUGGAUCUAAACAUAUAAUCUUCCACCAAGUAAACCAACUACCAUCAACUACAAGGAGUAAUCAACACUACUAGCAACCCACAGGUACCAAUCUGAGGUUUGGAUACAAAGAUUGGAUACAAGAGAUGAACUAGGGUUUGAGAUGAGAUGGUGCUGGAGAAGAUGUUGAUGGAUAUUGACCCCCUCCCGAUGAGAGGAUCGUUGGUGAUGACGAUGGUGAUGAUUUCCCCCUCCCGGAGGGAAGUUUCCCUGGCAGAACAGCUCCGCGGGAGCCCUAGAUUGGUUCCGCCUCGUGGUGGCGGAGUCUCGUCCCGAAAGCUUGCUUAUGAUUUUUUUUCCUUGACGAAAGACUCCAUAUAGCAGAAGAUGGGCAUCGGAGGGCCACCAGGGGGCCACGGGGUAGGGCGCGCCCCCACCCUCGUGGCUGGUAGGUGGCCCCCCUCUGGUACUUCUUGUGCUCGGUAUUUUUUAUAUAUUCUGGAAAUAACUUCUAUGAUGUUUCAGGACUUUUGGAGCUGUGCAAAAUAGGUCUCUAAUAUUUUGCUCCUUUUCCAGCCCAGAAUCCCAGCUGCCGGCAUUCUCCCUCUUUAUGUAAACCUUGUAAAAUAAGAGAGAAUAGGCAUACGUAUUGUGACAUAAUGUGUAAUAGCAUCCCAUAAUGCAAUAAAUAUCGAUAUAAAAGCAUGAUGCAAAAUGGACGUAUCAAAUUGUAAUUGUUUGAUGACUAAUAACACGGUUUGUUAGUUUCCAAGAAAGUUUAUGAUCUAUACUUUAACAUGUGAAUAGCUUGUUACUUGAUCAUGAGAAGUCCUUUGAGUUGAGUUACUGUUAUGAUAUAAAAUGGUGCUAGAAAAGGUGAUUGAAAUUAUCAUUGAUCAAACUUGUGCACCUGCUAGCAUUCACACUUCAUAAAUUAUUUCUUUUAUCAUUUACCUACUCGAGGACGAGUAGGAAUUAAGCUUGGGGAUGCUGAUACGUCUCCAAUGUAUCUAUAAUUUAUGAAGUAUUCAUGCUAUUAUAUUAUCUGUUUUAGAUGUUUAUGGGAUUUACUAAACACUUUUAUAUUAUUUUUGGGACUAACCUAUUAACCGGAGGCCCAUCCCAAAUUGUUGUUUUCUUGCCUAUUUCAGUGUUUCGAAGAAAAGGAAUAUAAACGGAGUCCAAACGGAAUGAAAACUUUGGGAGAGUUAUUUUUGGAACGGAAGCAAUCCAGGAGACUUGGAGUAGACGUCGGGGAAGCUUCGAGGAAGCCACGAGGCAGGGAGGCACGCCCUACCCCCUGGGCGUGCCACACCCUCAUGGGCCCCUCGUGGCUCCACUGACCGACUUCUUUCGCCUAUAUAUGUCCAUAUACCCUAAAAACAUCGAGGAGCACAAUAGAUCAGGAGUUCCGCCGCCAGAAGCCUCUGUAGCCAUCGAAAACCAAUAUAGACCCAUUUCGGCACCCUGCCGGAGGGGGGAUCCCUCUCUGGUGGCCAUAUUCAUCAUACCGGUGCUCUCCAUGACUAGGAGGGAGUAGUUCACCCAUGGGGAUGAGGGUAUGUACCAGUAGCUAUGUGUUUGCUCUCUUUCUCUCUCUCGUGUUCUUGAGUCGGCACGAUCUUGAUGUGUCGCGAGCUUUGCUAUUAUAUUUGGAUCUUAUGAUGUUUCUUCCCCUCUACUCUCUUGUAAUGGAUUGAGUUUUCCCUUUGAAGUUAUCUUAUCGGAUUGAGUCUUUAAGGAUUUGAGAACACUUGAUGUAUGUCUUGAAUGUGCUUAUCUGUGGUGACAAUGGGAUAUCACGUGAUCCACUUGAUGUAUGUUUUGGUGAUCAACUUGCAGGUUCCGCUCGUGAACUUAUGCAUAGGGUUUGGCACACGUUUUCAUCUUGACUCUCCAGUAGAAACUUUGGGGCACUCUUUGAAGUACUUUGUGUUGGUUGAAUAGAUGAAUCUGAGAUUGUGUGAUGCAUAUAGUAUAAUCAUACCCAUGGAUACUUGAGGUGACAUUGGAGUAUCUAGGUGACAUUAGGGUUUUGGUUGAUAUGUGUCUUAAGGUGUUAUUCUAGUAUGAACUCUUGAAUAUAUCGAUCCGAAAGAAUAACUUUGAGGUGGUUUCGUACCCUACAAUAAUAUCUUCGUUUGUUCUCCGCUAUUAGUGACUGAGGGAGUCCUGGAUUAGGGGGUCUCCGGACAGCCGGAUUAUAUCCUUUGGCCGGACUAUUGGACUAUGAAGAUACAAGAUUGAAGACUUCGUCUCAUGUCUGGAUGGGAAUCUACUUGGCGUGGAAGGCAAGCUAGGCAAUACGGAUAUGUAUAUCUCCUCCUUUGUAACCGACCAUGUGUAACCCUAGCCCCCUCCGGUGUCUAUAUAAACCGGAGGAUUUUAGCCCGUAGGACAACAUACAAUCAUACCAUAGGCUAGCUUCUAGGGUUUAGCCUCUCUGAUCUCGUGGUAGAUCUACUCUUGUACUACCCAUACCAUUAAUAUUAAUGAAGCAGGACGUAGGGUUUUACCUCCAUCAAGAGGGCCCGAACCUGGGUAAAACAUCGUGUUCCCUGCCUCCUGUUACCAUCCGCCUUAGACGCACAGUUCGGGACCCCCUACCCGAGAUCCACCGGUUUUGACACCGACAUUGGUGCUUUCAUUGGGAGUUCCUCUGUGUCGUCGCCGUUAGGCUUGAUGGCUCCUACUAUCAUCGAUAGCGAUGCAGUCCAGGGUGAGACUUUUCUCCCCGGACAGAUCUUUGUGUUCGGCGGCUUCGCACUGCGGGCCAACUCGCUUGGCCAUCUGGAGCAGAUCGAAAGUUAUGCCCCUGGCCACCAGGUCAGGUUUGGAAGCUUAAACUGCACGGCCGAUAUCCGCGGAGACUUGAUCUUCGACGGAUUCGAGCCCCUGCCUUGUGCGUCACGCGGUCACAAUGAGUACGAUUUAGUUCUGCCAUCGGACAGUGUUCAAGAAAUCACACCGGCAGCCGCUCUGACCCUUAAUUCGGAGCCAGUUGCGCCUCCCAUGGACGGGUGGAUAGACCCCGCCACAGAGGCCGCAUCCCCAAGGGCGAUCGAGCCGAAUAUCGAUCUUACCCUUCACGAGAGCCAUGUUGUUAAACUGCCGGAUACUUCUCCGGCCACGGACUCCGAACCGCCUGCGCCCGUUCCUAUCGAAUCCGGUUGGGCGCCAAUCAUGGAGUUUACCUCCGGGGAUAUCUUUCAGCACUCGCCCUUCGGUGACAUACUGAAUUCAUUAAAGUCUCUCUCCUUAUCAGGAGAGUCCUGGCCGAAAUAUGUCCGACAGGAUUGGGAUGUGGAUGACGAAGAAAUUCGCCGCCCACCCACCACCCACUUAGUAGCCAUUGUUGAUGACUUAACUGACAUGCUCGACUCCGACUCCGAAGACAUCCACGGUAUGGACGAUGAUGCAGGAGACGAACAGGAACCACUACCCACAGGGCACUAGACGCCCACUUCAUCACAUGACGUAUACAUGGUGGACACACCAAAAGAAUACGACGACGAGGACGCAACGAAGGGUUGUUCCCUCGAGAAGCAGUCAAAGUGGUGACGUAAGCGCCGCUCCAAAUCCCUCCUUGGCAGAAACAACGAUCAUAUAGACCCAGCAUUAGAGCAGGGUGAACCAUCGCCGGACCACGGCAACACGGAGAAUCACCAAACAACCCGACUCUGUCAAAGAUAAUAGUCCGGACGACAUCACACCGGACAGACACCCGGAGCAACAAAAUGCCCAUCAAAGGCUCGUUGCCACCGCGAGGAGUCUAAAAAAGCAGAAGCAAAGGCUCAAGGUUGCGCAAGACACACUCAGAAUUAGAUGGAGUAAAGUGCUCAACACAGCAGCGAAGUACAGCGGUAAUCACCCAACCAAGAGCUACCCGAAGCGGAAGUUGCUACCCGAAUUCGAUGAGGAGGCCUUAGAUCCCCCGCAACCAAAAAUUAAAACGACCAUCUGGCCGGAUAGACGACCUCACGGCCAACAUAGAGCGGCAAACAACACCACACGUAAGCCAAUACGCGAUCCACGCGAGGGCUCGCAUCAAAAGGACGGCGCAACCAGAUCCAUCUAUGGACCACGCAAGCGCGCUCCAGCAUACGAUGCAACACAACAAACAUCCGAACAACGCGGUACACCCAGAUACAGGCGUGCCGCACACCCCCUAUGUUUCACCGACGAGGUGCUGGACCAUGAAUUUCCAGAGGGACCCGUAAACAUAGAGGCAUACGACGGAACAACAGACCCAGGGGUCUGGAUUGAGGACUAUAUCCUCCAUAUCCAUAUGUCUCGAGGAGAUGAUCUCCACGCCAUUGAGUAUUUACCCCUCAAACUCAAAGGGCCAGCUCGGCACUGGCUUAAAAGCCUCCCCGAAUGCUCCAUUGGAAGCUGGGAAGAGCUCGAAGAUGCUUUUCGGUCAAAUUUUCAAGGGACUUAUGUCUGACCUCCGCACGCCGACGAUUUGAGCCAUAUAACUCAACAGCCCGGAGAGUCAGCCCGAAAGCUUUGGAACAUGUUUCUUACUAAAAAGAACCAAAUAGUCGACUGUCCAGACGCCGAAGCCUUGGCAGCUUUUAAGCAUAGCAUCCGCGACGAAUGGCUUGCCAGACAUCUCGGCCAAGAAAAGCCGAGAACAAUGGCAGCAUUAACAAGCCUCAUGACCCGCUUUUGCGCGGGUGAGGACAGCUGGCUAGCCAGAUGCAGCACGAGCGACCCAAGUACAUCUGAAGUUAGAGAUGGAAAUGGGAAAUCAUGACGUAGCAAAAAUAAUACGCGCCGGAAUAAAGAAGACAGCCCGAAGAGCAUGGCAGUAAACGCCGGAUUCAGAAGCUCUCGGCCAGGUCAGCAAAGGCCGCCCUCUAAAGGCAGCAGAGACGAACUGUCCAGCUUAAACAAAAUUCUGGACCAAAUAUGUCAGAUCCAUAGCACCCCUAGUAAACCCGCUAAUCAUACCCACAGAGAAUGUUGGAUCUUCAAGCAGUCCGGCAAGCUCAACGCCGUACACAAGGGGGAGGAUACACCAAGCGAAGACAAGGAUGAGCCUCUCAAGCAAGACACUAGGGAACAAAAGAAAUUUCCACUAGAAAUCAAAACAGUAAACGUGUUACACGUGAUCAAGGGGAGAAACAAAGCGGCACUCCUAGAGAAAUACACCCAAGGGCCUAUCACCGCGGAGUCCUGCCACUGGUCGUCCCAACCGAUCACUUUUGACCAUCGGGAUUACUCAGCAACUAUCCGGCACGCAGGAUGGGCUGCCUUGGUAUUAGACCCAAUAAUUGACGGAUACCUCUUCACACGAGUCCUGAUGGACGGUGGCAGCAGUCUAAACUUGAUAUAUCAGGACACAAUCCGCAAAAUGGGGAUAGACCCAACGAAAAUUUGCCACAACAAUACUACCUUUAAAGGAGUAAUGACAGGCCCAGGGGCUCAUUGCAUGGGCUCCCUGCUACUAGGGGUUAUAUUCGGCUUCCCCGAUAACCUCCGUAGCAAAAAUUUAACCUUCCACAUUGCUCCGUUCCAAAGUGGCUAUCAAGCACUACUUGGACGCGAAGCUUUUGCUUGCUUUAAUGCAAUACCGCAUUAUGCUUCCCUCACGCUUAAGAUGCCCGGUCCACGUGGCAUCAUUACAGUGAAUGGAAAUAUUGAGCGAUCCUUGCACGCCGAAGAGAGUGCGACUGCCUGGGCAGCCGCACACUAAGAACGGCCUCACCAACUAAAGCAUUUGAUAGGUCGUCAAGACCACGGACACGGUUAAACGAGUCCGGCGCAGCUACAUGUAAUUCAUACAGGUUGAUGGCCACACCCCUAUUACAAAUAUAAGGGGCUCGACGCGCGCAGACAAGUGGCAAUUUUUACACAUCUUGAAUUGUACAUGGUUUCUUUAAACCUACCUUUUCGCACGACAACUUUUCACCUAAGUUCCUCUCUUUUACAGAUGACCAUCGUGCUACACCCGUCCAGGAUACGACACAACAGAGACAAGAGAGCAAACAUGCAGCAGGGACCCGUUCCAAGGAUUCUUUUUAGAUUAAGACCCUGCGUAAACCUUUUUUACUGUCUCUUGUUGGUACACAUCCCUCGGAUUCUCAGUACAAUUGUGAAGGAUGCUGAUGUCUUGGCAUGUGGCCACGUCAGAAUCAUGCACGUACCUGGACACCAGGGGCUUCUUACAAAGGGCACUGUUUAGGCCCGGUUUAUACCAUAAAGACCGAAUACCUUAGGGAGUGUUCGGCGUUGCGAGUUUGGCCUUGUAUGCAUCAACUCCGAAUCAUGUCUUUGGUCAAAUGGUGGGUUUGCCCGGCUCCUGUGUUUUGCUGCCUUACGUUCCGCUCUAUCGGCUAAGGCGGCACCAGGAGAACUACUGCGAUUGUGCCGCGGUUCAUCCGGACGAGCACCUCGGUAGAGAAAGCCAAAAACUGACUGUCAUGAUAUAGCGUGAGACUGGUCAACCACUCGAUGACCUAUCGGAAUGUUAGAAUUCCUCCGCCUUAACGAAGGGCCGUUUCCCGGCCAGGCAUGUACGCACCCCGAAUUCGGGAGAGUGCGGAGCCACCAGGGGCUAUAUAGUAGCCCCACUGUCAAACUCCUAUGGCUAAGUGAAAGUGUUAAAGCAUUAUAGUCUGGUUGCCUAGUUCGCUGCGCCAUCACCUCCUUAUUAGGACCAAGACGUCGGAUUAAGUGUGAAUACGCAUCUUCUGCGAACACCCCCGCAUUAUAUGUGUGGGGGCUGAAGCCGACGACUGCAAUCUUUCAGGUUAUACAAAUGUAUACAUAAAUGGCCGCACAGGAGGCAUCAUAUUACUUUCGGGCAAAAGUAUAAAUACAGCCUUAAUAAAUUUCAUAAAAACAUUGUGUUUACAAUGGGAAUACAUGUCACUCAAACAUAAUAUUCUUCAAGCACUGGGCCUCUAACAAACGAGCGCCCUCGAGAACUUCUUUGAAAUAGUGCUCGGCAGCCAGUCGGCCUAUGGCCGAACCCUGCGUCACAACAGUGGUAGCAUCCAUCUCCGCCCAGUAUGCUUUGACACGGGCAAGGGCCAUCUGCGAGCCCUCUAUACACGCCGACCUCUUCAUCGCAUUGAUGCGCGGCAUCGCUCCAAGGAACUGCUGCACUAAGCUGAAAUAGCUGUUCGGCUUCGGUUUUUCGGGCCAUAGAUGAUCUACGACGGUCCUCAUGGCGAGUCCGGACAACCUGUUGAGUUCAGCCCAUUCGGCUAGCUGAUCAGUCAAUGGAAGCGGACGCUCUGGAAUGUUAAACUGCAACCAGAACACCUUGUCCACUUCACGAUCUGUUUGAUCUCGGAAGUAUUUGGCCGCAUCGAUAGCGCUCGCCGCCAAGUCCAUAUAUGCGUCUGCCGAACUCCACAACCGAUCCAGAGGGGCAUACCGCGGAUCUCCGAACUUCCUCCGCAGCAAGAAGGGCUUCCCAGCCACAGUAUCCCCGACUUCACGCAGCUCUUCCUUCUUUGCCCUCAUAGCAGAGCGGGUGUCUUUGGUCGCCACCGCGGCCUUUUCAAUGUUUGUCGCCUUCGCUCGGUUUUCUUCUUCAAGGAGCCGGCAGCGGUCGGCAGUGUCUUUCAACUUUACAGCCAUCUUGGCCAUCUUAUCUUUGCUCUCGCAAUGUGCAGCCUUUUCGGCUCUUAACUCUUCGGCCACCUUUAAAGCGGCCGCAUUACUAAUUCUUGCUUGUUCCUUGGCUCGGGCAAGUUCCGCCCGAAGGGUCUCCACGGUGGCAGCUCCAUCUGCAGUCACAACAUAUUAAAGAUACUGGUGUUACGCUGCUCUUACUAUGUGACAUUCACCAGAAAACAUUACUUACCCUGUGCCUCGUCAAGCCGCUUGUUAACAAGCUCGAUGUCGGCAUAAAAUGUCGGCUUUAGCUUGGCAAACCCAUUAGUCUGGCUAGCCACCGGAGCUUCCACCACCUGCACAUAAAGGCAGUUUGGUUAUUACCUGGGACUAUGAUCCUCUGUUCGCCGCCGUUCUCGACGACAACCAGAGUCUCAGGGGCUACUAUCUACACAGGGCACACCAAAAAAUAUGUAGUACUAUCAAAAAGUAUAUCAUUUCACGUACCUCAAAGCCCGUCAGUAGACUCAUAAAAGCUUCAUGCAAUCCUCUUUCGACGGACAAAAUUCUUUCCAUCACUGUACCCAUCAACGUAUGGUGUUCUUCUGAGAUGGCCGCUCGCUCCAACAGCUCCCUCAGUACGUCCGACCGCAUACCAGAUGGUGUCGGACUCUUUUGUUUGCUCUCUUCAAGAGCCGGACGCUGGGGACUUCGGGUGACUAUAGGAUUAUCUUCUGGCCUCACCGGAUCCGGAGAGGCCCUCCGUGGCGACACUUUAAGGUCGCCCGCUUCUUGAGUGGGGGAGUCCGGGGGAGGCGUUUCGCUCUCCAUCAUCUCCGGAAGAAGAUGCCCUGAAGACGAGCUCUGCUGAGAAGGGCUAAGAUCUGAACUGCAAGAUAAACGCUUUGGUUAUUUUCCUCAGAGGUAAGGUAGUAUAUCUCCACUAUUAAAGUACUUUUUGAUUACUUACAGCUCGUUGGAGGGCUGAUCCUCGCGCGGACUUUGUGUGGCAAGAGCACCCUCCAAGGUAGGACUCUCUGGUGGAGGCUUCUUCUCCCGUUUGGAAGCCUUGGUUUCUGGAUCUUCAGAGGCAGUCCUCUUCCUUCCCCGAAGCGAGAGAAGGUCAGAUUCUUCCCCUUGGUUAUCCUCCUUCACGGAGGCACUCAUUCCCUCGGUUGGAAUUGGUAGCGAUGGGGGCCCGCUUCCGACCUCAUUAUUCCCCCUUUAUCUUCCUUUGAGGGCUCCGGGCAAGGUGCUAGCUCGAGCAUCUUUUCCAGUACCAGAUUCUCCAAACCCUCAGGAAGGGGGGCCGAACACCGAAUCAUCUUCGCCCCGGUUAGCCAGUCUUGGUCAAAGAGCGAUUUCCCAGAAUGACGUAAUGGUAAAUGAAAGACGGUGUGUUCGGCUAAAGGAUUACUUACUUGGAUCGGCGGUACGGUUGCUGCUCAGGCCCACAUCCUCGGUAGUAUCCAGACACUCUAUUUGGGGUCUGAAGAAUGAUUUGUACAUCUCCGCGUGUGUCAGGCCAAGGAAAUUCUGAAUGGUGCGCGGCCCUUCUGGGUUGAACUCCCACAUGCGGAGGGGACGACGUUUGCAAGGCUGGACUCGACGAACCAGCAUGACUUGCACCACCGUAACCAGACUGAAAUCUCCUUCGAAGAGAUCUUGAAUGCGGCUCUGCAGUAUAGGCACGUCCUUGGCUAGACCCCAGCCCAGUCCUCUGCUAAUCCAUGACAUCAGUUGUGGUGGAGGGCCCAAGCGGAAAGCAGGGGCAGCCACCCACUUGGCACUUCUGGGAGCUGUGAUGUAAAACCACUCCCGUUGCCAUAAUCCGGACACCUCUGGAAAGGAACCUUUUGGCCACGGAGCUCCUGCUAUCUUGCUUAUUAAUGCGCCUCCGCACGCUGCACACUGCCCCUCGACCAUCUUCGGCUUCACGUCAAAGGUCUUGAGCCACAGGCCGAAGUGAGGGUAAUGCGGAGGAAGGCCUCACACACGACAAUGAAUGCCGAGAUAUGAAGAAAGGAGUCCGGGGCUAGAUCGUGGAUAUCUAGCCCGUAAUAGAACAUCAAACCCCUAACAAAGGGAUCCAGGGUGAGGCCUAGGCCUCGGAGGAAGUGGGAAAUGAACACAACGUUCUUGUUGGCUUCGGGAGUAGGGACGACCUGCCCUCGGGCAGGCAGCCGAUGCAAAACCUCGGCGGUCAGGUAUCUGGCCUCCCUCAACUUCUUGAUAUCCUCUUCCAUAACGGAGGAGGGAAUCCACUGGCCUUGAAGGCUAGAUCCGGACAUGAUUGAAGGUCCGAAGCACCUGACCUGGGCUUUGGGUGUUAGAACUCGAGGCGAGGGAAGGAUUCGAUUGAGCACGGGAGGGAAAAAAGUAAAAGCCUUGUCCCUUUAUAAAGAGGGUGAAUAUCAAGCGUCCUCUCCGUAGCCGUUUGGGACUUGCCUAUAAUCUAGGAGUCCUAGACACGGUUGGGUUACCCACAACCAUUUUGAUGAGAAUCCCGUAAUUAGGGGAACACGAUCUCUGCUUCGACAAGACGUGUCAAGAAACCGCCUCGCGUUAUGUGUGGAGCUGGUUAAAGAAAAACGGUUCCAGUAAUCACCGAGCCAUGGCAUGAUGUCAUGUUGCCAAAACGUGUCGGCAGAUUAAGAUUUGUGGAAAUAUUAUUCUCUCUACGGUGGUAUGUGGAACUUAUUUUGCAGGGUCGGACACUAUCCUUGUAUUCAAAUUCUUCCGUGAUGUAUUCGGAGGAAGAACCUGCCUUGCAAUGCCGAAGACAACACUGCGCGCCGGACUCAUCGUCAUUGAAGCCUGGUUCAGGGGCUACUGAGGGAGUCCUGGAUUAGGGGGUCUCCGGAUAGCCGGAUUAUAUCCUUUAGCCGGACUGUUGGACUAUGAAGAUACAAGAUUGAAGACUUCGUCUCGUGUCCGAAUGGGACUCUACUUGGCGUGGAAGGCAAGCUAGGCAAUAUAGAUAUGUAUAUCUCCUCCUUUGUAACCGACCAUGUGUAACCCUAGCCCCCUCCGGUGUCUAUAUAAACCGGAGGAUUUUAGUCCGUAGGACAACAUACAAUCAUACCAUAGGCUAGCUUAUAGGGUUUAGCCUCUCUGAUCUCGUGGUAGAUCUACUCUUGUACUACCCAUAUCAUUAAUAUUAAUCAAGCAGGACGUAGGGUUUUACCUCCAUCAAGAGGGCCCGAACCUGGGUAAAACAUCAUGUUCCCUGCCUCCUGUUACCAUCCUCCUUAGACGCACAGUUCGGGACCCCCUACCCGAGAUCCGCCGGUUUUGACACCGACAGUGACUUUGGAGUGACUCUUUGUAGCAUGUUGAGUGAUAGUUAUAUGAUCCAAUUAUGUUAUUAUUGUUCAGAGAACUUGCACUAGUGAAAGUAUGAACCCUAGGCCUUGUUUCCUAGCAUUGCAAUACCGUUUGUGCUCACUUUUAUCAUUAGUUACCUUGCUGUUUUUUAUAUUUUUAGAUUACAAAAACAUAUAUCUAUCAUCCAUAUUGCGCUUGUAUCACCAUCUCUUCGCCGAACUAGUGCACCUAUACAAUUUACCAUUGUAUUGGGUGUGUUGGGGACACAAGAGACUCUUUGUUAUUUGGUUUCAGGGUUGUUUGAGAGAGACCAUCUUCAUCCUACGCCUCCCACGGAUUGAUAAAACUUAGGUCAUCCACUUGAGGGAAAUUUGCUGCUGUCCUACAAACCUCUGCACUUGGAGGCCCAACAACGUCUACAAGAACAAGGUUGUGUAGUAGACGUCAACCAUCAAGUGACUUAAUCAUCAUAUGCCAUGUAGGUCAUAGAAGCAACAAUCUUGGGAAGGAGAUGCUGAUAAAGCUCAAGGCGGUUUAUACAUUAGUAGAAUAACUAUACACCGAAGCUCAGUGUACGGUAGCCACCAUCUCCCCGAGUAAUCAAGCUCCAUCUCUUCUCAGCAACGUUUUAAGCCAACUUUUUGUUCUGCCUUUGAAGAAAACAAAUGGUCGGCUGCUAGAGCCGGUGCCAUUACAGCUCUAAGCCGGGGAAAGGCAUGGCAGUCAGAAUUAGACCCGGCCAAGCUAGCCACUGGCUGACCUAGUUUCAAAGAGGACGGGUCUGCUUUUGAUUAGAAAGAUUUCGCUGCGUUUGUGAAGGAAAUGCGUCUCUUGGAGAGCCUGCUUGUUGAAGAAACAGACCUGACAAAAUAUCAGGCGGCUUAUACUGCGGAGAACCACAAAAUGCCCACAUCGGCUUACAAGAUUGCAGAUCUUAUCCCUCCAAUCUGUAAGCACACUUUUGCCCCUGAAAUUGACCCAUCUGAGCUUGUUGGUGACAAAGCUGAAUUUCAAGCCUUGACUGGCAUCAAUUGGUCAUCACCUGACUUCCAGACGGUGGAGGGAGAAGAAAAACUGGCGCGGGAUGAUCUGGAAGCAUCGAACCGCCAAGACCAGGAGAACUAAUCCGCUGGACGGUUCUCAAUUUUCAGCAGCAAGCAUUUCUUGUAAAAACACUUAAGUCAUUUGAGCUCAGGGAGCUAGGUAAUAGGAUAGUUCAACUCUGAUCUAUCGUGCCAUCGUGCAUGUUUUGCUUGCAUAACACUGUUGAUCUGUCAUUUGAAGAUCUGCCACUUAUGCUCAUGAUAUUAUCAAUAUGCAGGUCAGUUUUAUAAUUUUCCUACACACAAAAUAGAUCACAAGUGCCCUGGCAGUUUACCCCAGGGCGGGUCACAAUAUCCCAUAUAAAAACCAUUGGUGACUAUAAUAGUUCAUAACCAGAGCCGGUUUAAUCACAACCUCAUAUAAUCAUAACAAAAUAUCAUACAUGUGAUAUUUUCUCAUACUGUCGGUUUAUCAUACCUGUGCAGUAAGGGUUACAACCCAACAAUUGAGAGCAUAACGCCCUGUUCAAUUGACUCAUACCGCUGGCUCAUAACGCCAUAUGCAGCAAGGGGUAACAUCCCAAAGUUUUAGAGCCAGUACUCCAAGCAUAAAAAAAAUUAUCAUAUACUGGUGACUUAAAGUCCAAAUCCAGGCCGGGUUAAUAAACUCUGGAUAGAUUCAUAUAUGAACCAUAAGGCAACAUGGCCCUCAUCGGUUUUCAACCAUGUAUUAACAUGUCACAAGAAUUGAACCGCGAAAAUAUUCAAAAUCAAAUAUAAACCAAAAACAAGGCUUUCAUAGGCUGCCAAGCCUCAGAGUCAAGUGCUUUUCAAGGGCCACACAACCACUGAGUUAAGCCUUCAUUCAAACCAUGUAAGUCGGGCCUCACAUGACUAAUCGCCAUUUUAACUUUGACAAGUUCAGGGUCUUUACAAGAUUGACUGUCAAGAGUACGGCGAGUCAUUCCAGGAUUACAUGGGCGGAGUGGCAAACUUACAAAGGCAGGAUAACCCGGAUUUUUUUGGUGAAUACACCUGGCGUCCAAGCCUAUUACAAGGGUCAAUAAAGCUCUUGUCCAUUAACAAAUAGCCCCCAAGUAACGUUUCAUUCCAGGCGUACAAGCCGGAUCAACAGGGUAGUCAUAGUUAUGCUCAAUGAGCAGGAAGCCCCCAAGUAUUUUGUAAUCAUGGUGUACAAGCCGGAUCAAGAGGGUAGUCAUAGCUAUGCUCAAUGAGCAGGAAGCCCCCAAGUGAUCGUAUGAAGUGACAAUAAAGACUCAUUAUUCUCAAAAAUGAAACGACAGAGGCCCUGACUUAGCAGGGAUGCUGUCUUUAUUAUAUUCAUCAUAAUUAUAUACAUUGUCAAAAUAUGUAGAUCACAAGAGCUAGUGGCUCAGGUGUAAUAAGGCCGAAGAUGAGCAAUAUUCCACGGCUAGCGGGUCUUCUCUUCAGACGUGCGUGAGUCCUUGUGGUCUUGAACAUCGAUAAAGUAGUAUGACCCAUUGUUCAGAUUUUUGCUUACCACAAAGGGUCCUUCCCAAGGCGGGGAUAGUUUGUGCAUAUCAGUUUGAUCCUGGAUAAGCCGGAGCACCAAAUCACCUUCUUGAAAGGUCCUGGUUUUAACCCGGCGGCUAUGAUAAUGGCGUAGAUCUUGCUGGUAAAUCGUCGAAUGAGCCGCCGCAAGUUCGCGCUCCUCAUCAACAGGUCAAUAGCAUCUUGACGUGCUUUUUCAUUAUCAGCUUCAACAUAAGCUGCCACACGAGGCGAAUCGUGAUGGAUGUCACUAGGGAGAACAACAUCUACUCCGUAAACCAUGAAGAAAGGCGUGUAACCCGUAUAUCUGUUGGGGUGGUAUUGAUGCUCCAUAAUACUGAGGGUAACUCCUCCACCCAACAACCCAACGUCCUCUACAAAGGGACCAUAAGCCAGGGCUUGAUGCCUCUCAAAAUUUCUUGAUUGGCUCUCUCAGCUUGACCAUUGGACUGGGGGUGAGCCACUGAUGACACAUCAAGUCGUAUAUGCUCUCGUUAACAAAACUCUUUCAUAGCACCCUUGGACAGAUUGGUGCCAUUAUCUAUUAUAAUGUUGUGGGGAAAACCAAAAUGGAAGAUCACCUUUUUGAUGAAUUGAACCACUGUGGCCGCGUCACACUUACUAACCGGCUCUGCUUCAACCCACUUUGUGAAUUUGUCAACCGCCACCAAAAGGUGGGUGUUUUUAUCCUUGGACCUUUUGAAAGGCCCAACCAUAUCAAGCCCCCAGACUGCAAACGGCCAAGUAAUUGGAAUCAUCCUCAAUUCUUGAGCCGGCACGUGAGCUCGUCUUGAGAACUUCUGACAACCAUCACAUUUACUGACCAAAUCCUCUGCAUCAGCAUGAGCCGUCAGCCAAUAAAAUCCAUGACGAAAAGCCUUGGCCACGAGAGACUUAGAGCCUGCGUGAUGACCACAGUCUCCUUCAUGAAUCUCUCGUAGGAUCUCACGGCCUUCUUCGGGAGAGACACAACAUUGAAAUGCCCCCGUAACACUACGAUGAUGCAACUCUCCAUUGACAAUAGUCAUUGACUUAGACCGUCAGGUUAUCUGCCUGGCCAAAAUUUCAUCUUCAGGCAACUCACCCCGGGUCAUAUACGCCAAAUAUGGAACUGUCCAAUCAGGAAUAGCAUGAAGAGCCGCCACCAGCUGUGCCUCUGGUUGGGAAUAGCAAGAUCUUCCUCUGUAGGCAGUUUAACUGAAGGAUUAUGCAUAAUAUCAAGGAAAAUAUUGGGUGGCACCGGCUUAGGUUGGGAUACCAACCGCCUUAAAGCAUCAGCCGCCUUGUUUUUCCUUCGAUCAACAUGCUCUACUUGAUAACCCUUGAAGUGACCAGCAAUAGCAUCAACCUCUCGGCGAUAAGCCGCCAUGAGUGGGUCCUUACAAUCCCAAGUGCCUGAAACUUGCUGAGCUACUAAAUCUGAGUCACCAAAACACCUCACCCGGCUUAAGUUCAUCUCCUUAGCCAUCCGAAGACCAUGGAGCAAGGCCUCAUACUCAGCUGCAUUGUUAGUACAAGGGAACAUCAACCUUAAAACAUAACAAAAUUUAUCACCUCGUGGGGAAGUCAAGAUAACUCCCGCCCCCGAACCUUCCAACUGCCUGGAUCCAUCGAAGUGAAUAGUCCAAUAUGUGCUAUCCGGCUUCUCCUCAGGCAUCUUCAGCUCUAUCCAGUCAUUUAUGAAGUCCACAAGUGCUUGAGACUUCAUGGAUGUGCGAGGCAUAUACUUCAAACCAUGGGGUCCAAGCUCAAUGGCCCACUUGGCUACCCGACAUGUGGCUUCUCUAUUUUGAAUAAUAUCCCCUAAAGGAGCAGAACUAACCACAGUGGUGGGAUGACCCGAAAAAUAUUGCUUGAGCUUUCGACUAGCCAUGAACACCCAUAUACAAGCUUCUGCCGAUGCGGAUACCUCUGCUUGGACUCAAUGAGCACCUCACUGAUGUAAUAAACUGGGCGCUGAACCGAGUGCUCCUUGCCUGAUUCCUUCCUUUCCACCACAAUUGCCACGCUAACAGCUCGGCUAUUGGCAGCCACAUACAACAACAAGGGCUCUUUAUCAAUGGGAGUAGUAAGAACCGGCGGCUAAGCUAACUGUUUCUUCAAGGCCUCAAACGCCUGAUCAGCAUCAUCACUCCAGACAAAGUGAUCUGCCUUCUUCAUCAUCUGGUAUAGAGGGACAGCCUUUUCACCCAGCCAGCUUAUGGCCACAAUAUGACCCGCCAGACGCAGAACAUCGUUAAUACACGCCAGCUUAGCCAGGGAAGUGAUAGCCUUUAUUUUCUCCGGGUUAGCUUCAAUACCACGUUCAAAAACCAAAAAUCCCAAGAGCUUGCCUGUUGGUACACCCAAGACACAUUUGGCCGGGUUAAGCAUCAUUUUGUAGACCCGAAGAUUGUCAAAGGUCUCCUUUAGAUCAUAUAUCAGGGUUUCCUUCUUCCUGGACUUCACCACAAUAUCAUCCACAUAAGCAUGAACAUUACACCCAAUUUGAUUAUGAAGGCAAUUUUGCACACACCGCUGGUAAGUCGCCUGGGCACUCUUGAGCCCAAAGGGCAUAGACACAUAACAUAAGGCUCCAAAGGGAGUGAUGAAAGUUGUCUUCUCCUGGUCCUUAACUGCCAUCUCGAUCUGAUGAUAACCAGAGUAAGCAUCCAAAAAACUCAAAUGCUCACAACUCGCCAUAGCAUCAAUCAUCUGAUCAAUAAGGGGGAGAGCAAAAGGAUCAGCCGGACAAGCCUUGUUUAGGUCUGUGUAAGCCACACACAUAUCCCAAGUACCCUUUUUCUUAAGUACCAGCACCAGAUUAGCUAACCACUCAGGGUGAAAAACUUCUACAAUAAACCAAGCCGCCAAGAGCCGGGCCACUUCUUCACCAAUCACUACAAGAAAUAUGUCAACUUGCGACCAUCACUAUUGGUCACUGAAAGGUCAUGGUUUUUCAUUUGUGACCUUUUUGUGACAAAAAACAGAAGGUCAAAAGCUGGUGGUCAUAAACUGAAAUUAACGACCUUCUCUAUGAGAAGGUCGUGGAAUUCCACGACCAAAACAAAAGGUCAUUGAUCCUAUGACCUUCUGUUUUGGUUGCUAGUUGUCUACCCAGGCCACGUCGAAUCCGACGUGGCAAUCUGACGUGGCAAAAUUGCGACCAAUUGAAAAGGUUGUUGAUAAGAUUCAGCCCGGUCCAAUUUGGUGUUUUACAUGGGCCAAGCCCAACAAUUCAGCCCAUUUAGUAUGUUUUUCCUAUUAAUUUUUGGUUAGCUAUAUGGGCCAUACCCAACAAUUCAGCCUUCUUGUUUUCUAAGCUUCUUCCGUUUUGGGGGGCCUCAGCCUUUUUUAGGCUUUUUUUGUUUCAUUUCUUAGAAAGUCCAAUGCUUGUUGGGUUGUGGCCUUUUUCAGCCCAGUUAUUUGUCCAAUAUUAGAUCUCAGAUUUUGAAAAAAAUAGACGAAAUUGUUUGGGCACAAUACUGAAGGAAAUAUGCCCUAGAGGCAAUAAUAAAGUUAUUAUUUAUUUCCUUAUAUCAUGAUAAAUGUUUAUUAUUCAUGCUAGAAUUGUAUUAACCGGAAACAUAAUACAUGUGUGAAUACUUAGACAAACAGAGUGUCACUAGUAUGCCUCUACUUGACUAGAUCGUUAAUCAAAGAUGGUUAUGUUUCCUAACCAUGGACAAAGAGUUGUUAUUUGAUUAAUGGGAUCACAUCAUUAGAUGAAUGACCUGAUUGACAUGACCCAUUCCAUUAGCUUAGCACCCGAUCGUUUAGUAUGUUGCUACUGCUUUCUUCAUGACUUAUACAUGUUCCUAUGACUAUGAGAUUAUGCAACUCCCGUUUGCCAGAGGAACACUUUGUGUGCUAACAAACGUCACAACGUAACUGGGUGAUUAUAAAGGUGCUCUACAGGUGUCUCCAAAGGUACAUGUUGGGUUGGCGUAUUUCGAGAUUAGGAUUUGUCACUCCGAUUGUCGGAGAGGUAUCUCUGGGCCCUCUCGGUAAUGCACAUCACAUAAGCCUUGCAAGCAUUGCAACUAAUGAGUUAGUUGUGAGAUGAUGUAUUACGGAACGAGUAAAGAGACUUGCUGGUAAUGAGAUUGAACUAGGUAUUGAGAUACCGACGAUCGAAUCUUGGGCAAGUAACAUACCGAUGACAAAGGGAACAACGUAUGUUGUUAUGUGGUCUGACCGAUAAAAGAUCUUCGUAGAAUAUGUAUGAGCCAAUAUGAGCAUCCAGGUUCCGCUAUUGGUUAUUUACCGGAGACGUGUCUCGGUCAUGUCUACAUUGUUCUCGAACCCGUAGGGUCCGCACGCUUAAGGUUUCAAUGACAGUUAAAUUAUGAGUUUAUGCAUUUUGAUGUAGCGAAGUUUGUUCGGAGCCCGGAUGUGAUCACGGACAUGACGAGGAGUCUCGAAAUGGUCGAUACAUAAAGAUUGAUAUAUUGUAAGCCUAUAUUUGGAUAUCGGAAGCGUUCCGGGUGAAAUCGGGAUUUUAGCGGAGUACCGGGAGGUUACCGGAACCCCCCGGGAGGUAUAUGGGCCUUAGUGGGCUUUACUGGAAGAGAGGAGAGGUGGCCAGGGCUGGGCCGCGCGCCCCUCCCCCUAGUCCGAAUAGGACAAGGAGAGGGGGGCGGCGCCCCCCUUCCUUCUCUCUCUCCUCUUUCCCCCUCCCGAAUCCUAUUCCAACUAGGAAAGGGGGGGGGGGAAUCCUACUCCCGGUGGGAGUAGGACUCCUCCUGGCGCGCCCUCCUCCUGGCCGGUCGCACCCCCCCUUUGAUCCUUUAUAUACGGAGGCAAGGGACACCCCUAGACACACAAGUUUAUCCACGUGAUCAUAUUCUUAGCCGUGUGCGGUGCCCCCUUCCACCAUAAUCCUCGAUAAUAUUGUAGCGGUGCUUAGGCGAAGCCCUGCGACGGUAGUACAUCAAGAUCGUCACCACGCUGUCGUCUGACGGAACUCUACCCUGACACUUUGCUGGAUCGGAGUCCGGGGAUCGUCAUCGAGCUGAACAUGUGCUAAAACUCGGAGGCGUCGUAGUUUCGGUGCUUGAUCGGUCGGGCCGUGAAGACGUACGACUACAUCAACCGCGUUGUGUUGAUGCUUCCGCUGUCGGUCUACAAGGGUACGUAGAUCACACUCUCCCCUCUCGUUGCUAUGCAUCACCAUGAUCUUGCGUGUGCGUAGGAAUUUUUUUUGAAAUUACCACGUUCCCCAACAAAGACCUCUUCAACCCAGUAACACACGUCAUCCAACAUUGUUUCAUAUUCAAAUCAAGAAAACUCCAUGUUGAAUUCAAAUCAUCCAUCAUAUCACAUCACAUAACACAUCUCCUAGGUUUACAUAACACAACAAAACCAUCUAUGGAAUACAUUUCCUUACACAAGAAUAUAGCAGAAACGGAGGGAAUAUACAAUAAGACAAUUAUGGCACAUCUGCUACAAUCCUAAUAGUACAAUCAACUUCAUUGCUCUCUCUUAUGAGACAUGCUCCAGCUGUGACAACUCGCCAUCCUACAAUGAGAAGUAUAUAACAAUGGACCAGACUUUAUAGGAAGUAAACAAGGAAGUAACAAUGGACAACUCGUAAUCCAAUUAUAGGAAGUAAACAAGGACCAGACUUCACAUUACAGUACCAAUCCACGAGGCAAAACAUUGAGUGAAUCCAAAAAGAGAGGUGGAAAGGGAUGCCUAUUUUGAUCCAGAGGGGCUCGCGACCGUGGCCUUCUUCCGGAAGAGGUCGGUCAAUGUCAUACCUGGAUCAGACAAGCUGGGAGGUCGUAGCUUGUCCUGGUCAGUGAGCAGGUCCUCCUCAUUCUGGGUCAUACUGCUAGCGUAAGUAACAGGAAAAAUCAAAGCAACAGUUUAGACUUGGUGUUAAUGAACAGUGACUGUAAAUCAAUAGCAAAUUAAGCACCAAUUUUCUCGGAUGCAGGGAGAAGAGUAGCAAGAUAGAAUAGAGAGGUGGGACAAUGUCAUACCUCUAGAUGAUGUUCGUAGCCAAAGAUACAUGGUAGACGAAUCGUCGAACUGUAGUCCCUGCAAACCAAACCAAACCAAACAGCAACCGUCAGUACAAAAGCUAUUACCCAAAUUUAUCUUGCUGAACUCAAGUCUGGUCUGAAUGAAAGACAGUAAGUACAAAGUGUGUUUACACACCAGAGCUGAUCUUCCGAGUACUUUGUGUGGAGCUCACGACACUUGUUCCAGGACCAGCACCCGUUGAGCAUGCACUGAGUAGUGUAGAUGGUCGUCGCUGCCAUAAUUGAUGUAGUCACGAGGCUCGGCUCGAUCAGGAAGAAGGAGAGCAGCUCCAGCUGAUUCACAAGACAUCAGCACAUGUGUUAGACAAGCAAUGCACUCUAACUCAUACAGACACACAACAAUGCUAGUAGAUUUAAAUUACAGUGUAUAAAACAAGGGGAUAUAAUGGUUUCCCUUGCUCAGUUUCUUAAGCCUACAUAUAGCAUUAGUUUCUGAAACCACGCAUCACACAUAUUUCUAAUCUGGACAAAACGGUAGAUAUAAAUCAAAUUUUCUACGACACAACAAUAACAUCUUUAAGUAAAGUAAAUUCCAUGGCAUAUAAACACAUCAAUUCAUUCUAUUUGUGUCUUGUAGGUCUGAAACUCUUGUAAGAAUUUGUAGGACGACGAUACCUUGUCCAGAGUGCUAAACGCGACCUCUUCACCUUCUGCGAGAAAAGGUCAGUGGCUCGCUGCUGCUCCGAUACCUGAGAAAGCAUUUACGUGUCAGUUGCGGACAACAAAUUACACAUCAGUUUAAUCAUAUGCAUCAAUUUUGUUACCAGCUUUUCUUCAGAGCUGGGAUACUACUACAGUACUAUUGGUGCUCAUCACUAUAGUCUACAUCUGCAGCUGCCCAUUCACUAAAACCACACAGAUCACUAGUUGUGCUAUUUGAUAAUAGUUGAUGGUAUUCUUUUUCCAGAUAAAGAGCUGAUGCUACUACAUGAUAGCAAGUAUAUACUCCCAUAAAAGAAGUGUUGUUUAAGUACACUCUCUUCUCUUUAUUCUGUCUAUUGUUUAUGACUCUAGACAGUUCCUGGCCAUCCCUUUUCCAAUCAAUUCAGCUAUGCAUGUCAAAAUAGGAUGCUUUGAUUUACUUGUGUGCAGAGGAAAAGCAAAAGCAGCAGUAGAUGCUUUUCCUAUUAGCAUCUCUUGUCAAUCAAACAGGAUGCAGCGAGUGAUUACAUUAACCCGGAUUCAAAUAUUUUAAGUACUGAACAAUCAUUUCAUGGAGCCAUUCAUAAACAUACUACUACAAGGGAACUAUAACUUUUUCAUUAUUUAGCAUAAUGUUUAAGCAUGUAAACUUUUCUCCAGAGUCUCUAUGCACUACUACUCAACUACUAUACGUGCGUAGCACUAUGUUAGUAAGCAGCAGAGGAGAUUUAAAAGGAAGGACCAUGUGUGUGUGUAGAAAACACACACAAGAAACCCUAAACAUGAUCUAUUUAGUCUGACAGGUUUAGUUACGCACAACUCUAGAAAACAUGUACUUCUAUAUGCUUCUCUGUGACAAGUGCCGAGACUAUCUAUGGGAUUCUGGUGAACACCUUUUUAACUAGGCAGAUGUUGUAUUUUUUACAGUACAAAAUCAUAUCUUCUGCUUUACAUUACAUGUAGCCGUCGUCCGUUGCUCUGUAGAUGUUGUUGAGUUGCCAGCAUGAAACUAGAGCAAACAUAUAUUCGCAUUUCAGAGGGCCGACCAAUGUUAAUAUCAGGGGUGAAAACGGUACCAAAAGUAAACAUGGAAUAUGGUCCAGCCGAUCAACCAUACUUUUAAAAGCUUACCUAUUAUACACUACUACCGGGCAGUCCUUGGGAUUUCAAACAAGCAGAAACUCCAUCUACAACUAAUUACAAGAUCUAACAGCAGAACCUACCUUUGCAUAACCAAAAGUACAUGUAUUAAUUGAAGCUGACAACUGACAAGAAACAGAGACUUGACGGCAGCAGGAUCAUCUUNNNNNNNNNNNNNNNNNNNNNNNNNNNNNNNNNNNNNNNNNNNNNNNNNNNNNNNNNNNNNNNNNNNNNNNNNNNNNNNNNNNNNNNNNNNNNNNNNNNNNNNNNNNNNNNNNNNNNNNNNNNNNNNNNNNNNNNNNNNNNNNNNNNNNNNNNNNNNNNNNNNNNNNNNNNNNNNNNNNNNNNNNNNNNNNNNNNNNNNNNNNNNNNNNNNNNNNNNNNNNNNNNNNNNNNNNNNNNNNNNNNNNNNNNNNNNNNNNNNNNNNNNNNNNNNNNNNNNNNNNNNNNNNNNNNNNNNNNNNNNNNNNNNNNNNNNNNNNNNNNNNGUCGUAUAUACAUCCAAACCAUAAAAAUAGCGGUCAAACAACAAGGUAGUGUAAAGAAAUUAAGUAAGCUAUUGUGCUGGAUCAAAUUCCUACUGAACACAGAACGACAUUCCUACUGAACACAGAACGACAAGAAACAUAGUGUAAAAUACAUAUCUAAUUCUAGUAUAUUUGUAUAAAAAGAUUAACAGAGCAUACUAUUAAUUAGAAUAUAUGCUCAGCAGCUUCGCGUUCCAGUUUGGUUAUUCAUUUCAAACCAAAUUGACAUCAUUCACUUGCAAUAGAAAACAUGUAGUAUAUGUAGUUAUUUACAGUGAUGCUAAUAUGCUACCAACAAUAGAUACAAAUCAUACAACUAUCUUAUUGGCUUGACAAAGAUAAUAAAGAAAGAAAAGGCCUAGUCAACAUAGGAUCUGUAAAUACUAUUUCACUAUGCAGAAGUAAAUGGCUAUUUGACCUACACUGGUCCCAGUACGUUAGACCUAUUUAAUACUAACUGCGAUAUGCCAUCAUUUGGGUACUGCUGUCCAUCGAGGUGGUAGACACUGGCUCAGAGAUGCACAUGCAUGUGUAGAAAGGACUACAGAUGUGCUUGGGAAACAAACACAUGCACAAAAGGAAGGACAGAAGAAACACGUGGAAGCUACCUGGUUUUUGAGUUCUACAUGGUGAGAUCCCUCACCAAAUCCUUGUGCACUCACUCAACUCCUGCAAAAAUCGCCACAGUACCGAGGUUAAGAUGCUAGGACUCGAACAUGAAACUUGGUACAGAAAGUAAACAACUGGUUGCAAAUUAGCUUGAAAUAACUAUAGUGAAAGAUCAUCAAAAAUCACAGUGUGAAAUAAUUAGCUUGAAAGUGGUGAUAUGUCAUUCGUCUUUAUGUCCACAUUAAAAUUGUGCAGCCUCACACGCCCUAUAGCCUCAGGCAGAGGCAACAGUGCACCAAGUUGCACUGCACACAAGGACUAGGGUUGGCCCAAUCCAAGGAGCCGUCAGGUUGAAGGAAUCCAGCAAACAGCAGCCAACCUGCUCCCACUACAAAACCUAAAAUAUUGCAGACAUGGAUAACCACCCUUGAUUCAUGCAACCAGCACAUAUGUAUAAAGUAAGUGGUGCAAUGUGCAGAAUGAAAGAGGGGAAUCAGGGAGCAUGGGCGGGAUCUUACCCUCAGCCUUAGGGAGCCUUGGCGGGAUCCAUCGGCGGCACUGCUGUGGCUGGGGAGGAAUGCUAGGGUUUGAUUAGGAGAAGGCGGCCUCCAUGGCGUCGGAGCAAGGGGAAAUGGCCAUCCCGUCCAUGGCAUCCCAGUGCUCGAGCGAGGACGGAUCUGAGAGGGAGAGGGAACAUGGUGAGGCAGAUAGGUGGAGAUGCAACGAGGAGGAGUGGAGGGACUCACCUGAGUCACCGGAUCACCGGAACAACGCCGGAGCCACGUCGGCGACGCGGUGGCUCAAACCCUAGCAGACGGGUAGGUUCACGAGUGGCCGCAGGAGGACCCUCCCGUCGGAUCCUGUCGACGUCGUCGCCGUCCUGGUUGUCGGAGAGCCAUGGUCAGCAUGGGGCAAAGCCACAACUAACCCUAAAUAAUGCUCGAUCUGCUGCAGGACAGGAGCGGGUGGGUGGCAGGGGCUAGGGAAGGAGGGGAGGAGGGGGCGACGAUAGAGGGCUAGGGGAGGAGGGGGUCUAUGAGGUGUGAGAGGCGGCGGCGGCGUUCUCCGGAGGGAAGGGGAUCGGGGGGAGGCGACGGCGUUCUCGGGAGGGAAGGGGAUCGAGGGAGGAGACCGAGUGUACAGGGGGGGAAGGGGAUCGAGGGAGGUAGGAGAGGUGAGGAGAUGCUGGAUCAGGACGGCGUGGACGGCUCAGAUCGCCUACAGGAGGGUGAUCCGGGCGAGACGUCCUGAUUGGUUCGAGACAUGUAUCAUUUAAAAUAGUCUCCAAAUACUAAAAACAAAGGGGUUUAUGAAGCAACUACCAAUGAUAUUUUGCAAAAUCGCACCACAAAAAUUUUCACUCAAGUUAUACCACAUUUUAUGGAUGAUAACCAACUUGUAUGCAUUUUCGACCUUUCUAGCUUUUUUAGCCAUUUAAACCAACUUGCACCAAAUUAGGACGAAUUGGUUCAAAUUUGAACUACAUCUACUUCAUAGUUUUCUCAUUAUUUUUUCCAAAAAUAAUUUUUAGGUACACAUGUAUAUAUUUCAUUAGAGAAACACUAUGAGUUUAGUAAGAUUCCACCAGUAGGUACGAACGAUGAUGCCCGCAGUUUUGACCGUGUUUUAAAAUCGGCAUAAAGAAUUCAAAAAAAUCAAAAAAAAAGGAAAGCAUUUGCAUUGUGUCACUAUAUGUGACCUAGUGUCCACGAAAAAUAACAAACUCGCAAUACUGUAAAUACCUUUAAAAAGUCUUCUCAGAAAUAAGCUAUCAUAUGUGAAGUUGCAUGGCUUUCAAGCCAAAUGACCAAUGAAUUGGCCACAUUCAUGGCAUAGUCUGUUCAAAUGAUCUCAUAUUGUGCAUAAGAGUGCAUCUUGGAAUGGCAGACAAUGUUGCCUAAGGGAGUUUUCAUUUUCUUCGGACGAAAAAUCAAUUUUCCAUUUUCUGAGUGCCCAAAAUGAGUUUUUUUGUGUGAAGGACCUACCAUAUAUUUGUUGAAAAAUUGGACCAAGUCAAUUUUACAAAAUAUUACGCUAUAUUUAAUGCAUAAUUGACCAAAGGGUUGGGUCUCAAAAGUUUUGAUCCACCUCUGCUGAAAAAAGAUAAAUUCCCGUCGAUUCAGCAGGAAGCGGGUCAGAUUUGAACUGCAGCUACCUCAUAGUUUGCUCUUUAUUUUUUUCAAAAAUCAUUUCUAGGUACAUAAGUAUCUAUUUCAUCAGAGAAACAUCAAAAGUUUUCCAAGAUUCAACCACUAGCUAGGAAUGGUGAAACCCGCCGUUUUGAUCGCAUUUUGAAACGGGCAUAAAAAAUUCAAAAAAAUCAAAAAAUUGGAGAACCUUCGCAUUGUGUCAUUAUAUGUGACCAAGUUUCCAGGAAAAAUAAUAAACUUGUAAUACGACAAUUAUUUAAAAAAAAGUGUUCUCAGAAAUGAGCUAUCAUGCGUGAAGAUUCAGGGUUUUCAAGCCAAAUGAUCAAUCUUAUGGCCACAUUCAUGGCAUAGUUUGUUUAAAUGACCUCAUAUUGUGCACAAGGGUGCAUCUUGGAAUUCCAAACAAUGUUGCCUAAGGGAGUUUUCAUUUUCUUUGCACGGAAAAUUCAUUUUCCAUUUUCCGAGUGCCCGAAUUGAGUUCUUUUUGUGAAGGACCUACCAUAUAUUUGUUGCAAAAUUGGACCAAAUCAAUUUUCUAAAAUACUAGGCCAUAUUUGAUUCACAAUUGACCAAAUGGUUGGGUGUCAAAAGCCUUGAUCCACCUCUGGUGAAAAAGACAAAUCCUCGCCGAUUCAGUAGGAAGCGGGUCAAAUUUGAACUGCAGCUACCUCAUAGUUUGCUCUUUAUUAAAAAAUCAUUUAUAGGUACAUAAGUAUCUAUUUAAUCAGAGAAACAUCAAAAGUUUUCCAAGAUUCGACCACUAGCUAGGAACGGUCAAACCCGCCAUUUUGAUCGCGUUUCGAAACGGGCAUAAAAAAUUCAAAAAUAUAAUCAAAAAAUGGAAAACCUUCGCAUUAUGUCAUUAUAUCUGACCAAGUUUCUAGAAAAAAUAAUAAACUUGUAAUACGGCAAUUAUUUAAAAAAAAGUGUUCUCAGAAAUGAGCUAUCAUGCGUGAAGAUUCAGGGCUUUCAAGCCAAAUGAUCAAUCUUAUGGCCACAUUCAAGGCAUAGUUUCUUCAAAUAAUCUCAUAUUGUGCACAAGGGUGCAUCUUGGAAUUCCAAACAAUGUUGCCUAAGGGAGUUUUCAUUUUCUUUGCACGGAAAAUUCAUUUUCCAUUUUUUGAAUGCCCAAAAUGAGUUUUUUGUGUGAAGGAGCUACCAUAUAUUUGUUGCAAAAUUGGACCAAAUCAUUUUUCUAAAAUAUUAGGCCAUAUUUAAUUCAUAAUUGACAAAAUGGUUGGGUGUCAAAAGUUUUGAUCCACCACUUGUGAAAAAGACAAAUUUCUGCCGAUUCAGUAGGAAGCGGGUCAAUUUUGAACUACAUCUACCUUAUAGUUUGCUCUUUAUUUUUUACAAAAAUCAUUUAUAGGUAUAUAAGUAUCUAUUUAAUCAUAAAUACAUGGUUUGGUGGCGAUACAUCGAGGUUUGGAUGGUGGAAGAGGGCCCUAACUUCAGAGCGCGUAAACUCGCAUGCCCGCCGCGUGGUCACCACGUGGCUGUGGCAUUGCCAUGUGUUCUAGGCGGCCUAGGCAUGUCUAGGGGGUUGGGUACUCCCCAGGCAGGUUCUAGGAAUAAAAUUACAACAUAAUAUUCUCACGAGAAGACUGAACUAUGCUCAAACAUGAAUUAGCAGCCAAGUGUUUGAUUAGCGAUACGGGAAAUGCACGUGGCCAAUGGGAGUGAGUUUUGGCUGAGGAUGAUCAUCUACCUUAUAGUUUUGGGUAUGGGAGAGUGCCCAAAAAGUUUGAGGGUAAUAGGAGGGAUUUGGAUAACACUUGCUUUGCAAUGUGCCAAUCUGGCCAUAAAAUAUAAAUUGAACCUGGGCUCACAUAGAUGAUUUGACUGAGCUGAAAUUUGGAGGAGGGUGAUAAUUUGGGCAUAUGAAGGAACUGUGUAAAUUUCAUGUCAUUUGGAUAUAUAAAAAUGGUACUUCCUUCACAAUGCUUCUAGGUGGAAAAAAACUUUGGAAUUUGCCGAGGAAGAUUUACUGGGAAAAUGGAGCUGAAUUUUGUCAUGAGACAAUAAUUUGGAUAGGAAAGAGUGCCCAAAAUUUUUGAGGGUAAUCAAGAAUAUAUAAAUAGCACUUCCUUCACAAAGUAUUAUUGUGAACAGAAUAGGAAAACGAAUAUUGUUGAAUUAUUUUUGAACUAGGAAAGGAAGGAUUUUUACAUAUUUGACGAAGAUAUGACCCAAAGAAUUUAUGAGAUUUUUUGGGGAAUUUUGGGAAUGAGAGAAAUAUAGGUUGCUUCACAACCUAGGGCAAAAAUUGACACAUGGACAUGACACAUAGGCAAAACUGAUGAGGUGGCGCCUAGUCAUAGCAAUCCACCACAAUUUACAAGGUAAUGACCACCUAUAUUGGUCGUGAUCAGCUAGAAAUAAGGCAGCAGACCAGUGUUGUCUGCUUUAUGACCAUUUCGUGUAAGGAAAUUAUGACCUUUCUGACAAAAAUCGUCGAUAUAGUUGAGGGUUUGGAGCCCCCCGAACAGCUUUUGACCAAUUGAUCUCAAAUGGUCGUAGCUCUAUGACCAAUUCUUCCAGGGUCACUGACAGAAGGUCACUAGUUGACAUAUUUCUUGUAGUGAAUGGCCUUGCGCCUCUCUUCAUUAAAAUGGCGAAGGAAUUGCUUGACCGGUUUAAACUUUGGAUCAAUAUUGAGAGUGUGCUCAGCGAUUUCCCUCGGUACACCUGGCAUGUAUGAAGGUUUCCAUGUAAAGAUGUCUCGGUUCUCAUGGAUGACCUCGAUGAGCACGCUUUCCUAUUUCUGAUCCAGAUUAGCACUGAUACUAAACUGCUUGGAUGAAUCACCAGGAACAAAGUCAAGUAGCUUAGUGUCGUCGACUUAAACUUCAACAAAGGAUCAUGAUCCGUUGUUAGAUUCUUUAAAGAUGUCAUAUCAGCCGGGUCAACAUUAUCCUUGUAAAACUUCAUUCUUCUAUUGCAUAGACAGAUUAAGCAUAAGCAGCAUUGCCUUCUUCACACUUCUUCUGGCUUCCAUGCACUUUGAUAGUACCCUUGUGACCUGGCAUCUUAAGCUGCAAAUACACAUAACAAGGCCUUGCCAUGAACUUAGCAUAAGCCGGCCGCCCAAACAAAGCAUGAUAAGGGCUCUUGAUUUUAAUCACCUCAAAGGUCAACAUCUCCGAUCUGGAAUCAUGAUCAUCAACAAAGGCCACUUCCAAGGAUAUCUUACCCACUGGAUACGCCAACUUACCAGGCACCAUACCAUCAAAAACAGUAUUCGACGGCUUAAGAUCUUUGUCAGUCAAGCUCGUCAAGUUCUACUUUCCUCCCACUCACUUCUUUCGAGAGAAACUCCUUCUCUAGAAAGGAUCCAUUCUUAGCAACAAAGAUCUUACCUUCGGAUUUGUGGUAGAAGGUGUACCCAACAGUUUCUUUUGGAUAUCCUAUGAAGACGCACUUCUCUGAUUUGGGUUCGAGCUUAUCAGGCUGAAGCUUUUUCAGAUAAGCAUCAAAACCUCAAACUUUAAGAAACGACAACUUAGGUUUCUUGCCAAACCACAGUUCAUAUGGUGUCGUCUCAAUGAAUUUAGACGGUGCCCUAUUUAACGUGAAUGCAGCUGUCUCUAAUGCAUAACCCCAAAACAAUAGUGGUAAAUCGGUAAGAGACAUCAUAGAUCGCACCAUAUCUAAUAAAGUACGGUUACGACGUUCGGACACACCAUUACAUUGUGGUGUUCCAGGUGGCGUGAGUUGUGAAACUAUUCCACAUUGUUUUAAAUGAAGGCCAAACUUGUAACUCAAAUAUUUGCCUCCGCGGUCAGAUUGUAGAAACUUUAUUUUCUUGUUACGAUGAUUCUCCACUUCACUCUGAAAUUCUUUGAACUUUUCAAAUGUUUCAGACUUGCUGUGAAGGUCAAAAAAUAACGAUACCCGCCGCGAGAUUCAACACUCAUCGGACUACAUACAUCGGUAUGUAUUAUUUACAAUAAGUCAUUAGCUCGCUCCAUUGUUCCGAAGAAUGGAGUUUUAGUCAUCUUGCCCAUGAGGCAUGGUCACAAGUAUCAAAUGAUUCAUAAUCAAGUGAUUCCAAAAGCCCAUCUGCAUGGAGUUUCUUCAUGUGCUUUACACCAAUAUGACCUAAAUGGUAGUGCCACAAAUAUGUUGCACUAUCAUUAUCAACUUUGUAUCUUUUGGCAUCAAUAUUAUGAAUAUGUGUAUCACUACGAUCGAGAUUCAAUAAACCAUUUACAUUAUGUGUAUGACCAUAGAAGGUUUUAUUCAUGUAAACAGAACAACAAUUAUUCUCUGACUUAAAUGCAUAAUCGUAUUGCAAUAAACAUGAUCCAAUCAUAUUCAUGCUCAACGCAAACACCAAAUAACGUUUAUUUAGGUCCAAUACUAAUCUCGAAGGUAGAGGGAGUGUGCAAUGGUGAUCUUAUCAACCUUGGAAUCACUUCCAACACACAUCGUCACCUCGCCAUUAACUAGUCUCCGUUCAUUUUGUAACUCCUGUUUCGAGUUACUAAUCUUAGCAACUAAACCAGUAUUAAAUACCCUGGGGUUACUAUGAACACUAGUAAAAUACACAUCAAUGACAUGUACAUCAAAUAUACUUUUGUUCACUUUGCCAUCCCUCUUAUCCGCCAAGUAUUUGGGGUAGUUCCGCUUCCAGUGACCAUUCCCUUUGCAGUAGAAGCACUCAGUUUCAGGCAUAGGUCUAGCUUUGGGCUUCUUCACGGGAGUGGAAAAUUGCUUGUCAUUCUUAUUGAAGUUCCCUUUCUUUUCCUUUUCCCUUUUUCUUGAAACUAGUGGUCUUGUCAAUCAUCAACACUUGAUGCUUUUUCUUGAUUUCUACCUUCGCUGAUUUCAGUAUCGCGAAGAGCUCAGGAAUCGUUUUCGUCAUCCCUUGCAUAUUAUAGUUUAUCACAAAGUUCUAGUAGCUUAGUGAUAGUGACUAGAGAACUCUGUUAAUUACUAUCUUAUAUGGAAGAUUAACUCCCACUUGAUUCAAGCGAUUGUACUACCCAGACAUUUUGAGUACAUGCUCACUAGCUGAGCCAUUCUCCUCCAUCUUGUAGGCAAAGUACUUGUGAGAGGUCUCAUACCUCUCGACAUGGGCAUGAGUCUGAAAUACAAAUUUCAACUCUUGGAACAUCUUAUAUGCUCUAUGGCAUUCAAAAUGUUUUUGAAGUCCCAAUUCUAACCCGUAAAGCAUGGUGCACUAAACUAUCAAGUAGUCAUCAUACCGAGCUUGUCAAACAUUCAUAACAUCUGCUCCUGCAAUAGGUCUAUCACCUAGAGGUGCAUCAAGGACAUAAUUCUUCUGUGUAGCAUCGAGGAUAAUCCUCAGAUCACGGACCCAGUCCGCAUCAUUGCUACUAUCAUCUUUCAACUUAGUUUUCUCUAGGAACGUAUCAAAAACAUAGCGGAGCUACAACGCGAGCUAUUGAUCUACAACAUAGAUAUGCAAAUACUAUCAGGACUAAGUUCAUGAUAAGUUAAGUUCAAUUAUCAAAUUACUUAAGAACUCCCACUUAGAUAGACAUCCCUCGAGUCAUCUAAAUGAUUACGUGAUCCAAAUGAACUAAACCAUGUCUGAUCAUCACAUGAGAUGGAUUAGUCUUCAAUGGUGAACAUCUCCAUGUUGAUCAUAUCUACUAUAUGAUUCACGUUCGACCUUUCAGUCUCCAGUGUUCCGAGGCCAUGUCUGUACAUGCUAGCCUCGUCAAGUUUAACCCGAGUAUUCUGCAUGUGCAAAACUGUCUUGCACCCGCUGUAUGUGAAUGUAGAGCCUAUCACACCCGAUCAUCACAUGGUGUCUCAACAGAACGAACUGUCGCAAUGGUGCAUACUCAGGGAGAACACUUAUACCUUGAAAUUUUAGUAAGGGAUCAUCUUAUAAUGCUACUGCCAUACUAAGCAAAAUAAGAUGCAUAAAAGAUAAACAUCACAUGAAAUCAAAACAUGUGACAUGAUAUGGCCAUCUUCAUACUGUGCCUUUGAUCUCCAUCUCUAAAGCACCGUCAUGAUCUCCAUCGUCACCGGCUUGACACCUUGAUCUCCAUCAUAGCGUCAUGGUCGUCUCACCAACUAUUGCUUCUACAACUAUCGCUAACACAUAGUGAUAAAGUAAAGCAAUUACAUGGCGUUUGCAUUUCAUACAAUAAAGAGACAACCAUAAGGCUCCUACCGGUUGCCAGUGACUUUUACAAAACAUGAUCAUCUCAUACAAUAACGUAUAUCACAUCAUGUAUUGACCAUAUCACAUCACAACAUGCCCUGCAAAGUUAGACGUCCUGUACUUUGUUGUUGCAAGUUUUGCGUGGCUGCUACGGGCUUCUAGAAACAACCGUUCUUAUCUACGCAUCAAAAACCACAACGGUGGUUUAUCAAGUUUUCUGUUUUAACCUUCAACAAGGACCGGUCGCAGUCAAAUUCGAUUCAACUUUGGAGAAACAAACACCCGCUAGCCACCUUUACGCAAAACUAGUUACAUUUCUGUCGGUGGAACCGGUCUCAUGAACGUGGUCAUGUAAGGUUGGUCCGGGCCGCUUCAUCCAAAAAUAACACCGAAUCAAAAUAAGAAAUUGGUGGUAAGCAAUAUGACGAUCACCGCCCACAACUCUUUGUGUUCUACUCGUGCAUAUCAUCUAUGCAUAGACCUGGCUCGGAUGCCACCGUUGGGGAACGUAGCAUGCAAUUUCAAAAAAAUUCCUAUGCUCACGCAAGAUCUAUCUAGGAGAUGCAUAGAAACGAGAGGGGGAGAGUGUGUCCACGUACCCUCGUAGACCGAAAGCGGAAGCGUUUGACAACGUGGUUGAUGUAGUUGAACUUCUUCUCGUUCUGACCGAUCAAGCACUGAACGUACGGCACCUCCGAGUUCUGCACACGUUCAGCUCGAUGAUGUCCCUCGAACUCUUGAUCCAGCAAAGUGUUGAGGGAGAGUUCUGUUAGCAUGACGGCAUGUUGACGGUGAUGGUGAAGUAAUCCGCGCAGGGCUUCGCCUAAGCACUACGUGAAUAUGACCGGGGGCGUAAACUGUGGAGGGGGCCGCCGCACACGGUUAACAACUGUUGAUGUGUGUUCUAGAGGUUCCCCCCUCAUAUAUAUAGGUUGGAGGGGAGGAGAGGAAGCCAAGGGGGUGCCCCAAGUAGGAGGAAUCCUACUUGGGCGCCUCCCAAUUUGCCCCCCCCUCCAUAUCCAUCCGGAGGGGGAAAGAAGGAGGAGGGAAGGAAGGGGGAGGCCGAAUCCCUCCCCUUCCUUUCUCCCUUCUCCUCCCCUUCCUUUGCGCACCAGCCCCUUAGGGGCUGGUAUGUCCCCCUCUUGGGCCAUUAAGGCCCAUGUAGUUGCCGGGGGGAUGCCCGGAACCCCUUCUAGUGACCCGAUAUGCACCCGGUACCCCCAUAACACUUCCGGUGUCCGAAUACCAUCAUCCUAUAUAUCAAUCUUUACCUCUCGACCAUUUCGAGACUCCUCAUCAUGUCCGUGAUCUCAUCUGGGACUCCAAACAACAUUCGGUCACCAAAUCACAUAACUCAUAUAAUACAAAAUCGUCAUCGAACGUUAAGCGUGCGGACCCUACGGGUUCGAGAACUAUGUAGACAUGACCGAGACACCUCUCCGGUCAAUAACCAACAGCGGAACCUGGAUGCUCAUAUUGAUUCCUACAUAUUCUAUGAAGAUCUUUAUCGGUCAUAUCGUAAUGACUACAUAUGUUAUUCCCUUUGUCAUCGGUAUGUCACUUUCCCGAGAUUCGAUCGUCGGUAUCUUCAUACCUAGUUCAAUCUCGUUACCGGCAAGUCUCUUUACUCAUUCCAUAAUACAUCAUCCCGUAACUAACUCAUUAGUCACAUUGCUUGCAAGGCUUAUCAUGAUGUGUAUUACCGAGAGGGCCCAGAGAUACCUCUCCGAUACUCGGAGUGACAAAUCCUAAUCUCGAUCUAUGCUAACCAAACAAACACCUUCGGAGAUACCUGUAGAUCAUUUUUAUAAUCACUCAGUUAUGUUGCGACGUUUGAUAUCACACAAGGUAUUCCUCCGUUAUCCGGGAGUUGCAUAAUCCCAUAGUCGAAGGAAUAUGUAUUUGACAUGAAGAAAGCAAUAGCAAUAAAACUGAACGAUCAUUAUGCUAAGCUAACGGAUGGGUCUUGUCCAUCACAUCCUUCUCCUAAUGACGUGAUCCCAUUCAUCAAAUGAAAACACAUGUCUAUGGUUAGGAAACUUAACCAUCUUUGAUUAACAAGCUAGUCUAGUAGAGGCUUACUAGGGACACGGUGUUUUGUCUAUGUAUCCACACAUGUAUCAAGUUUCCGGUUAAUACAAUUCUAGCAUGAAUAAUAAACAUUUAUCAUGAUAUAAGGAAAUAUAAAAUAAUAACUUUAUUAUUGCCCCCAGGGCAUAUUUCCUUCAUGCACGGAGUCCAACGGCUGGAAACGGUCACCUAAGGGAGAACACUAGUCUUCUCCUACUUCCAACCUUAAUCCUUUUGCCUUGUUGGGCAAUCACCAUUUUCAACGUCUAUUUUUCUCGUAUCUCUCAAUCCCUCCACCCAAAUUUGUUGAUACUUUGGGGAUUGAGUGAGCAAGGCCCGAUCUACACUUUGUCCAAACCAAUUCACGUUCAUGUAAUAUUUCUUCACCAACAACUUAUUACUCUUUGAGCUUGGUAUCCUGGGCAUUUAGGGUUCUUAUAGGCUUCCUUGCUUGUGGCAUGCUUCAGAGACCUAUGGAAAGGUGUGGUGUGAUCACCUUCAAGACCAACCCCCGAGUGAUUCGAGGCUCAUCCAUUGGUGGUGACUCGAGGAGAACACGAUGAGCUACUUGGUGGCGUUCUGGAGCCAUGGCACCGACACUUAUCUAACAAAGAUUAGCACUUCCACAAGAAAGUGUGACCUUGGGAUAAAAUGUGCGUCCCUGACUCACUUGUGGUUAAUCCUUUUCUGCACUUUACUUUGUUUUGUAUGCUUGUGGGCUUGUUAAUUAUAUUGUUGCCUAACUUACAUUGCUUUGACCUUGCUUGCCAUAUAGGUUGUGAUCAUCUAGUUGCAUGUCUGGAGAACUUACUUUAUUUGCAAAUCCCUAAAAAUGGUAAUUCAUCUUAAAAAAAUUAGUCUCCUAUUCACCCCCCUCUAGUAGACCGCAUCGAUCCUUUCACCCACAAACAAACAAGGUCCGCCAACUAAAAUCAUUACCCACAUUCAGCAUGUGCACAUCAAUAAAAGCUUGCACAUUUAUUAAGAACUAUGGCCUGCAGGGAUUCGUACCAAAAGAGUGUCAAGCCCCUCUACGGCCAUCACUGCAAACACCACAAAAUCCUUUAAGACCGAGCCUCCACUUCUAUUUCUCCAUCUUCACUAAACUUUGUCUUGUCUCACAAAGGAAAACAAAAGAUUGGGGAUAUUGGGUUUUGAGAGGGCUAAAACCUCGCGAGCCCCCCCCCCCCAAAAAAAGUUCCAAAACAGGAGACUCAUUGUUCCUAGUGGUACCCUCGAGGGAGCCCGCAGAUCUAGCUUCACCGUCACCACGACUCUUGUUUGUCGCUUGCUGCUCGAACUAUAACUAGUGGAUUCAUGCUCAGGAAGAUCCUCCCCCUUCCCCUCUGUGAUUGCCAGCACACCGGGUGGGGCUUCGGCCAGAUCAAGACUCCAUUUACAUGCACUUUGUUGCGUUCUUGUCCAAGUCCAUGUUUUCGCCUAGGAGUUUCUUAGGGCUAGCGGUUGUAUCAACGAUUUUUGGAUCAAUCUCCUCCUGACCCUGACCAUUACAUUUCCCCGCAGGAGCGACGCGAGCCCCAUCACCUGGAAUUCCAUGGCUUACAGAAGGGACCUUUGUUACUCUUCUUUCUUAUUCUCGAAAAAAUAAAAAAAAAUGGUAAAAGACUCUUCUUUCUUCUUAUUUAGAAAAGCACCUUCUCCGAAGAGACUCUUUUUGUGAGAAAUUUCCUAAGGGGAAACUUUGUUUUUGCCACUCUAGCUUUUGACCACUUUGCUUUUGCCACUCUAGAAUUUGACAUUUCACUUUUGCCACUCUUAGUUUUUGACAAUACAUCACAAUUGCCAUUCCAUGGCAAAAACAAUAAUUUUAGAGUGGCAAUUAUGAUACAUUGUCAAAAUCUAAAGUGGCAAAAGUGAAAUGAAAAAUUAUUGCUUUUGCCACAAAAUGGCAUUUGUAAUGUAUUGUCAGAAGCUAAGAGUGGCAAAAGUGAUAUGUCUAAUUCUAGAGUAGCAUAAGCAAAAUGGACAAAAACUAGAAUGGCAAAAACAAAGUUUUCCCAUUUCCUAAGAGACUUGGUCUUUUCUGUAGCGUAUAUGUGUCAAAAUUGUUUGAUAUUUUUUGGGACAAUUAUUGUGCUGCUUACGCAUGGAUGGUAGUCUGAACAAAGGCACAUAAAUUUAAUGCGAAUAUCCAAUUCUGAGCCCGGGCUCAUCUGCACCCGCUUAAGAGAAAAAAUCAUAAAAACUUCAAAAAAAAUCCAAAAAUUUUGUGGAAGGUACAUAAUUUGGUGCAUGAGGUGCACUCUAAAUUUCAGAGCAUUUGCACAUUUGAGUAGCUCUCAACAAAAAAGACAAAUUGAGUUAGAACAGUAUAUGAACAGUACACUAUUUAACAGACCUCAAAUUUGUUUUUUUUUUUGCCGAGAGCUACUCAGAUGUUCAAAUGAUUUGAAAUUUGGAACAGACAUCACGCAACAAAUUAUCUACCAUGCCAAAAAAUUGUAAUUUUUCGAAUUUUUUAGUUUUUGUUUUGAUUUUUUUAUUGAGCGCAUAGAUGAUCCUGUGAGCCAAAACGCCUCACUCCAUUACUCUUUAUACUUCUUCUGUCCUUGCUCUCAACCCAAGUUUCUCUGACCGCAGCUACGAAACACCAAUUUCCUUCUCCGCUCGACGACAUCGACAUCACACAAGUAGGAAUACGUCACGUUUCUUGGCUGCCGCUAUACUUGUUGCCCAGCAGAAAACGAGCCGACUCCCCUCGUUCCCAGCACGUAAAUCAUCGCGUACGCGGCGGACAAGGCAGCGUUUUCGGCGUGACCCGAACAAACUUUCUUCCUUCUGGUUGCAACGGCCUCUACGUCCGUCUACUCGUCUACUACUCCCGCCCGCCCGGACUAGUCUUGCUACCGCCCAACCGUAUCAAUUUGGCGCGUGAAACGCCGUGAUUUGUAGUUUGGCACAUCAAUUGAAAGCCUUGCCUGGCCGCAACGGGGGAUAGGGUGGGGUGGUCGGCCCGUUGCCAGGCACACAUGGUGCGUGACGCCAAACGGAGUCUCUGCAGCCUCUGUCUGACCCGUUGCCGUGUGAGCAAGUCACGCCACACACACACACACACACACGCACACAAUGACACAAACUUACAGAGAGUGGUGAGGUGAGGUGUGUCCUUGUGUCACUGGGUGGUGGGGUAGAAACCUGAAAGGGUGCCGUGUGAAUCCCACACUGUGGCGCUUAUAAAAAACCAAGGAGAGGCGCAGUAGCAGGGGCGAGCCUGCACUCAGUACCAUCUUCCUUCUGAUUGGCCAUUGGGGUGGCCGGGUGGGAAGCAAGCAAGGAAGGAGGCGACCAUAGCCAGCCAGCCAUGGCGACCAGGCCGGGGCCUUUGACUGAAUGGCCAUGGCAGAGGACGGGCAACUUCAAGGUACGCACUACGCAGGCGAUAACAAUGCUAGCUCUUCCUCCGUUCUUUGCUCUGUUGCUCGAGUCGAGAUGCGUAGGAAGAGGCUUCUCCAGAGCAAGAAACUACGAGUAGGUUGGUUGAACUCAUACAUCAACCAAGUAAACCAGUACUGUAUUUCCAAAGCAAAUGUUUUCUGUUGCCACUCCUGGCAGACUUGCUUGGAUAUUCUUGUGUGGCACCCGCAAUAGUUGUUGCAUGGUUCUGCUCUUGCUAGAUUUAGCAACACGAACAAUACAAAAUUUACUUUCCUCGAAGAGACAGUCCUGGGCAUGAGACAGUGCAUUUACUUUCCUCGAAGAGGAGGAGAUUCUCGACCUGGUACCCGUUCGGCGUUGUUUCUUGUUGUCUCGCGGAAUUCAUUACUACUCUCAUAGUACUAUGAUUAAUUAACGUGGCCAAAUGCUGUUGUGUGGUGGCGCAGUACCUGGUGAUGGCGCCGGUGGUCGUCCACGGCGCGUACCGGGUGAUGACCAAGGGGUGGGGCGACAUCGACCUGGCCUACUCGCUGAUCCUGCCGUCGCUGGCGCUGCGGAUGAUCCACAACCAGAUCUGGAUCAGCCUGUCCCGCUACCAGACCGCGCGCAGCAAGCACCGCAUCGUGGACCGCGGCAUCGAGUUCGAGCAGGUGGACCGCGAGCGCGGGUGGGACGACCAGAUCGUCUUCAACGGGCUGCUCUUCUACGCCGGGUACCUGGCGAUGCCGAGCGUGCGGAGGUUCCCGCUGUGGCGGACGGACGGGGCGGUGGCGACGGCGCUGCUGCACGCGGGGCCCGUGGAGUUCCUCUACUACUGGUUCCACCGCGCGCUGCACCACCACUUCCUCUACUCGCGCUACCACUCCCACCACCACGCCUCCAUCGUCACCGAGCCCAUCACCUGUAAGCCCUCCAAUAUUCUCUCACUCUCUCUCUCUCUCUCUCUCUCUCUCUCUCACUCUCUCUCUCUCUCUCUCUCUCUCUCUCUCUCGCCUUACCACAUCUAAUUACCCGCAUCAGUUUAGUUUAUAUAUUGCUCUUCGGGUCUUUGAUUAUAAUGCUACGUAGUACACUUGCUACGAUCACCGUGUCGCGUCUCUUGGGCAAAUAAUUUAAUCAGCCCACGUAUGUACCAGUAGGAUCCAAGAACAGUAGGCAUGUGACCAUGAUAAGAACCAUUUAUUACCGGUUCCAUACAAGCAAAUUCCCUACUACCACAAGUGUCCAGCUCCAGCUCAAAACACAAUAGUGUUCUCUAAUGAAACAGCUGCACGUCUCGGCCCAUGCUCGCCAUCCCUCUUUCAACGAAAGGGGUUGGUUUCGACUGGACCACUGGAUACGUGUAGUGCUGUAGUCUCUGCACCGUCUGACCGGAAACAGUAGCGCAGUACGUACACUGCACCAGCAGCUUUAAACCACGGCCCGGCCCACACUUGCUGCCAGGGAAACGAACAUGGCAUGUGACUGCCUGAAAUGCGGCGGCAGAGGCCACGCCCAAACGAUCGCGACAAUUAAUUUUGGCCCAAACUUAUCAACGGACGAAAUGAAAGGCAGACCCAAACGUCCUCCAAAGAAAGGCAACUAACUAUUCUAAAAAAAAGGCAACUAUUGUAUGGCACAUACAGAGCAGAGAGUUCAAAAUAUUUUUUUUGAGACAUGAGAGUACAAAAUAUAUACCUAAUGCAAAAAAUAUAUAUAGGCUUUUGUGGUCUUUUUUGUUUUGGGGAAACCAAUUUUGGUCACUUAACUAGCGGUCGAUUCUAUAUUUGGUCCCUGGAAUUUGAUACCAGACAUCUUCAACGCUAAACAUUUCAAGUCCGACAAAUUUAGUCUAUGAGUUUAGUUAAGUUGGCAAUGAGAACGGCCAAUGGACAACAGGGUGUUUUUGUACAAGUGGCUGCAUAGUUAGUGUAGACAUAGCACUAAAAACAUCUUUGGGUUUGUGUGUGCUUAUGGGCUUGCUAAGACAUAGCCUAGUGGUGGGAAGGGGCUGAUGCCUUCCCACCCACCCAGGUUCAAGGCAUGAUACUUGCAAUUUGGGUUUGUUGCAUCAAUUAUACUGUAGGGGUUCCCUUACAGUCUUUCUGUAAAAAAAAAAGCACUAAAAAGGAAAAAAAAUAAAGAUAAAAGAAAUAACGGAAACAUCUUUCUUCGUGGGGAUCCCCUAUUCCUCAAAGAGAAACAUAUUUCUUUGAAAAAAUGAAACUAUAUUGAAUAUAUUCAGAAAGAGACUUUAAAACUGAAAUAUUUAAGAAAAUAUAAUCUAGAAACAUAAUAUUCAGAAACUUGGGCGAAUCUUUAAGAAGUAUUGCUGGAAUUUUGAAACUUGAGUAAACUUACUAAUAACCAAGAACAAUUAUGGAAAGGUGAAAUGUAUGGUCAUAUUUCGUAAAUUAUUUGUGAAUUUUCUACAUUUUUUUUUGUUUUGCGAUGAAGUUUUAUAUUUUAAUAGUUUUCACAUGUUAAGUAACUUUUAAAGAAAUAUUUUUCUUUCAAAGUUUUUUCUGUCAAAGACUGUAGGGGGUUCCCUUACAGUCUUUCUGUCAAAAAAAGCACUAAAAAGGAAAAAAAUAAAGAUAAAAGAAAUAACGGAAACAUCUUUCUUCGUGGGGAUCCCCCAUUCCUCAAAGAGAAACAUAUUUCUUUUAAAAAAUGAAACUAUAUUGAAUAUAUUCAGAAAGAGACUUUGAAACUGAAAUAUUUAAGAAAAUAUAAUUUAGAAACAUAAUAUUCAGAAACUUGGGGAAAUUUUUAAGAAGUAUUCCUGGAAUUUUGAAAUUUGAGUAAACUUACUAAUAACCAAGAACAAUUAUGGAAAGGUGAAAUGUAUGGUCAUAUUUGGUAAAUUAUUUGUGAAUUUUCUACAUUUUUUUGUUUUGCGAUGAAGUUUUAUAUUUUAAUAGUUUUCACAUGUUAAGUAAGUUUUAAAGAAAGAUUUUUCCUUCAAAGUUUUCUCUGUCAAAGACUGUAGGGAGUUCCCUUACAGUCUUUCUGUCAAAAAAAAUCACUAAAAAAAUAAAGAUAAAAGAAAUAACGGAAACAUCUUUCUUCGUGGGGAUCCCCCAUUCCUCAAAGAGAAACAUAUUUCUUUGAAAAAAUGAAACUAUAUUGAAUAUAUUCAGAAAGAGACUUUGAAACUGAAAUAUUUAAGAAAAUAUAAUUUAGAAACAUAAUAUUCAGAAACUUGGGGAAAUUUUUAAGAAGUAUUCCUGGAAUUUUGAAAUUUGAGUAAACUUACUAAUAACCAAGAACAAUUAUGGAAAGGUGAAAUGUAUGGUCAUAUUUGGUAAAUUAUUUGUGAAUUUUCUACAUUUUUUUGUUUUGCGAUGAAGUUUUAUAUUUUAAUAGUUUUCACAUGUUAAGUAACUUUUAAAGAAAGAUUUUUCUUUCAAAGUUUUUUCUGUCAAAGACUGUAGGGGUUCCCUUACAGUCUUUCUGUCAAAAAAAGCACUAAAAAGGAAAAAAAUAAAGAUAAAAGAAAUAACGGAAACAUCUUUCUUCAUGGGGAUCCCCCAUUCCUCAAAGAGAAACAUAUUUCUUUGAAAAAAUGAAACUAUAUUGAAUAUAUUCAGAAAGAGACUUUGAAACUAAAAUAUUUAAGAAAAUAUAAUUUAGAAACAUAGUAUUCAGAAACUUGGGGAAAAUUUUAAGUAUUCCUGGAAUUUUGAAAUUUGAGUAAAUUUACUAAUAACCAAGAACAAUUAUGGAAAGGUGAAAUGUAUGGUCAUAUUUGGUAAAUUAUUUGUGAUUUUUCUACAUUUUUUUGUUUUGCGAUGAUGUUUUAUAUUUUAAUAGUUUUCACAUGUUAAGUAACUUUUAAAGAAAGAUUUUUCUUUCAAAGUUUUUUCUGUCAAGGACUGUAGGGGGUUCCCUUACAGUCUUUCUGUCAAAAAAAAGCACUAAAAAAAUAAAGAUAAAAGAAAUAACGGAAACAUUUUUCUUCGUGGGGAUCCCCCAUUCCUCAAAGAGAAACAUAUUUCUUUGAAAAAAUGAAACUAUAUUGAAUAUAUUCAGAAAGAGACUUUAAAACUGAAAUAUUUAAGAAAAUAUAAUUUAGAAACAUAAUAUUCAGAAACUUGGGGAAAUUUUUAAGAAGUAUUCCUGGAAUUUUGAAAUUUUAGUAAACUUACUAAUAACCAAGAACAAUUAUGGAAAGGUCAAAUGUAUGGCCAUAUUUGGUAAAUUAUUUGUGAAUCUUCUACAUUUUUUUGUUUUGCGAUGAAGUUUUAUAUUUUAAUAGUUUUCACAUGUUAAGUAACUUUUAAAGAAAUAUUUUUCUUUCAAAGUUUUUUCUCACAAUUUUCCAACCUCCCCUUUUUAAAAAACUUCCCUGAGUUGUUUUCUAUGUUUUUCUUUUGUGUGUGUGUGCUUACGGGGCUUGCUACUUGGAGAUCAGUUCAAAUUUGUUUGGCUUUGACGAUUAGGGUAAUUCUGAAAUGCACAAAUAGUUGAAGGGAUAAAAAAGGAUUAUUUGUUCCCCAUGUCUUUAGGAUCUUGGAUGGUGUUAAACAUGCUUUCUCCCAUAGGUCAUAAUAACUUGGUGCUGACUGCCAAGAACGGGCAAAGAUUAGUUCCAGUGUUAAUGUGACAAAAUUUAUCUUAUUUUUGUUCUAUUGUUCUUAAGACUUGUUCCUAACUUGGUUAGUUUGAACGUAAUGCAAAUGUAGGAAUCCUAAUCAUGGAAAAAAAAUUGGGGUGAUGUGUGGCGGUUGUGCAACCUUCUAGCUGACCACUUUUAGAUUGAACACUGUUACCAUAGAAAGGUUGUGUGCUUUCUAACCAGUAAUGUAAGAGCUAAGAGGUGUUUUUGCAUAAUUACUUCUGUGUGACUAAGCAUGUAAAGAAUGUGUCAUGUUUAUGAAAAUGUUCUCUUGGUUUCUAAUACGUCUCUGUAUUGCAGCGGUCAUCCAUCCUUUUGGCGAACACAUCGUCUAUUUCACGCUCUUUGCAAUCCCGAUGUUGUCCACAGUUUAUAUGGGAAAUGGCUCCGCCCUCGUGUUUGUGCUGUAUAUCGUUUACAUUGACUUCAUGAACAACAUGGGGCACUGCAACUUUGAGUUGGUGCCAAAGUGGAUGUUCCAAGUCUUUCCUCCUCUCAAGUACCUCAUGUACACCCCAUCGUAAGUGCAGACCCUUAACAUUAAUCCCACAACCUAGUCUAGGUAUUAACCAAAAAAAUGAUGGGACUUGGAGUUUAGAGAUUCUAGACUUCACUGAAAUCAACAUAACAAUCUUUUGCCGGUUUCUUAUGCAGGUUUCAUUCCCUUCACCACACGCAGUUCCGCACAAACUAUUCACUCUUCAUGCCAUUUUACGAUUAUAUAUACAGCACUAUGGACAAGGCAUCUGACGAGCUGUAUGAAAACUCACUGAAAGGGACAGAGGAGACACCUGACCUUGUUCAUCUCACACAUAUGACCAACUUGCAGUCGGCUUAUCAUCUAAGGGUUGGAUUCGCCUCCAUAGCAUCCAAACCAUCUGAUAACUCCGAGUGGUAUAUGUGGACGCUAUGGCCCUUGGCAUGGCUGUCAAUGGUGGUAGCAUGGAUUUAUGGGUCAUCUGCAUUCGUGGUCGAGAGAAUCAAACUGAAGAAGAUGAAGAUGCAAACAUGGGUCGUACCGAGAUACAACUUCCAAGUAACCAACUCCCCUGGCCAUUUAUGCGUUUAUCUGAUGGCUGCAAGUUGCUUAACUAUUUUCUUUCUUCCUGCAGUAUGGUGUGACAUGGGAUAGAGAAUCGAUCAAUGACUUAAUUGAAAAGGCGAUAUUGGAUGCUGAUGUAAGAGGGGUUAAGGUGCUCAGUCUAGGGCUACUAAAUCAGGUAACUAAUCCUUACUUCAAAAACUCAUAUUGCAGAGGUACACAGUGUAUGUGAGCAUGGUGAAGACAGAAAAAUCAUAAAAUAACAUAAUAAAAUUAAUGCUAUUGCUUCGGUAGACCCCCCUCACAAACCGUAUAAAGGGCAGCAUGGUCAUUUGACCAUAACGUGUACAACCAUCUUUCGUGUGUGACACCUACUGUAUGUUGACGUAUCCGCCCGCCACACACACCCCUCCAGACCUUAUGGUUUAUUUCCACCCAACAUAACCAACUAGGACAACUCACUUUUUAUGCAUAAGUACUUCUUUUACUCUUUUUAUUGUUUAUUUUCUCAGACUACUAAUGGGAAAGCUUUGGCUGGUUGGAUUUGACUUGAGAACGUGGCUUUCCAUAGAUAGUUUGCACAUAACAAACGGAAGUGGUUCCAAUUUGUUCUCUAAAACAGUCCAGCGAAAAUUAAUUCUCCUAAAAUCAUGCGAGUAUAAAUUGAGAGUCUGUUUAUUUCUCUUUUGUUCUUUCGGAAAUUAUGUUCAAUGAAAUUUUGUACGACAUACAUGCUACUAAAAUCAGAUGCAUAUUAAAUUUGCUUCCACUGUCAUGAAAAUGUGCUUCCUUGAGUUAAUCAAAUUGCUUCAAAUUUAAAAUAUGUUCAAACUUAACCAAAAGUUGUUUUGUGUUGGAUAAAAUUAUUUAUCCCAUCACAUCUCGAACCGGGAAUUUGCUUGCUUCCGAUGCAUACCAAAUUUUCUUUGAGGCAAUAUGCGUUUUCAACACAGUGAAAUCAUGUUUCAAUCAAUUCGAGAAUUUACUCCUGGUGCAACUAAAAUGUGCUUCUAGUUUUUUUUGCAAGGAACUAAAAUAUGCAUCGACUUAACGCAAAAUGUUAUCCAUAUAAUUAUUAUUUUCAUCCAUCAUAGCUCAGUUAGAGAAUUGGCUUCCAUGAGAUAGAUACAUGAGUCCAAUGUAAUAUAAUAUUCUCGUUUCCAAUCACAGUAAAAAUUGGGCGCUCUAAUUGUACAUUUUGCUUCCAUCAUGGUUCAAAUUUUAGAAAUUUGGGUCACUUCAUGAAUGUCCAAAAAACACCAUGUUCAACAGAGGGUGGUCGGCUAGGACAAAAAUCUCCAUUUGAGAGCACAUUUUUUUGGCAUCCGUCAAAUGAAGCCAAUAUUUAUUUCCAUGAGCUUAUAUGACCAAUUAAAGGCACCGUGCCAAGUUGUUUUAGUUUUCGAUAAAUUUUGCAUUUUCUGGAGUUUUCUCGGGCAAAAAAACUCAUAAAUGGCCGAACGUGUCACAACUUGCAUAUGAUUUUGGAAAUUCGUUCAAAUCUGACCUGGAUGCCUACCAUGGGCAUUCCCACCUACUUGCAAGAUUUGGGAUCAUUCAAAGGAUGUACAAACAUAGACCAUGUCCAAUGGAGGGUGCCCGGCUAGGCCAGAAGGCUUCAUCUGAGAGCACGAUGUUUCCCGAUAUCCUUCAAAUGACCCCAAUUUUUUUCUAUGCCUUGUAUGACUAAUUCAAGGCACCAUGCCCAGUUAUUUUGGUUUUUGACAAAUUUUGCAUUUCUUGGAGUUUUCUCGGUCAAAAAAUGGUCAGACGUGUCGCAACUUGCAUAAGGUGUCGGAAAUCGUUCAAACCUAAAAUGAAUGCCUACUAUAGCCAUGCGCUUACAAAAGUUGGGGUGAAUUCAAGAAUUUCUAAAACUAAACCAUGUUUAAUGGAGGGUGUCUAGGUAUGCUAUCUGAGAGCAUGUUGUUUCUCCACAUCCUCGAAAUGGCCUUAAUUUUUCUCAUGACCUUGUAUGAUCAAUUCAAGACAUCAUGCCAAGUUGUUUUGGUUUUCGGUAAUUUUUACAUUUUCUGGAGUUUCCUCGGUCAAAAAAGGUCGAUACAAUGAUCGAACGUGAUGCAACUUGCAUACGGAGUCAGAAAUCGUUCAAACCUGACAUGGAUGCCUACCAUGGGCAUCCCCACCUUUUUGCAAAAGGUUGGUUCAUUUCAAGAAUAUCCAAUACUCGACCAUGUUUAACAUAGGGUGUCCGGAUAGGCAGAAGGUUCCAAUCCAAUUGCCAUACUUUUUUGUAACGAAUUUUCUCCCGGCUACUUGCCUCUACGAUCUUGUAUGGUACACAGGCUAUGUAUCGGAGGUCUUCACAUGGAGGGUGUACUUUAAAGAAAAGACCAUCGUGCCCUUUAUUAUGAAGGGGUAUAGAGUAAUCUCAGCCAUCGAUGUGUUUAAGGGGGUCUACCGAAGCAGAAGUGUAAAAUUAAAUAGUACGGAGAAAUGUACAGUAAUAUGUGCUCUGAUCCCUAGAUAUUUUCUCUUCAUUCAUCUAAAAAGGGAUUAGUACUUUGUAUUGAUAAUGAGAAUUGACUUGUUUCUCUCUCUUUUUUCCCCUUUAGGCAAAACAGCUCAAUGGGAAUGGUGAACUAUUUAGACAAAAAUACCCAAAAUUAGGAGUUCGAAUUGUUGAUGGAAGUGGCUUAGCAACUGGAGUUGUCCUAAAAAGCAUCCCUUCAGAUGCAAAGCAAGUUUUUCUUCAUACAGGGACUUCUAAGGUAGCCCGUGCCAUUGCUAUGGCAUUAUGUGGCAGGGGCAUCCAGGUAUAUCUAUAUCUUCCUGCAGCCAUGUCUCUACUUUUCUGGGUAAAGAGUUUUGUAGAAUAUUUUCAUGAAAUCAUUUUCGGCUCAGGUGAUCAUGAAUCGUAAGAAAGAGUAUGACAUGCUCAAGUCACAGAUGCCAGAGGACGGAGCAAGCUACUUGAAGUGCUCCAGCAAUGACAUAACCAAGGUAAAAGUUAUGCUGAUCAAUGAAAAGUUUCCUGGAAAGUACUGUAUUACAUUGUUGAGUGUGGAACUAAAUCAUGGUUUAAUCAUAUAUAUGUGUCCUUGAGAAGAAAGUUGUUGGCAUACCUAAAAGUGUUAUCGGUGCACCAUAGUAUGACCAACUCCCAAACAUGUUCUCAAUAACCAUUUUAGUCAUGAAAACAGUUGCCCUUAGUAAGUGCUAUGUGAUAUAUUUUUCUGCAAAGAAGGGAUAUGGUGAUCAAUAAAACAUUGAAAUUAGCCCUAACAUGGACUCAGUAUGAUUAUCCAAACUUGAACCAUAGUGGAAAUGGGCAGGAGAAAAUGCUCCGGCAGAUUCUUGUACUAACAGUCUUGGAAGUAGCUUGUAUUGAUGUUUCAGUUUGUUGCAGAUUUGGCUAGUAGAGAGGAUCGACGACAAAGAACAGAGGAUGGCACCAAAAGGAACAGUGUUCAUUCCAAUAUCGCAGUUCCCCCUUAAGAAAGUCCGCAAGGACUGCACUUACUUGAGCACUCCAGCGAUGAAGAUCCCGGACACUAUGCAGAACAUCCACUCCUGUGAGGUAAAACCACCACCGAUUUCGCAACGUGUCGUGCGAAUGAACCUCUCCUGCCCAGCACUCGUUUUUUUGGCGGGUGACCAUCACUGAAUAUAUAUAUGUGUGUGUGUGUGUGUUUGGUUCCUCUACAGAACUGGUUGCCGAGAAGGGUGAUGAGCGCGUGGCAUAUCGCCGGAAUACUUCACGUCCUGGAAGGGUGGAGCGUGCACGAGUGCGGUGACGACAUGAUGGAUUCUGAGAAGGCAUGGUCGGUUGCCAUCAGGCACGGCUUCGUCCCUCUCACCAAAGCUUGACUGGGGAAAUGUUGCUAAGAUGGUACUACCGAGAAUUUAUGCUAAAACCGCUGCCUUUUUCUUUUCUUUUCGGGAAUACGCAGCUAAGUCUGUAAGAUUUAUCAGUGUGAACAUCGAACAUCAAUUCCAUUAACUUACUGCUUAUGGAGUACUGUACUUUUGUUGGCAUAACGUGUGUAAGAUCAUGGGAGAUGAUGUUUGGCGUUUGAGUUCAGUAUAGGAAUAAUCGGAACGCCUGAUUUGAGUGACGGGCUCAAAUUAGGUGGACGAAAGAAGGUAAGCUGAGAACCACCUGACUUUCAAAAGAAAAAAAAAGAAGCUGAGAACCACCUGGACUCACCUCUCCCCUGAGUUUGAAUCUGUACGAAGUGUAACAAAAGAGUUUGAAUUGGCAGUGUCCUUCAUUUGGCCUACGGGGUUGGAGUUGGAUCUCCCGAGUAAUCCUGUGCAAUGUUCCACUUUGCGCAGAGUGUACGAAGUGUAACAAAAGAGUUUGAAUUGGCAGUGUCCUUCAUUUGGCCUACGGGGUUGGAGUGGGAUCUCCCGAGUAAUCCUGUGCAAUGUUCCACUUUGCGCAGAGUGUACGAAGUGUAACAAAAGAGUUUGAAUUGGCAGUGUCCUUCAUUUGGCCUACGGGGUUGGAGUUGGAUCUCCCGAGUAAUCCUGUGCAAUGUUCCACUUUGCGCAGAGUGAUCGUGAGGAUCAAGUGAAAGUGCAAACAUGUCACUGCUCUCCGUCCAAAAUUCGGUAUAAAAAUCCCGUUAUGAUGGAUCUUGGGGAGAGAGAAAAAAUCUUUUCGAGAAGCAGCUAAUUUGGUGCCUGCAGUGUAACCAUUCAGGAAUCUCGAUUUCGUCUGAGAAGUACGUUUGUGAAGACUGGAGUUUUAUCGGAAGAGCUGUAUAUCGGUAAGAGCAGCAUCAAGCACCAGUGGUUUAGUGGUAGAAUAGUACCCUGCCACGGUACAGACCCGGGUUAGAUUCCUGGCUGGUGCAUUUGGUUCAAAUUUUCUUUUUACCUUCGAGUGCAAACCACUACAACAAUUCUCCUUUUUUGAAGGAAAUGUCAUCACUUUUACCGUAGGAUAGAAAACCACUACAAUAGUUCUGCUUUUUUAGGAAACACCAAACUAGGUAUGCUUUGCAAAAGCAUCGAUAAGGAAGCACGACCCAAUUACAUAAAACAUUAUUAUCAUAAGCAAACUUUGGGGUGUUUAAAGAAACAACUUUGCUAAUCUAUGGCCUAACCCAUUAGCUUUCCGGACACAAUGCGUACCUUAGGAUAGAAAACCACUAUAGCCUUUUUAUUAGGAAACAUCAUCAUGGCAAGCUUUAUUGAUUCGCCAAUAUAGUUACAUCAUUUGCAAGACCAUCAAUAAGAAAGUUCAGAGGUUCAUCGACUCAAUUACAUGAAACACUAGUAAAUUGUAUGUGCUUUGCAUGCCAUUUAAAUAUAUGUAUAAAAAGCAUGGAAAAAUACAUUUGAAUAUGUAUUUCCUUUCCUAGAACUUGAUAAGAUCCAACUUGGUUCUUACCUCUCUUGAAUCUAGAUUGUUCUAGUCUCUUUUCAUUAGAGUAUCAGAUAAACAUGUGGAUAUAUGCUUCUAGAACACAUGAGAUGAUAGAGUUGGGGGUUCAAUUAAAAGUCCACAUGGCAGAAUUCUAUGAGUUGAAAACUUUAUCCAACGGAUGGUAAUGCUCGGAUUUGCCAUCUCUUGAACGUUGGAUGGGCAUAUCCAACGACUAAUAUUUGAAGAUAUUGGCACACUACAUAGUGGUAUAGAUUAUUAUCAUAAGCAAACUUUGCUCAAUUUAUACUAUAUGGGGUGUUUACAUAAAUAACUUUGCUAACCUAUGGCCUACCCCAUUAGCUUCCCGGACACAACGCAUACCUUAGUAUAGGAAACCACUACAACCUUUUUGCUAGGAAACACCAUCAAGGCAAACUUUAUUGAUUCGCCAAUAUAGUUACAUCAUUUGCAAGCGCAUCAAUAAGAAAGUUCGGAGGUUCAUCGACUCAAUUACAUGAAACAUUAUUAUCAUAAGCAAACUUUGCUCAAUUUAUACUAUAUGGGGAGUUUAAAGAAAUAACUUUGCUAAUCUAUGGCCUACCCCAUUAGCUUCGCGGGCACAAUGCAUACCUUAGGAUAGGAAACCACUACAACUUUUCUGCUAGGAAACUCCAUCAUGGCAAGCUUUAUUGAUUUGCCAAUAUAGUUACAUCAUUUGCAAUUGCAAGCGCAUCAAUAAGGAAGUUCGAAGGUUCAUCGACUCAAUUACAUGAAACAUUGUUAUCAUAAGCAAACUUUGCUUAAUUUAUAUAUGGGAUGUUAAAAAAAACUAUGCUAAUCUAUGGCCUACCUCGGUAGCUUCCUGGAGACAAAAUGCAUAAACUCCACCGAUCCUAUCAUCCUGAUUGUGAUGAAACAUUACACAUAAAUUUAUGAAGCCUCAGACUAGAUCUUGUCUUGUCCAACACAUGCAUAUACCACUUCAAUUGCAUCUGAUUCAAUUUGUAUAGAGUGAAAACCCAAAUUGUUUUCGAGGAGAAGGCCAUGUUUCCUCACCAAUGAUUCUGUUGUAUGUGCGCUAGUAAUAUUAGGUAAUGGAGAGCAAGACGCCUCAAGAAAAACUCCAUGGCUAUCUCUGUUAACUGCACUAGCAGAUCCUUUACCUUCUUCGGCAUGAAAUGACACAUCCACGUUAACUUUAAUGACUCUAUUGAUUGAUUUCUUCCACUUUUUGUCCUAUUCAGUUAAUCGCCCCAUUCUUGCAGGUUAUGACUCUAUGGUAAUUAAGACAGAGCGCACACACAACCAUAGCUCUCCUAACAAUAAACAGAGUCUGAUCAUGAUGCAUUUGUUGUGGUUGUAACCACUAGAGGUACCAACAUGUUGCUCCAAUCCCUCCCUCCUGCGCGUGACAGAUUAGGCAUGCAAGAUUCAGGCAGCCGUAGAAUAUGUUGAAGGAUCACAGAGCCCAAUAUGUCUACCUGCAUAACAUUAGUAAUAACUUGGGAGAGGCGCAGCAAGCGCCACAUGUCUACAACACAAGCACAUCCCAACAACAAAGCAACACAUCUCAGCUCCAUUCAAGCAAAUAUGACAUUGGCCAUCAUCCCUAUGUCUAUUAGCAAGAAUAGAUUUUAGAGGUAUUAUGCCAUGCAGUGCCCUCCCACAUGUUUUUCCCAGUAACUUCAACUUUCACAUAAUAGAACAAACCGGGUUUGGUGCUGAUGGAUCGAACAUUGGCAUAACUCUAUUGUGGAACUGAUAUUUCCACUCUAUAAUGAUAUGCCACUCUGUCCGAGAAAUAAACAAAUAUUCAUAACUAGUCAAAAGAAUUGUAACUCAAUGGAGUUUGGAGAAUACGACCAAUGCUAACUGGAUCAAAAGUGUCCUAGAAUAGUUCUUCAUCCCAAUAAUCCGUUACAAGGUCAAUCAGCUCAUUCACUUUUGUAAUAAGUACACCUGAUCUUUUCUUUUCCUCGAUGGGCUGGAUGGAAUCCAGUGGUCCUCCCAAAUAUUUACUUUCUCUCCAUUUCCAAUUCUUCCAAAUUGCAUUCAUCUCUCUCUCUCUCUCUUGCGGGGACCAGUUGCAUUCAUCUGUUUAGAAAGCCCUAGGUACCUCUUCUGAAAACUUUUUAAUAACCAAUAAAAAUGGCUAAGUCUUUUGUCUUUUUUCACAAGAAAUUUCACCCCUCUAUAAUAUGAUUUAUUAGACCGACUAAACCAAGGUAUCUGAAUGACGUGAGGCAAGAAAGAAUCCGUCAGAGCACUUAGUUCGAUGUCUCCCUCUCAAAAAUAUAAAGAGGAGCUGAGUCAUGGUACCUCUAUAGAAAAAACUACAAUGAUUUUGAGGCUAUGAAUGUGGAAAUGUGAGGAUGUCUAUCAUGGAUGGGCUUAACACAUUGUUGGUCUACAAAAGAGGUUUGUCCUCCUUAGAUUGACAACCCAAUAAGACCACAGAGAGGAGGCCUUUAUCUGAUCUCAAGUUUGAGUAAAAAGCAAAUUAAAUGACUAUAUUGUCUACCUUUUGCCUCAAGAAUACAUAAUAUGGUAUGAACGCUCCAUAUGUUAGCCAAUUCGGAUGAAAAUACUGAAUAAUUCCAUAUGUUAGCCAAUCGAAAACAACAGAAGAAAUCUAUCUUCAUGCUCGACUAGGAUGAGGCCGAGCUAGGGCGGUCCAAUCAAAGAUUCUAUCACUAAAUAUUACAAAGAUAUUUUUGUACCACCAGUAGAUAACAUUUUGUUCGGAUGAGUCCAUAAUAGUUGAUAUCACUCAGGUCUCAAAGGCGGAAACUACAGAAAGUUCGAGGUGUGGUUUUUCAUAUGGAAUAUAGUAAAGCUCCCGGAGUCAGAUGGCUUUCUAGCCGAUUUAAUCAAUGUUUUCCUGGGAUGUAAUGAAGGUGGAUAUGUUAUAGUAGUUCAACCAACUGCAUACAAAAAAACCUUGACAUCACCCAUUCAAACUUUGGAGAAAUAAUUAUGCUUCCCAAGACUAAGGAUGCUAGUCGGAUCCAACAAUAUCAACCAAUUUGUGUCCUAAAUGUCAGCUUUAAGAUUUUUAUAAAGGUGGCGACUAACCAGCUACACGGUGGUGGUUGAUCUUGUGGUUCGUGGAACAUCACAAAUGUAGCAAACCAUAUAUUGCAUUAUUGUUUUUAUUUGAUGAUCACUUUUGCACUUCAUGUCAUCAUCAAGGUUUUGGCUCCAUUAAAUAAUAUGUGACAUUUUAAAAGUAUCGAUCAUUUUAGUUUUAUUGCUCAAGGUCCCCAACUAUUUUAAACCUUGGCUUUUGAAAUCCGUUUUGCAAAGGAUUUCAAUAUUUUCAAAUUCAAAAUUCUUCAAUUGCUACACAACUUUGCACAUAUGGUUCUUAUCACAUUCUUAGCCUCCCAUAUAAACUUCCUAAAUUUAAACCUCCGUCUACUCAUAGCUCUAGUUCAAACCUUCAAUUUGAAUUCAACUUCAUCCAAAAAUGUUGUAGACACCUUCAUGGGUAUGGAAGUAUUCCAGUAAGCUCUUAACAAAGUUUUUUACAUUAUCAAAUUACCUAGCCAUUUCUUAUCUCUCUCUCUCUCUCUCUCUCUCUCUCCCUCUCUCGUGCAGGGACCAGUUGCAUUCCUCCAUUUAGAAAGCCCUAGGUACCUCUUCUAAAAACUUCUUAAUAGCCAAUAAAAAUGGAUAAGUCUUUUUUUCCUUUUUCACAAGAAAUUUCACCCCUUUAUAAUAUGAUUUAUUAGACCGACUAAACCAAGGUAUCUGAACGACGCGAGGCAAGAAACAAUCCAUCAGAGCACUUAGUUCGAAGUAUCCCUCUCAGAAAUAUCAAGAGGAGAUGAGUCAUGGUACUUCUAUAGAAAAAAUUAUAAUGAUUUUGAAACUAUGAAUGUGGCAAUGCGAGGAUGUCCUUCAUGGAUGAGCUUAACACAUUGUUGGUCUACAAAAGAAAAGUUGAUGUAUGUCCUCCUUGAUUGACAACCCGAUAAGACCGCAGAGAGGAGGCCUUUAUCUAAUCUCGAGAUUGAGUAAGAAAGCAAAUUAAAUGACCAUACUGUCUACCUUUUGUGUCAAGAAUACAUAAAAUGGUAUGAACACUCCAUAUGGUAGCCAAUUCAGACGAAAAUACUAAAUAAUUCCAUAUGUUAGCCAAUGGCAAACAACAAACAAAUGUAUCUUCAUGCUCAACUAGGAUGAGGGCCGAGCUGGGGGCGGUCCAACCCAAGAUUCUAUCACUAAAUAUUACAAAGAUAUUUUUGUACCACUAGCAGAGAGCAAUUUUUCCGGAUGAGUACAUAAUAGUUGAUAUCACUCAAGUCUCAAAGAUGGAAACUGGGUUUUUAAUAGCUCAGUUCUCCGAACAGAAAGUUCGAGGUUGGGUUUUUCAUAUGGAAUAUAGUAAAUCUCCCGGGGUCAGAUGGCUUUCUAGCCGAUUUAAUUAAUGUUUUCCCGGGAUGUAAUGAAGGUGGAUAUGUUAUAGUAGUUCAACCAACUGUAUACAAAAAAACCUUGACAUUACCCACUCGAACUUUGGAGAAAUAAUUUUGCUUCCCAAGACUAAGGAUGCUAGUCAGAUCCAACAAUAUCAACCAAUUAGUGUCCUAAUUAAAUGUCAGCUUUAAGAUUUUUAUAAAGGUGGCGACUAACCGGCUACACGGUGGUGGUUGAUCAUGUGGUCCGCAGAACAUCCCAAAUGUAGCAAACCAUAUAUUGCGUUAUUGUUUUUAUUUGAUGGUCACUUUUUCACUUUUCAUGUCAUCAUCAAGGUUUUGUCUCCAUUAAAUAAUAUGUGACAUUUUAAAAGUACCAACCAUUUUAGUUUUAUUUCUCAACGUCCCCAACUAUUUUAAGCCUUGGCUUAAAUUCAAAUCCUUUUUGCAAAGGAUUUCAAUCUUUUCAAAUUCAAACUUCUUCAAUUGCUACACAACUUUGCAAAUAUUGUUCUUAUCACAUUCUUAGCCUCCCAUAUAAAUUUUCUAAAUUCAAACCUCCAUGUACUCAUAGCUCUAGUUCAAACCUUCAAUUUGAAUUCAACUUCAUCCAAAAAUGUUGCAGACACCUUCAUGGGUUUGGAAGUAUUCUAGUAAGCCCCUAAAGAAAGUUUUUUACAUUUUCAAAUUUCCUAGCCAUUUCUUUUCUCCCAAUUCCCUCUUUCUAUUUUUUCUUAAAAGGGAAAAUGAAAAAGAAAAGUCAGCCCAAUAGCCUUCUUAGCUUUCACCCGGUCGAGCCUUUUGGGGAACAUAGUAGAAAACAAAAAAAAACAUCCUACGAGCAAACGAGGAACACUAUGAAGAUGCAUAAACAGUUUAGAUCGGAUCUUUACCAACUCUGAGUUGCAGUGGAAGAAGAGUCGAUGUAGAUCGUACUUGAAGUCCCUCGAACCAUUCACGAACGAUCCCUCGAAUGGAAGACUGAAAGCACGGCCUCUCCAUAGUUUACAAGCGUACGAUCUUCACAAUCCGGCAGCACCUUGCCGUCCAGAGCAAACUGAUACUGGAGAAUUAGAGGGAGAAGAUUAAAACCACACUAGACAUCUAAUUAUGAGGACUAGAAAGGAUUAGAUCUAGCUCUAAUUGUCAACUAAAACUAGGACUAGAGUACUAGAGAACUAGAGGAGGCUUCAAAACUUGUGUCUCCAAAGGGCCAAAUCCUCAAGUAUAUAUAGAUUGGAGGAGAGGGGACGUGCCACAAAGGGGGAGGGUUUCCCUCCCCCUUGCAUCAUCCUAGGAGGGGGAAUCCCCCUCCAAUUCGGCCUCCCCUAGCUUGGGGGCGACUCCACCUAAUAGGCCUCAUAGGCCCAUUAACUCUUCCCCUGUAGGCCUUAUUGUAUUCUCUUUAGCCUGUUGAUAUUUAAAUAAUUAUAAAAGCUUCCUAAUAAUUAUUAGAGCCUUUUACUAUUAAUUUAACAUCAUCGGAAACAUUUUCCACCUAUAUAUCAAUUCCCGGUAUUACCCGGUAAACCCCGAAACCCUUUUGGUAACACUGGAACGCUUCUACUUCCACUCGAAACUAAUAUUAAUGAAAUUAUUUCAUAAAUAUUUUCUCAUAACUCUUGUUCCACUAACACUUAGAAGAUUGUGAUUUCCUUAAGCUUGUGACCCGGCCAUUUUGGUAAAACAUAGACAUGAACAAAAAAAAACCUUCAUUCAAUGACCAGUAGCGGAAUCGUGGACAUCCAUAUUGAUCCCUAUGAAUACACAAAUGACAUUCACGUGAACAUAUGGUUAUCAUAUGUUAUUCCAUUUGCUUCUAAUACUUACAAAACCCGAUGUGAGAUAUAUUGGUAUCCUCUUGAAUCAUUCUCACACUCACUGUACUGAUCUCCUCGUUAUCGAUUUUGUUCUUCUUUCUCGUUGACAUGCACUGGUACAACGAGGUGCUAUACAAAUGGUUUUUAACCCCUUUCCGCGACAACGUUCCGAACCGUCGCCGAGUGAGUGACUGCGAUAGGGGGGUCCUUCCCACACAACCUAGCAACCGUCGGGGAUAUGCCCUCCAGGCACACACGCUCAGCAAAAUAAGGUCGUGUGUGACCGGCGAGCGAUCAAAUACGGGUAUACGUACAUUAAUGCUCAAAAUAUACAAUUAUACAAGUGAAAUUGUUUCCGGUCGUAAGUACAUCUCACACAGUCAGUCCCCGCUAAACAUUUCCGUUCGUAUAUACAUCUCACAUAGUGGCUCCAAGGAAAUUGUUUUCGUUCGCAGGUACAUCGCACACAAUUUUCCCCAUUAAAUAAUUUGUGGUAGCGUUGCCAUUGCAUAUGAUGUUAAUAAUUUUAUCGUUUGCGUUAUUGAAUGCAUCACACACGGUGCAUAGAAAAAACAGUGUGGCAAAUGCUGUCCAUCACACACAAUUUUUAUGUGGUAAACGUUUGCGCAAGGCGACCUAACACAAACAGUUUUCAAGAGGAUGUCGUGUGUGAUUAUUCAUUGAUCCAACACGAUUUAUUCCUAUAAACUGUGUGCGUUACCUGAGGUCAUCGCCCACGGUGUUUUCUCAAUAACUAUUUGCAAUAGAAAAACCCAAUUAGCAGGCUAAUUAGCCAUUAGCGGGCUAAUUGCCCUAUUAAUAAUCCAUUUAUUAAUCUAAUUGACAUUUCAUGUUAAGCACACAAUAUAUUUAAUUUCCAUAUUAAGGAAUCAGGAUUUCAUAAUUGAAACACAUCAUAUAGCUUCAACACCCAGCUAACCCAUUACACAACUGCACCGGCACCAAGUUUCACGUGCAACAUCUAGAACACUUCAAAAUUAGCAUCAUAGAUGGUAGAUAGAGAGAUGAAUAUCAUCUGGAAAACUGCUGAAGCGGAAGGCGGAUAUUGAGCCUUCAUUGAUGUUGAAGGUCUUUGCAACUUUAGGCCAGUGCCUGUGGAUGAUUGACCGUCCAUCCUUUUUCCUCUUUAGGAACACUUCAAUAUUGAACCGUGGGUGUUGUAUGAAAACCUUCCUCGCCUCCUGACCAUAGAGGUGGUUUGAGAGGUAAUCAUGAGUGAACUGCUUUGGAAAGGCCUGAAAACAAGAAUGUGCAUAAAUAUCUUCUUUAUAUUGGAAAUGGGGCAAAGAAAUAAAAAAAGGCAAGGUAUAAUAGUUAGUACCAUCUUGUAGUGAACUGAUGUUUUCUUCAUUGUGCAGACAAAGAUCUUGUUGUUUUUGUCGCUAAUUUCUUUAUCCUAACAAUAUUUUUGAUUUUCUUGACUUGAUUGAUAUUCAUGGACAACUCAUUUCCCCACAUGCAAAAAGGACCGAACAGUGGGUCAAAACCUCUGACAGCAGGACCUACAUGUGCAAGACCAAAUUGUUAAAACCUAAAUUUUAGAAUGGUUCUUGCAAUUGCACAAUAAUGUGUUAUUAGACAACGGACCAUGCAUGUGCUAACCUCGAUUGUAAACCUCAAUGCUUCCCAUUGUUUCCAUGCAACACAUAAAAGGUAGUUAGUCAUCAGGUUAAGUGAGAGUUCACAUGCUAUCAGUAAAAUAUAUUAUGAAAAAUAAGCACAUUGCAGAUUCAUCAGAUUAAUUCAAGCCACAUGGAAAGCCCAUUUAUCCCAACCAAGCAUGAUUAAGAACUAGGAAAUAUAGCACUUGUAUAUGUUUCUCAUGUAUUAAGUGCAGCCAAAUUCGAUUUAUUCCUCGCAUGCACAAUAAUACAAAAUUCUACCCACGACAAUUGGACAUUACAUUGCAGAAUUAAACCAAACAGUUAACUAAACACCACAACAAAUGAACCAAAUAUUAACUGAGCACCACGUUGCACAAUAUAACAUACUCCUAAUAGAAGAUCAGACAGUUAACCAAACCAAGCAUGCUUAACAACUUGGAAAUAUAGCAAUUGCAUUUGUUUCUCAUGUAUUUAGUACAGUCAAAUUCAAUUUAUUUCUCACAUGGUAUACAAUAAUAGAAUGCACCCACAACAAUUGAACAUCGCAUUGCAGAAUUGAACCAGACAGUUAACUGAACACCACAACAAAUGAACCAAACAUUAACUGAGCACCACAUUGCAUAAUAUAACAUACUCCUAAUAGAAGAUCAGACAGUUAACCAAACCAAGCAUGCUUAAUAAUUUGGAAAUAUAGCAAUUGUAUUUGUUUCUCAUGUAUUUAAUAUAGCCAAAUUUCAUUUACUUCUCACAUGGUAUACAAUAACAGAAUGCACCCACAACUAUUGAACAUCGCAUUGCAGAAUUGAACCAAACAGUUAACUAAACACCACAACAAAUGAACCAAACGUUAACUAAGCACCGCGUUGCACAAUGUAUAACAUACUAGAAGGUCAAACAAUUAACCAAACCAAGCAUGCUUGAAAACUUGGAAAUAUAGAAAUUGUAUUUGUUUCUCAUGUAUUUUGUAAAGAUAAAUUCUAUUUAUUUCUCACAUGGAAGACAAUACAAAAUUGCAGCCUAAAGAAUUGAACAUCACAUUUGCAUAAUUGAACCAAACAGUUAACUGAAGACGACAACUAAUUAACCAAACAAUUAAUAAGUUAUCACCACAUUGCACGACAUAUCAAACAUAUACACUAGAGCAACAGAUUGCAUGGUAAAAUUAGAUAGCACAAUUCACUAGAAUUUGUUAAGAAAAGGUAGGAGCAGCACACACAACAGGUAAACCGAGCAUGCUUAACCAGCAUAGCUAGCAAAUGGCAAGUUGCUCCUCCAAGAUCUGGGGGUCGGUAGGAAUGGCAGCCAUCGCGACCUCAUCCGCGUGUGCGGCUACAAUUUGCUUCUCCGAUGCCAAAUGCUCCUUGAGCUCUUGCCUAUACCGAGUUCACCGUGGCUUAGGGCGACGCUUAUUUGGUGGAGGGGUCGGUGAUUUGGGUGGAAGGUGUCGUGCCGGCGGUCAGGGCAUGUGCGAUGGAAGGAGGAGGAGGAUGGAGGUCGGGUGUGGAUUACCUGCCUGGAUAGAUGAGGUCGAGCAGCGUGAAGGAGGGUCGCCGGCGAGGAGGCGGUGCUGCAAGCAAGGAGUGAAGGUUUCAACUUGGAAAGGAAGGCGAAAACAGGGGAAAUGUGGCUUUUGGUAAGGGGGAGGGGGCAGGGAGGUAGAUAUUUUUGCAGAAGCUGAAAAAAUUGAAUUAGUUAAGCAAAAAAACUAGCACCCAAAGUGUCAUCAGACAUGGUUCCUUAUUCAGAAUUGUGUACAAUAUGUGAACAUUACAAACAAUUCAGAUAGCUUAACCCGUGUGUGAUGAGUUUGAAUGUGAAAAUUUUUGGUUCAAAUUUCCCUGAUUACAUUGGUCAUCCACGUCAUUGCAUAAUUUGGGUACACAAAGGAGACUACAGCACACCGACACUUCUUAAUCGAGCAAGUUCAGCAACUAAAUAGAGCUAGCUGACCUAAACAUUACUCUAACAAAUUAAAGACUGGUGCUCUUAAUUAAAGAAAACAAAGAGUACUACUACGGCUGGUGCUCGUCGAUCUCCACCACCUCCUCCAUGUCCAGCUCGCGCUCGACGGUUUCCUGGGGAAGGGGCUCCAUGUCAUCCAUCGCACCAUACUCGGCAAGCAUCUUGCCGUCUGUGUCCGCCAUCUCUUUGGAAAAGGCCGCCACGAGCUGGGCGUGGGUGGCUGCGAUCUAGGCUCGGACGGGCUCCGCCGUGGCAAGGUAUGCGGUAGAGGAAUGGACAACUGCUCGAACACUCUCAGCGAUUGCCAACUCUUCGACCGUGGGUUACCGACCGUUGUCGGAGAAGCUUUGUUUGAUUUGUGUGGUGAUGCCACGAGAUGGGCAUGGGAGGCCUUGACAUGGUCGUGUGCGGCCUCCACCAGGGCUAAGGCCGCCGCUGCGGAAUAGACAGCUAAUGUGCCGCUCUUGCCAAUUGCUAUUUGACGACCCACGAGUAUAGGGGAUGGUAACAGUUUUUGAGGGUAAAGUAUUCGAUCCAAAUUUAUAGAUUCGACACAAGGGGAGACAAAGAAUAUUUGCAAGUAUUAGCAGCUGAGUUGUCAAUUCAACCACACCUGGAGAUUAAUUAUCUGCAGCAAGGUGAUCAGUAGCAAAGUAGUAUGAUAGUUUUGAUAGUAGUAGUAGCAGCAAUCGUAACGGUAGCAGUGAUAGCAAUAAUUUUGUAGCAAGUGCAACAGUAACGAUAGCAGUAGUAACUUAGCAAGAACUAUAUGUAGGAAAAUCGUAGGCAUUGGAUCGAUGAUUUGUUGGAUGAUAUUCAUCAUGUGACAGUCAUAACCUAGGGCGAUACGGCACUAGCUCCAGUUCGUAAAUAUAAUGUAGGCAUGUAUUCCGUAAAUAGUCAUACAUGCUUAUGGAAAGAACUUGCAUGACAUCUUUUGUCCUACCCUCCUGUGGCAGCGGGGUCCUAUUGGUAACUAAGGGAUAUUAAUGCCUCCUUUUAAUAGAGAACUAGAACAAAGCAUUAACACACGGUGAAUACAUGAACUCCUCAAACUACGGUCAUCACCGGGAAGUGUCCCGACUAUUGUCACUCCGGGGUUGCCGGAUCAUAACACGUAGUAGGUGACUAUAACUUGCAAGAUCGGAUCUAGAACAUACAUAUAAUGGUGAUAACAUAAACGGUUCAGAUAUGAAAUCAUGGCACUCAAGCCCAAAGUGACAAGCAUUAAGCAUGGCAAAGUCAUAGCAACAUCAAUCUCGGAACAUAGUGGAUACUAGGGAUCAAGCCCUAACAAAACUAACUUGAUUACAUUGUGAAUCUCAUCCAACUCCUCACCGACCAGCGAGCCUAUGAAGGAAUUACUCACUCCCGGUGGGGAGCAUCAUGGAAUUGACGAUGGAGAAGGAUUGGUGAUGACGAAGAUCGAAGAUCCCCCUCUCUGGAGCCCCAAACGGACUCCAGAUCUGGCCUCCCAAUGAAUAAUAGGAGACGACGUUGGCUCUAUCUCGUGGAAUGCAAUAAUUCUUUCUCCCUGAUUUUUCUGAAAAAUAGGAUUUUAUAGCGUCGGUUUCAGGGUCUGCGGGGCCGCCACGUGGGGACAACCCACCUGGGCGUGCCUGGAGGGGGUGCGCCCUGGUGGGUUGUGCCCACCCAGGUGCCCCCCCUCCGAUGGUUCUUGGGUCCAGAAAUUCUCAUUUAUUAUAUAAAAAAUCCUCGCAAAGUUUCGUUACAUUCCAAGAACUUUUAUUUCUGCACAAAAACAACACCAUGGUAGUUCUACUAAAAACAGCGUCAGUCCGGGUUAGUUUCAUUCAAAUCAUGCAAAUUAGAGUCCAAAACAAGAGGAAAAGCGUUAGGAAAAGUAGAUACGACAGAGACGUAUCAACUCCCCAAGCUUAAACCUUUGCUUGUCCUUAAGCAAUUCAGUUGAUAAACUGAAAGUGAAAAAGAAAAACUUUUACGAACUCUUUUGCUCUUGUUUGCAUAAAUAAGCUUAAAUAGCACCCAGGUUUUCAGCCAAGAUUAUAACUAACCAUGUUGACAAUAACUCUUAAAAAUUAUAUUAACGCAUAUCAAUGACAUAAUCAGCUAGCGAGCAAUAAUAAGAUAACUCAAACAACAACAUGUUGUCAAAACAAUCAUGAUAUAAUAUGACAAUAGUGGUAUCUCGCUAGCCCUUUGCGAGACCGCAAAACAUAAAUGCAGAGCACCUCCAAAGUCCAAGCAGCGACUAAACAUUGUAAUUCAUGGUAGAAAAGAUCCAGUCAUGAUGCACCCAACAUUAGCUACACACAAUGCAUAAGCAUGACAACAGCGCUCUAAGGUUCUGGCGCUUAUUUUAGAAGGUGAUGACACAACAUAAAAGUAAAUAGAUUGUCCCUUCGCAGAGGGAAGCAGUGAUUUGCACCGGUGCUAGAGCUCAAGUUUUUAAAACAGAGGUAAAUGAUAUUUUGAGAAAUGCACCCUUCUUGUUUACUUCCUAACCAUCAGUUAUCUAUAUAUUCCAUUCUAAACACACUAGUGGCGGUUCCCAAGUGAUAAAGUAAAGGUUAUUACUCCGUAGGAGUUUUUGUUUGAUUAUUUGUAAGCUCAAUUCUUUUUGCUGUUUGGGACUGGGCAUCCCUAUUACCGCCCUUUUCUCAUGCAGUGGCGAGUGAAUAAACACUCGACCUGAGAAUAACCCGCUUAGCACAUGGAAGAUACCGACUACCUCCUGUCGUUCUAUGAACAAUCUAGGCACACAAAAGGAUAUUUAUUUGAAGUUUUAGAGAUAGCACAUGCAAAUUUACUUAGGAUGGCAGGCUAAUACCGCAUAUAGGUAGGUAUGGUGGACUCAUCUGGAAUAACUUGGGUUUAAGGUUUUGUAUGUACAAGCAAAAUUCCCACUUAGUAUAGGAGAAGGCUAGCAAGUAGGUUGAGAAGCGGCCAGCUAGAGAGCAACAAUGGUCAUGGACAUGUAUUAUGCAUAAGUAACAUUGGACACUAGCAUGAGUAGGAUAUGAACACCAUGAACAUAAAUAUCAUAGAGGCUAUGUUGGUUUUGAUUCAACUACAUGCAUGAACGUGUGCCAAGUCAAGCCACUCAAACAUUCAGAGGAGGAUACCAUAUCAUCAUACUACAUCACAAUCAUUUUAACACAAUGUUAACAUCCAAGAUAAAUCAUUAUCCACUCCUAGCUACUUAUGCAUGGCAUGAGAAACUAUAAUCUCUAAUUGUCAUUACAAACAUGUUUAAUCAUAAUGGGCUGAAUCAUGGAUACUAGGUUAAACAUAUUUACAAAAACAGAACAAGUCGAGUUCACACCCGUUUCUCCCCACCACGGCCAGUUCAUCAAAUAUCGUCAUUAUUGCCUUUCACUUGCACGACCGAACGAUAUGAAAAUAAUAAUUGUGCAAGAGUACCGUGGACUAAGCUGGAAUCUACAAACAUUUUAUUCAACAGAAGAAGACAAGGUAAAAUGGGCUCUUUGUUAGAUCAACAAUAAUGCAUAUGAGAGCCACUCAACAUUUUCAUUGUGGUCUUCUCCUCGGUAUGACUCAAAUAAAAAGAAAAGAAAUUAAGAGAAACACACUUAAAUAUUUUUGUAGUUUUUGGUUUUCCUAAACAAACAAAUAAAUGGGGGAAGCAAAAAUGAGAAAAACUAUUUACACGGGAAAGCUCCCAACAAGCAAAAAGAACAAGGAAAUCUUUUUGGGUUUUCUUUUUAGAUCUACAACUAACUAUUCUAGAAAGAAAAAUAAAAAAGGAGCAGGAAAUAUUUUUGGAUUUUCUGUGAGUUUUUCAAACACACAAGAAGAAAGCGAGAAAAUAAGUUAAGCAUGGAUAAUACAAUGAAAAAGUGUGGACACCGACAACUGGAAUGAAAUGUGUGAACAUGUAUGUAAUGUCGGUGGAAAUACAUACUCCCCCAAGCUUAGGCUUUUGGCCUAACUUGGUAAUCAGUAGUCGAAGAAACCAUGGGGGUCCCUUGUUGAAAUGCUGAGGAGCGGACACUUGUGGAUCCCACUGCUGAGGUUCAGCUUGUGCUGUAGCUAGGUUCUUUCGGUAGGCAAUGAUGUCCGCAGACAUAAUCCUGUAUCCACCCCUAGCAAUAGGAUCAAAUAAAGCAGGUGCAGGCAAUGGAAUAAUAUCACGAGUGUUCAUACUGAAAACCAGGUUAUAAGGAAUAGGAAUGUUAGGGUAAUCGCUGCAAUAAACUGGUGGUGUUCCAUGGAUGCGCGAUCUAGGUAAACCUUGGACAAAGGAUAAUCAUGCUGACGUAUUUGAAUGUUAAAGCGAUUAUCCAAGCGGGUAGCAUAAAUACCACCAUGUAUUUUGCCCUUGGAUUUAUUAAUAUGGAGGCGGCGUGCCACAAUAGCUCCCAAGCUAUAAGUGGUGUCGCCUUGGAGUGCACUGCAUAAAACAGCAAGGUCUGGGGCACUAAGUGCACCCACCUUCUCUUUAGCAAGUAAGCACCUUGCAAUGAAAAGAGCAAAAUAAUGCACGACAUGAAAAUGCAAGCUAGUAGAGGUGACACUCGACACCCCUCUCUCGUCCCCUAUGGAGAGAGUGCGAUAAAAGCCUUCUAAGUCUGCAGGCCUAGGCUCUGCUAAACUUCCAUCGGAAGGGAUCAAGCAUACGUCACAAAAUUCAGCAAGCGGUAUCUGAUGGGGUUUAGUGUAUAAGUUAAACUGCACUUUGCGGGGAUUAAUCCUAGGAAGGAAAUUAAAACUUUGCACAAAGGAGCUUCCGAGGAGAUGAUACUGUUCACAUUCAGCUAUGAUGAAGUCGGUGAGGCCGGCAUUAGCAACAUAUUGUGUAAACUCUUGAAGGAUUCCAACCCCUUCCAUGAACGGGUUGUGCGGCCAUUCGCACGACUGUAUCUCCGCCAUUCUUCGGGUGCGGAGAUCACUAUCAGAUGACUCCCCGAUAACUCCCUUGGAAUUCUUCUUGGAAGCAAACUUCAUAAAGGUACUCAUAUUUUUCCUAUGAAGAAAAAUCUGAAUUUUUAGUCCACAAAAUUUUUCUCAACAAAACUUCACAAAAUUGAUCACAACUACUCACAGGGAUGCAUAGAGCCCAUAGCAAGCAUUCAAACUACUUAGAACUCUAAGAAUUCAACAUGAAAGAUCAUCUACAACAGCAUCAAGAGUAGCUAAUUAUUCAAAAUAUAAACCACUAAAGCAAAAACUAAUUGGAUAAACGAAGGAGUCGCAUACCAAGCAACAAUCCCCGAAACAGUUUCGGAAACGGAGCUUCGAGCAAAGAGAUCGAAAUCCGCGGGUUUGGGAGCAAGAACAUGAGAGAGAGAGAGAGCAAUGGUGAUUUUUUCUGGAGGUAGGUGGUGAUGUGGGAUGAAGAGAUAAGUGAGGGGGCCCACGUGGGGACCACAACUGUCGUGGACUUAACACAGCAGAUGCCCUAGCAAAAGGACUUAGGUGUGGAGCCAUUGUGGGAGUCCUGGAUUAUGGGGUCCUCGGGCGUCCAGGCUAUGUGACGUGGGCUGGACUGAUGGGCCGUGAAGAUACAAGACAGAAGACUUUCCCUCGUGUCCGGAUGGGACUCUCCUUGGCGUGGAAGGCAAGCUUGGCGUGCGGAUAUGAAGAUUUCUUUCUCUGUAAACUGACUCUGUACCACCCUAUCCCUGAUGUCUACUACACAACCUUCUUCUUGUAGACGUUGUUGGGCCUCCAAGUGCAGAGGCUUGUAGGACAGUAGCAAAUUUCCCUCAAGUGGAUGACGUAAGGUUUAUCAAUCUGUGGGAGGCGUAGGAUGAAGAUGGUCUCUCUCAAACAACCCUGCAACCAAAUGACAAAGAGUCUCUUGUGUCCCCAAAACACCCAAUACAAUGGUAAAUUAUAUAGGUGCACUAGUUCAGCGAAGAGAUGGUGAUACAAGUGCAAUAUGGAUGGUAGAUAUAGGUUUUUUGUAAUCUAAAAAUAUUAAAACAACAAGGUAACUAAUGAUAAAAGUGAGCACAAACGGUAUUGCAAUGCUUCGAAACAAGGCUUAGAGUUCAUACUUUCACUAGUGCAAGUUCUCUCAACAAUAAUAACAUAAUUGGAUCAUAUAACUACCCCUCAACGUGCAACAAAGAGUCACUCCAAAGUCACUAAUAGCGGAGAACAAACGAAGAGAUUAUUGUAGGGUACGAAACCACCUCAAAGUUACCCUUUCUGAUCGAUCUAUUCAAGACUCCGUAGUAAAAUAACACGAAGCUACCCUUUCUGAUCAAUCUAUCAUAGAGUUCGUACUAGAAUAACACCUUAAGACACAAAUCAACCAAAACCCUAAUGUCACCUAGAUACUCCAAUGUCACCUCAAGUAUACGUGGGUAUGAUUAUACGAUAUGCAUCACACAAUCUCAGAUUCAUCUAUUCAACCAACACAAAGAACUUCAAAGAGUGCCCCAAAGUUUCUACCGGAGAGUCAAGACGAAAACGUGUGCCAACCCCUAUGCUAAGUUCACGAGGUCACAGAACUCACAAGUUGAUCACCAAAACAUACAUCAAGUGGAUCACAUGAUAUCCCAUUGUCACCACAGAUAAGCACAUGCAAGACAUACAUCAAGUGUUCUCAAAUCCUAAAAGACUCAAUCCGGUAAGAUAACUUAAAAGGGAAAACUCAAUCCAUUACAAGAGAUUAGAGGGGGAGAAACACCAUAAGAUCCAACUAUAAUAGCAAAGCUCGCGAUACAUCAAGAUCGUGCCGACUCAAGAACACGAGAGAGAGAGAGAGAUCAAACACAUAGCUACUGGUACAUACCCUUAGCCCUGAGGGAGAACUACUCCCUCCUUGUCAUGGAGAGCGUCGGGAUGAUGAAGAUGGUCACCGGAGAGGGAUUCCCCCCUCCGGCAGGGUGCCGGAACGGGUCUAGAUUGGUUUUGGUGCCUACGGAAGCUUGCGGCAGCGGAACUCCCGAUCUUGGUUAAUUUCUAGAAGUUUGGGGAUAUAUAAUAGGCGUUGGCGUCGGGAACAAGUCAGGGGGUCCACAAGGUAGGGGGUGCGCCCGCCACCCUCGUGGUGGCCUCGGGACUCUUCUGGUCCAUCUCUGAUGCUUCGUGGGCUUCUUCUAGUCCAAAAAUGAUCUCCGUAAAUUUUCAUGUCAAUUGGACUCCGUUUGAUAUUCCUUUUCUGCGAUACUCAAAAACAAGGAAAAAACAGAAACUGGCACUGGGCUCUAGGUUAAUAGGUUAGUCCCCAAAAUCAUAUAAAAUAGCAUAUAAAUGCAUAUAAAACAUCCUAGAUGGAUAAUAUAAUAGCAUGGAACAAUAAAAAAUUAUAGAUAUGUUGGAGACGUAUCAAGCAUCCCCAAGCUUAAUUCCUGCUCGUCCUCGAGUAGGUAAAUGAUAAAAACAGAAUUUUUGAUGUGGAAUGCUACAUGAGAUAUUCAUCAAUGUAAUCUUCUCUAUUGUGGCAGGAAUAUUCAAAUCCAUAAGAUUCAAGACAUAAUUUUAAUAUGGACAUAAAAACAAUAAUACUUCAAGCAUACUAACCAAGCAAUUAUGUCCUCUCAAAAUAACAUAGCCAAAGAAAGCUCAUCCCUACAAAAUCAUAUAGUUUGGCCAUGCUUCAUUUUCGUCACAUAAAAUUCUCCCAUCAUUCACAACCCCGAUGAAAAGCCAAGCAAUUGUUUCUUACUUUAGUAUUGUCAAACUUUUUCAACUUUCACGCAAUACAUGAGCGCGAGCCAUGGACAAAGCACUAUAGGUGGAACAGAAUAUGAUGAUGGAGGUUGUGUGGAGAAGACAAAAAAGGAGGAAGUCUCACAUCGACGCGGCUAAUCAACGGGCUAUGGAGAUGCCCAUCAAUUGAUGUCAAUGCGAGGAGUAGGGAUUGCCAUGCAACGGAUGCACUAGAGCUAUAAAUGUAUGAAAGCUCAACAAAAGAAACUAAGUGGGUGUGCAUCCAACUUGCUUGCUCACGAAGACCUAGGGCAUUUUGAGGAAGCCCAUUGUUGGAAUAUACAAGCCAAGUUCUAUAAUGAAAAUUCCCACUAGUAUAUGAAAGUGACAAAAUAAGAGACUCUCUAUCUGAAGAUCAUGGUGCUACUUUGAAGCACAUGUGUGGAAAAAGGAUAGUAACAUUGUCCCUUCUCUCUUUUUCUCUCAUUUUUUGGGCCUUAUCUUUUCUUGGCCUUUCUCUCUUUUUUAUUUCCUCACACGGGACAAUGCUCUAAUAAUGAUGAUCAUCACACUUCUAUUUAUUUACAACUCAAAAAUUACAACUCGAUACUAGAACAAAAUAUGACUCUGUAUGAAUGCCUCCGGUGGUGUACCGGGAUGUACAAUUAUUCAAGAGUGACAUGUAUAAAAGUUAUGAGCGAUGGCUUUGCCACAAAUACGAUGUCAACUACACGAUCAUGCAAGGCAAUAUGACAAUGAUGAAGCGUGUCAUAAUAAACGAAACAGUGGAAAGUUGCAUGGAAAUAUAUCUCGGAAUGGCUAUGGAAAUGCCAUAAUAGGUAGGUAUGGUGGCUGUUUUGAGGAAGAUAUAAGGAAGCUUAUGUCUGAUAGAGCGUAUCAUAUCACGGGGUUUGGAUGCACCGACGAAGUUUGCACCAACUCUCGAGGUGAGAAAGGGCAAUGCACGGUACCGAAGAGGCUAGCAAUGAUGGAAGGGCGAGAGUGCGCAUAAUACAUGGACUCAACAUUAGUCAUAAAGUACUCACAUACUUAUUGCAAAAAUCUACAAGUCAUCAAAACCAAGCACUACGAGCAUGCUCCUAGGGGGAUAGAUUGGUAGGAAAAGACCAUCGCUCAUCCCCGACCACCACUCAUAAGGAGGACAAUAAAAGAAACACCUCAUGCUUCAAGUUUGUUACACAAUGGUUACCAUACGUGCAUGCUAUGGGACUUGCAAACCUCAACACAUGUAUUUCUCAAAUUCACAAAUACUCAACUAGCAUGACUCUAAUAUCACCAUCUUCAUAUCUCAAAAUAAUCAUCAAGUAUCAAACUUCUCAUAGUAUUCAACGCACUUUAUAUGAAAGUUUUUAUUAUACCCAUAUUGGAUGCCCAUCAUAUUAGGACUAAAUUUAUAACCAAACCAAAUUACCAUGGUUGGUCUAAAGACUCUCAAAAUAAUAUAAGUGAAGCACUAGAGCAAACAACAGACUACUCCAGAAGAUAUAAGUGAAGAUCAAUGAGUAGUUGAAUAAUUAUGUAACUAUGUGAAGACUCCUUCUCGUAAAUUAAAUUUUAGAUCUUAAGUACUUUAUUCAAACAGCAAGCAAAUCCUAAUAAAAUAAAUUGACGCUCCAAGCAAAACACAUAUCAUGUGGUGAAUAAAAAUAUAGCUCCAAGUAAAGUUACCGAUGAACGAAGACGAAAGAGGGGAUGCCAUCCGAGGCAUCCCCAAGCUUAGGCUCUUGGUUGUUCUUGAAUAUUACCUUGGGGUGCCUUGUGCAUCCCCAAGCUUAGGAUAUUUCCACUCCUUAUUCCAUAUUCCAUCGAAUCUUUACCCCAAACUUGAAAACUUCACAACACAAAACUUAUCAGAAAACUCAUAAGCUCCGUUAGUAUAAGAAAAUAAAUCACCACUUAGGUACUGUUGUGAACUCAUUCUAAAUUCAUAUUGGUGUAAUAUCUACUAUAUUCCAACUUCUCUAUGGUUCAUACCCUCCGAUACUACUCAUAGAUUCAUCAAAAUAAGCAAACAACACAAUGAAAACAGAAUCUGUCAAAAGCAGAACAGUAUGUGGUAAUCUAGAGAUUUUGAAUACUUAUGUAACUCCAAAAAUUCUGAAAAAUUAGGAUGACCAGGAUAAAAAGUAUAUUGAUCUACUGCAGUUGGAAUUGGUAUUUUAUCGGUCUCUGGUAAAAAUGAUAAUUAUUUUCGUGAGCGCAUACUUUCUGUUUUUAUCAGCAAGAUCAAACAACAAUCACCCAAGAAGAUCCUAAAGGCUCUACUUGGCACAAACACUAAUUAAAACAUAAAACCACAUCUAACCAGAGGCUAGAUAGAUUAUUUAUUACUAAACAGGAGCAAAAGGCAAAGAACAAAAAUAGAAUUGUGUUUCCUCCCAACAAGCGCUAUCGUUUAACGCCCCUAGCUAGGCAUGAUGAUUUCAAUGAUGCUCACAUAAAAGAUAAGAAUUGAAACAUAAAGAGAGCAUCAUGAAGAAUAUGACUAGCACAUUUAAGUCUAACCCACUUCCAAUGCAUAGGCAUUUUGUGAGCAAACAAUUUAUGGGAACAAGAAUCAACUAGCAUAGGAAAGCAAAACAAGCAUAACUUCAAAACUUUAAGUACAUAGAGAGGAAACUUGGUAUUAUUGCAAUUCCUACAAGCAUAUAUUCCUCCCUCAUAAUAAUUUUCAGUAGCAUCAUGAAUGAAUUCAACAAUAUAACUAUCACAUAAAGCAUUCUUUUCAUGAGCCACAAGCAUAGAAUUUUUAUUACUCUCCACAUAAGCAAAAUUCUUCUCAUUCGGAAUAGUGGGAGUAUCAUAAGAAACUCGAAUACUAUAAAUUAUUUCCAUAUUAAAAGAGUAACAUUCAGGAAAAGGUUAAUCAUAAUCAUGACAAGUUUUGUAAAUAUAAUCAUCACUACUUUUUAUAACAUAAGUAUCAUCACAAUAACCAUCAUAAGUAGCAACUUUGUUCUCAUCAUAAUCAAUUGAAACCUCUUCCAAGAUAGUGGAAUCAUUACUAAUUAAAGUCAUGACCUCUCCAAAUCCACCUUUAUAAUUAUCACAAUAAGAUUCAACAUCCUCCAAAAUAGUGGGAUCAUUACUUCCUAAAGUUGACACUCUUCCAAACCCACUUUCAUCAAUAUAAUCAUCAUAAAUAUGAGGCAUGCUAUCAUCAUAAUAAAUUUUCUCAUCAAAACUUGGGAGACUAAAAAUAUCAUGUUCAUUAAACAUAGCAUUCCCAAGCUUGGGACAAACAUUAAUUGCAGCAAAUAAAUUCUCAAACAUGUAAUUCUCAUCAAACAUAGCAUCCCCAAGCUUGGGCCUUUGCAUAUCAUAAGCAUAAUCACUGUCAUCAUUAAUAGUAUGGAUAGCACCAAUAGUAUAGAAAUUAUCAUCAUCACAAUGAGUAAUAGGAGCAAUAUCAUUUGGGAGGGAUACCUUUUUUACCUUUGCUUCUCUGUCUUUUUUUCUUCUUCAAAUUAAGUAUGGGUUUAAUCCUCUUAUUUGAGCUCAUUAUUAAUGAGAUUGGUUGAAUAGAAGGCUCCUCCUCGUUACUUGAUUCAUCAUAAGAAAGAAUAGGAGGAUAUUGGGAAAUCUCUUCCCUUUAAUUUCAUUACUAUUUUCUUCAUAUUCUAUUAGUUUUCUUGUCUUUAUGUAAUUGGCAAUAUAAGGAUUUUCAAUGCAAUUCAUCGCACAACACAUAUAAAUUUCCUCUAGAUCAAAAUCAAGAACUUUAUCAAGGACAAAUUCUGGAAUAUCCCUAGUUAUACGUUUCAUUUCUUCAUAACCCACAAGCAAACUAAGUUCAUUAUGAUGUGCAAGCAAAGUCAAGUCAUCACAAUUUUUGGACACGAUUCGAUCAUGAAACAAUUUGCAUUAGAUAUUUAAAUGACCACGUUCAUUGCAAAGUUGACUAGGAUGGAUAAGAAAAUUUAAAUUUUUAGCACAAACAUCUAGCCUUUCUUGCAACCAUUAAGUUUCUAAAUACUUAUGCCUCUUGCAAAAUCUUUCUUCCCUAUUUGGUGUGUACUUGCAAACUCUAUGCACUCAACAAAAUUGACAUGCUUAUAAGAGACAUUUUCAUCAUGACUAGUGCAAUCAUCAUUAGUACUAUGGAUAUUCAAAGAGUUCGUACUAACAACAUUGCAAUCAUGCUCAUCAUUCAAAGAUUUAGUGCCAAAAAAUUUAAUGCAUUCCUCUUCUAGCAUUUUGGCACAAUUAUUGAAAUCCUUAUUUCACGAAAUAUAUUAAAAAGAUGAAGCAUAUGAGGCACCCUCAAUUCCAUUUUUUGUAGUUUUCUUUAAUGGACUAAACUAGUGAUAAAACAAGAAACUAAAAGAUUCGAUUGCAAGAUCUAAAGAUAUACCUUCAAGCGCUAACCUCCCCGACAACAGCCACAGAAAAGAGCUUGAUGUCUACUACACAACCUUCUUCUUGUAGACGUUGUUGGGCCUCCAAGUGCAGAGGUUUGUAGGAUAGUAAAAAAUUUCCCUCAAGUGGAUGACCUAAGGUUGUUCAAUCCGUGGGAGGCUUAGGAUGAAGAUGGUCUCUCUCAAAUAACCCUGCAACCAAAUAACAAAGAGUCUCUUGUGUCCCCAACACACCCAAUACAAUGGUAAAUUGUAUAGGUGCACUAGUUUAGCGAAGAGAUGGUGAUACAAGUGCAAUAUGAAUGGUAGAUAUAGGUUUUUGUAAUAUGAAAAUAUAAAAACAGCAAGGUAACUAAUGAUAAAAGUGAGCACAAACGGUAUUGCAAUGCUUUGAAACAAGGCCUAGGGUUCAUACUUUCACUAGUGCAAGUUCUCUCAACAAUAAUAACAUAAUUGGAUCAUAUAACUAUCCCUGAACAUGCAACAAAGAGUCACUCCAAAGUCACUAAUAGCAGAGAACAAACGAAGAGAUUAUUGUAGGGUACAAAACCACCUCAAAGUUACCCUUUCUGAUCGAUCUAUUCAAGAGUCAGUAGUAAAAUAACACGAAGCUAUUCCUUCCGUUCGAUCUAUCCUAGAGUUCAUACUAGAAUAACACCGUAAGACACAAAUCAACCAAAACCCUAAUGUCACCUAGAUACUCCAAUGUCACCUCAAGUAUCUGUGGGUAUGAUUAUACGAUAUGCAUCACACAAUCUCAGAUUCAUCUAUUCAACCAACACAAAGAACUUCAAAGAGUGCCCCAAAGUUUCUAACGGAGAGUCAAGACGAAAACGUGUGCCAACCCCUAUGCAUAAGUUCACAGAACUCGCAAAUUGAUCACCAAAACAUACACCAAGUGGAUCACGUGAAUAUCCCAUUAUCACCACAUAUAAGCACAUGCAAGACAUACAUCAAGUGUUCUCAAAUCCUUAAAGAGUCGAUCUGAUAAGAUAACAUCAAAGGGAAAACUCAAUCCAUUACAAGAGAGUAGAGGGGGAGAAACAUCAUAAGAUCCAACUAUAAUAGCAAAGCUCACGAUACAUCAAGAUCGUACCGAAUCAAGAACACGAGAGAGAGAGGGAGGGAGAGGGAUCAAACACAUAGCUACUGGUACAUACCCUCAGACCCGAGGGUGAACUACUCCCUCCUCGUCAUGGUGAGCGCCAAGAUGAUGAAGAUGGCCAUUGGUGACGGAUCCCCCCCUUCGGCAGGGUGCCGGAGUGGGUCUAGAUUGGUUUUUGGUGGCUACAGAGGCUUGCGGCGGCAGAAAUCCCGAUCUAGGUUAUUUUCUGGAAGUUUGGGGAUAUAUAAGAGGCGUUGGCGUCAGGAACAAGUCAGGGGGUCCAUGAGGCGGCCAUGAGGUAGGGGGCGCGCCCAGGGGGGUUGGGCGCGCCCCCACCCUUGUGGUGGGCUCGGGACUCUUCUGGCCCAUCUCCGAUGCUCCGUGGGCUUCUUCUGGUUGAAAAAUGAUCUCCAUAAAUUUUCAUGCCAAUUGGACUCCAUUUGAUAUUCCUUUUCUGCGAUACUCAAAAACAAGGAAAAACAGAAACUGGCACUGGGCUCUAGGUUAAUAGGCUAGUCCCAAAAAUCAUAUAAAAUAGCAUAUAAAUGCAUAUAAAACAUGCUAGAUGGAUAAUAUAAUAGCAUGGAACAAUAAAAAAUUAUAGAUACAUUGGAGACUUCUCAAGCCCCCUCCGGUGUCUAUAUAAACCGGAGGGUUUAGUCCAUAGAGCCAAUCAUAAUCAUACAGGCUAGACAUCUAGGGUUUAGCCAUUACGAUUUCGUGGUAGAUCAACUCUUGUAACCCCUAUACUCAUCAAAGUCAAUCAAGCAGGACGUAGGGUUUUACCUCCAUCAAGAAGGCACAAACCUGGGUAAACAUCGUGUCCCCUGCCUGCUAUUACCCUUGAUCCUUAGACGCAUAGUUCGGGACCCCCUAUCCGAGAUCUGUCGGUUUUGACACCGACAUUGGUGCUUUCAUUGAGAGUUCCUCUAUGGAGUCAACAGAAGGAUCGAUGGCUCACCUUGUCGUCAAGGACAGUAUCACUUCCGGCGGAGCCCUAGUUUCAUGGCAAACCCUCCAGCUGGGCGGCUUCACCAUGGGUGCUCGUUCAGCCAUUAAGCCAAAGGCAACCCCAAGUCACCGAAAACCCUCUUCGUAUCAGCCCCUAAUACUCCGAUAAGACGGAUCCGGCAGAUCUAUCGUCUUUGAACGAGUUGCUAGAUCGCAUCGCCACCCUGGGGGUCUCAACUGACUAUGAUUAGAUCGGGCUUAAACCCGAUCAGAGAGAAAUUAAAUCUCCACAGUUCACCCAUCAGGUAGCGGUUGUGGAGGAACAAGCUGACAAUAACUCUUCUCCUAUGUUGAGAACAAACUAUGUUCGAAUUUCUGAACCCGGGGAGCCGCAUACCCAUCCUCGGGAGGACACUCCCUGUCCUCUGAACACAAAAUCAGACGUUAAGCCUGAGAAUUCACCGGACACUCCAGAGCCUGGGCUGGUAACCUCGCAAAUUCUUCAAACUCCGGAUUCCACAGUGGGCCAGGGUGCGAAUUUAAGCCCGCCCACCCACCACAAGCAAUAUUCUCCAAGCAAUUCUGGCCCUCCGGACAUAUGCGAUUUAAUUUAUGUGCGACAACAGCCUCGGGAGACAAUCCAUCACUUUUGGGCCAGAUUCCUCGUUAAAAACAAGAUAAAAGACUGCUGCGAUGACGAUGCAAUUUCAGUAAUUCGCAACAACUAUACGAAUGAGGGAAUCCUUAAUGCCCUCAAUCACCAUCGCGUACUGCACUUUGCAGAUUUGGCACACAUAGUACAGAAGUACCGCGCAAUGGAAAGUGCCUGGAAAACUUAGACAGCCCGCUGGGAACCGCAGGCCUUUAAGCCAUCUCCCGGACAGGCAAAAAGGAUGCACCCUCGCGGGGCACCUGAUCAUCAUCCUGUGGACAAGAAAAUUAAGCCCUUUACGGGACAUAGAACUAUCUUUGAGGAAUGGCUCGAUAGGCCAUGUCAGAUAUACAUGAUGCCGAAUACCAAGCCAACACACAGCCUACGGGCAUGUUGGAUACUCUGGCAAGUGGCCAAGAGCAGCGAGGGUGUCCUCACCAACACUACCCCAGAGAAGUAAUCUUCGGAGGACGACGAUCUCAAAGUAUUCAUGGUCUUCAAGACCUUCUCAUCAAAUAAUCAGCGCAAAAGGGCGCUCCACGACCUUGGCGAAGUUUGCCAAGUAGCAGCAAUAAACCCUUGGAACGCUACGGCGAUUACAUUCAAUGCCGAUGACGAACCAAGAUCCCGCUCAGUCCGGGCACCAGCCGCUCUGGUCCUAAACCCAAUCAUGGAUGGCUUUCAGCUCACUAAAGUGCUAAUGGACGAUGGCAGCAGACUGAACCUCAUUUAUGAGGACACGCUCAAUAAAAUGCAAAUGGACAUGAGUCACAUUGAGCAGAGUAAUACAACUUUUCGAGGCAUUAUACCCAGUCGGGAAGCAAGAUGCUCGGGGAAAAUCAAACUCGACGUGGUAUUUGGCACACCGUAGAACUAUAGGUCUGAAGAAUUACUCUUCCAUGUGGCACCUUUCAACAACAGGUAUCACGCCCUGCUGGGGCGAGACGCAUUCACACGCUUUCAAGCUAUACCCCAUUACGGGUACAUGAAGCUCAAGAUGCCCGGGCCCAAAGGGGUUAUCACUAUCACCAGUGAUCCGGACAUAGCACUCCGUGCCGAAAACAAAACCACCUCCCUGGCCCUCGAGGCACUAUCGGAGGCCCUCACGGCCGAAGAAUUAACCACCUUGCAUUCCACGGUGGAUAGGGACGACGUAAUCCUCGACAAGAGACCCAAGUCAACUUCCUUCAAACCAGCAGACGAAAUAGUCAAAUUCCAAGUUCACCCGACGGACCCCAAGAAGACAGCUCGCAUUGGGGCACAACUGGACCCAACGGUCGACGCCGCAGUAUGCGCAUUCCUGUGAGAGAAUUGGGACAUCUUUGCCUGGCACCCUUCUGAUAUGCUAGGAAUCCCACGCGGGCUGGCCAAACAUAGUCUCAAUAUACUGAAGGGAUAUAAGCCAGUCGAGCAAACGCUGCGGCGAUUUUCCGAACCCGAACGAUGGCACAGUGGAACUCUCAAGAACACCGGCGCCACUUACCAACACAUGAUUCAAACGUGCCUGGAAAAGCAAAUCGGCAAGACUGUGGAGGCAUAUGUAGAUGACAUAGUCAUCAAAACCAAGCAUGUUGAAUCAUUGGUGGAUGACUUACGCCUUACAUUCGACAACCUCCGAGCAUAUGAUAUACGACUCAAUCCGGAAAAAUGUGUUUUUGGCAUUCCCGUCGGCAAACUGCUCGGGUUCAUUGUAUCCAAGAGAGGAAUUGAAGCUAACCCAGCCAAAAUCCGAGCCCUGUCACAAUUAGCAAGACCAACUGACCUCAAGCAGGUCCAAAAACUAGCCGGGUGCAUGGCAGCUUUGAGCCAUUUUAUCUCCAGAUUAGGAGAAAAGGCAUUGCCAUUGUAUUGCCUACUCCGAUGCACCGACCACUUUGCGUGGACAGACGCUGCAACAACCGGACUGGAGGAAAUAAAAACUUUGCUAGCAAGCAACCCAAUCCUGGCCGCACCAAACAUCGGUGAACCGAUGUUGCUCUACAUAUCUGCAACUCACCAGGUGGUAAGUGCGGUGUUUGUUGUCGAACGAGAGGAAGAGGGGCAUAAGUUCCCACUCCAAAAACCAGUAUACUAUGUAUCGACGAUCCUUACACCAUGCAAAUCCCGAUACCCGCAUUAUUAGAAGAUAGCAUAUGCGGUCUUUAUGGCAUUCUGCAAACUGUGGCACUACUUUCAAGAAUGCUCAAUCACGGUGGCCUCAGAAGUACCACUCAAUGAUAUCAUAAACAAUCGGGACGCCACUGGCCGGAUUGACAAAUGGGCCAUUGAGCUCUUACCAUUUGAAAUAACGUACAAACCACGCCGAGCCAUUAAAUCUCAGGUGUUGGCUGACUUUUUCACCGAAUGGACAGAGGCCGAACUCCCUAAAGAGUAUGGCACGUAUUCCAACUGGGUGAUGCACUUUGAUGGCUCCAAAAUGCUAGCCGGACUAGGGGCUGGUGUCGUCUUGACAUCCCCCAUAGGAGACACAAUUCGUUAUGUGCUCCAAAUACUGUAUACAGACUCUAACAAUGCAGUCGAAUACGAGGCCCUAUUACAUGGUCUCUGAAUGGCUGUCUCCAUGGGCAUACAAUGCCUUGAGGUGCGGGGGGAUUCACACCUCACAAUAUCCCAAACAAACGGAGAAUUUGAUGCAAAAGAUCCGAAGAUGGCGGCUUACCGCAACGCCGUACUCAAAAUAUCAGUUCGGUUCGAGGGACUCAAGUUUCAUCACAUGGCUCAAGAGAUUAAUCAAGCCGCGAACAUCCUUGCUCGCAUGGGAGCUAAACGCGACCCCAUCCCACCUAACACUUUUGUGGAAAGGCUCUUCAAGCCAUCCGUGGUGUGGCAGGAAGAGAGAGAGGCAACACUAGUCCGGAAACGAUCAUACCCCCAGAUUCCGAACACAGCCCCGAUAUCAUCGGGGGCUCAGGCCCCGAAAUAACACCAUCGGCCCACGAAAUCAUGGCUGUAAUUGCCCCGUGGACCGAGCCUUUCCUUGCCUACCUUACUAGGAAUGAGCUCCCUAGGGAUCAGACUGAGGCCUGUCGCAUCGUUCGACGCUCGAAGGCCUACAAAGUUCAUGAAGGAGAACCGUAUAAGAAAAGUACUACCGAAGUCCUUCAAUGAUGUAUCUCUGAAGAAGAGGGACGACAUCUCUUGGAUGAAAUACACGCUGGUCUUGGUGGCCAUCAAGCUGCAACUCGGGCCCUUGUAAGUAAGGCUUUAUGUAUGGGUUUCUUUUGGCCCAUGGCCCGAGCAAUUGCACAUGACCUCGUACAGCGCUGCGUUGGAUGCCAGCUUUUCACUGAUCAAAGCCAUAUGCCGCCCACUGCCCUUCGAACAAUCCCCAUCACUUGGCCCUUUGCGAUCUGGGGGCUCGAUAUGGUCGGACCUCUUAAAGGGGGAAGCCAUAAGAAGAAAUACUUAUUGGUUAUGGUCAAUAGGUUCACUAAGUGGAUAGAAGCCAAGCCAGUUAAAAUAGCUGAGGCCGGACUGGUGAUAGACUUUAUAUCCGGAGUAGUACAUCGUUAUGGUGUCCCACACAGUAUUAUUACUGACAACGGCUAUAGCUGAUGAGGUAAAAACUUGGUGCGCCAAUUUGUGCAUCCAGCUCGAUUACGCCUCCGUAUAUCACCCUCAGACAAACAGUCAGGUCGAACGGGCUAACGGCAUGAUAUUGAGCGGCAUCAAACCCAGACUAGUGCGAUCUCUGCAAGAAUCAGACAAACACUGGGUCGAGGAACUCGAUUCCGUACUCUGGGGGCUGCGGACCAAGCCCAAUCGCACGAUCGGGUACACACCUUUUUUCAUGGUGUAUGGUGCGGAGGCGGUCUUGCCUUGCGACAUUAUUCACGACUCACCUCGAGUGCGCAUGUACAAAGAGAGAGAAGCCGAGCUCGAUCGGCAGGACGACUUGGACGGCCUGGAGGAGGAGCGCGAUGUUGCGAAGGCCCGUUCCGCAUUCUAUCAACAACAGGCUCGGCGAUAUCAAAGCAGAGAAGUACGGGCAAAGACUUACAAUGUCGGUGAACUCGUUCUGCACCUACCAGAGAAGAUAAAGGACAAGCUCAAGCCCAAAUGGGAGGGUCCCUUCAUUAUAGAUGAAGUUCUCACUGGAGGAGCCUAUCGCCUUCGCAAUGCUUCGGACAAUCACUUGGAGCCAAACCCAUGGAACGCUGCAAGGCUCUGAAGAUUCUACGCCUAAGUCCGCACAUAUACCCUUUUUCUCGUUCCUUCUUUUCUCCCUCUCACUGUUUUCCUUUUUCUCGUUUUUAUACGACUUCUAGCUCGUGUUCGGAUAAGCCACACACCUAAGGGGUAUACAUCCUUAAAUGUACAUACCCCACAAUACCUAGGGGCUUCUUUUCACAAGAAGCUUAUUAUUAUUAUUUUUCGAGCAUCAAGCUCACCGUAUAUAUGUGUCGUCCACUCAUAUAUGUCUUUCCUUCGCCAUUAUAUGCACCUUUAUGACUUAAGUUUUUGCCAAGCUGGGUUGCCUGGCUCCUGUGCUUAUGCCCUACGUUCCCGCUUGUUCAGCUAGGGCAUAAAGGGAGCACCUCUGCAAUUGUUACAGCCGGGUUAUCCGAACGUGUACCUCAGACGGGUGAAGCCGAAAGCUAGCGUUCUCAAGGGAAUGAUUGGUCGGCGAGCAAAAGACAAACUGCCCUCGUUGCAAUACAAACCCCCCAGACUAUAACGCGUACUGUGAUUUUUUAGCAUCACAGCUUCGGUAUGCAGAAGAAAACCGCAUACUGGCCCCAGGAGAGGAACCCUUAACGGAACUAUUCUCUCUGGAAGAUGUUUCUUACAAUCAAAUGUAAUAUAACAUAACUCCCCGAAUACAACUUGUCUGAUCAAGCAACUAUGACCGGACUGCCUGGUUUUCGAACAUACUUUGGAGUUUACCUAUGGUAUAGUAUUCGGAAACACUCCAAACCUAGGGUUUUCGGAGGUCAAAGCAGAAAGUCUGCCAUGACAAUCGUUUUACAAAUUCGGCUAAAGACAUGUUUGUCGAUAAAAGUACAUUGCUACUUGGACUCAAAAACUUCUUCUUCCUCUAGACCCUCUAAUAGGUUGUCUAGUUUACAAUCUUAUUGUGAAAACUUGGCGGCCACCUUCACUUGGUCGUACACCAGGCUGACCGGAAUUUCCUGUCCAUCGGAUCGUCGAGGUCCGACCCGUGCCAUAUGAUUUGGAUCAAGUUCGGUGUAUCGUGUUUUUACCAUGGCCCAGGCUUCCCGAGCACCUUCUCGGCAUGCCGAUAUCUUCCAUAGCCCAAAACGGCGUCGAGCUCCCUUGAAUAAAUUCACAAGUUCCUCCAUACUUCCUGGAGGAGAUUCGGCUGGCCAUAAAGCCUUAGCGAUGUUUCUCAUUGCCUUCCACACUCGCUCAUGCACCUUGGACAGCUCUUGUAGCAGGUCACCUUGAAAUCCGGACACCUCUUCUUCGAGCCGCCCAGUCAGCACACCUACAGAAAUAAACUUGUUAGGAUUCGCAUCAGCGAGCUGCAUGAUAGUAAGUUAAAAGGCAUACUGAAUAUGCCGCUUCUCAGCUUUCUGUUCUGUUUCAAGGCGCCCGCCAGUUGGGCUCGCACGUCUUUCAGCUCUUCAUCGAGCUGGAUGUUGGCAUCCUGCAGCUUGUUCUUUUCGUCCCUGGUCUGCGUCAGUACACGUUGACCAGCGGCCUCUUGCCUUUUGGCAUGUUCUUUAUCCGCCUACACGGCUUUUAGUUUCUCUUCCAGCUGAUCCGAUGAUCCUGUCAUCGUAAAAUGCCACAGUGUUUAUUCGCAUAAACAUGACUAGCACAUGAUUAUAUUUCCGGACAGAAGGGGACAUUACCAGUCAGUGCCUCCUUGGACUUCUCCAGCUUGGCGGUAACUGCAGUCAGCUGGGUCCGACACUGUUCCAGCUCCCGAGAUAGCAUGUUGUUCUUCUCCAUGAGUACCUGAUUAUACAUCGAUCCUUAAAAUCAGUUGUUUCAACUAUUUUCAAGUCUCGGGGGCUACUGGUAUAUGACUGCUAAAUCUACACAAAAUAAUUUUACCCGCAUAUCCUUUGAAAGCUGGUAAGUGGCUCCAGCAAGCCCAUCCUGAGCAGCUCGGAUGUUUGCAUCCGCCGAGCUGAAGGCAUUGAAUGCCUCUUCAGUAAAGUUAGGGUCGUGCAUAGCUGCCCUCCGGCGCCAAUGGUUCAUUGCACUCUCCACUUCGGAGUUGGUCAUGGAUACAUUAUCCGAAUCACCGAAGAGAGGACAAUCCGGCAUUGCACCCGUAUCAACUCUAGCCCUAGAGGCAGGGUCCGGGGUAGGAUUGGUGGACAUAUGUCCGGUAAGGUCUCCGGAUAUAGUCCAGUGAAUGCUCUUCCUGAAAUAUGGCACAGCAGAAAACGUCACAGUUCGGUAUGUUUGCCACGGGGCGUAUUAAAAACUGUACCUUUCCGAUGAAGGUAGGGGCUUGGAAGUAUCACCGCCCGUCUUUCUUUUUGAAGACCUGCCUUGUGUAGACGUCCCCUUCUUAAGGGCCUAUCCCGAUGCAGCAUGGCGAGACGAGCGUCGCCCCCUUGAAGCACGAGACUGUGCGGCGGGUGAGGCGCGAUGGGAAAACUCUUUUGGAGGGGACUGCUACUGAGGGAGUCCUGGAUUAGGGGGUGUUUGGAUAGCCGGACUAUACCUUCAGCCGGACUCCUGGACUAUGAAGAUACAAGAUUGAAGACUCUGUCCCGUGUCCGGAAGGGACUUUCCUUGGCAUGGAAGGCAAGCUUGGCGAUACGGAUAUGAAGAUCUCCUACCAUUGUAACCGACUCUAUGUAACCCAAACCCUACCCGGUGUCUAUAUAAACCGGAGGGUUUUAGUCCGUAGGACAACGUACACAUCAACAAUCAUACCAUAGGCUAGCUUCUAGGGUUUAGCCUCCUCGAUCUCGUGGUAGAUCUACUCUUGUACUACCCAUAUCAUCAAUAUUAAUCAAGCAGGACGUAGGGUUUUACCUCCAUCGAGAGGGCCCGAACCUGGGUAAAACUUCGUGUCCCUUGCCUCCUGUUACCAUCCGUCCUAGACGCACAGUUCGGGACCCCCUACCCAAGAUCUGCCAGUUUUGACACCGACAUUGGUGCUUUCAUUGAGAGUUCCUCUGUGUCGUCGCCGUCAGGCUCGAUGGCUCCUACAAUCAUCAAUAGCGAUGUAGUCCAGGGUGAGACCUUCCUCCCCGGACAGAUCUUCGUCUUCGGCGGCUUCACAGUGCGGUCCAAUUCGCUUGGCCAUCUGGAGCAGAUCGAAAGCUACGCCCCUGGCCGUCAGGUCAGAUUUGGAAGUUUAAACUACACGACUGACAUCCGCGGGGACUUGAUCCUCGACAUAUUCGAGCCACUGCCGAGCGUGCCGCACUGUCACGACGAGCAUGAUCUAGCUCUGCCGCCGAACAGUGCCCUGGAGGCCGCACCCGCAUCGGCUUCGACUCUUAAUUCGGAGCCAACCGCGCCGAUCGAGGAUGGGUGGUUGGACACCGCCUCGGGGGCUGCGAUCCCAACGGCGAUUGAGCCAAACACCAGCCCCGCACUCCGCGAGACUCAUGAUUCCAAGGAGUCGGACUCCUCUCCGGACUCCGAACCUUUCGCGCCUCUGCCAAUCAAAUCCGAUUGGGUGUCGAUCAUGGAGUUUACUGCCGCGGACAUCUUUCAGCACUCGCCCUUUGGCGAUAUUAUAAAAUCACUAAAGUCUCUCUCUUUAUCAGGAGAGCCCUGGCCGGACUACGGUCAGCGAUAUUGGGAUGCGGAUGAUGAAGAAAUUCAAAGCCCACCCACCACCCACUUUGUAGCCACUGUCAACAAUUUAACCGACAUGCUCGACUUCGACUCCGACGACAUCGACGGUAUGGACGCCGAUGAAGGAGACGAUGAAGAACCAGCGCCUAUUGGGCCCUGGAACGCCACCUCGUCAUAUGACGUAUACAUGGUGGAUGCACCAAAAGAUGACGACGAAGAGCGGAAGGACGCAUCGAAGGCUUGUUCCCUUGAAAAGCAGUCAAAGGGGCGACGCAAGCACCGCCCCAAAUCUUGCCUCGACAGAAAUAGCGAUCACACAGACCCAGCGCUGGAGCAGGGCGGACCACUGCCGGACAACGGCAAUCCGGAUAAUCAAACCGAACAAACAAAUCCUAUGAAGGAUAAUGGUCCGGACGACAUAACGCCGGACAAACACCCGGAGCAACAGACCGCCCGUAAAAGGCUUGUUGCCACCGCGAGGAGCCUGAAAAAGCAGAAACAAAGGCUCAAGGCCUUGCAAGACACACUCCAAUUUAGAUGGAGUAAAAUACUCAGAACUGCAGCAAGGUACGGCGACAAUCGCCCCUCCAAAAGCUACCCAAAGCGGAAGCUGCUACCCAAAUUCGAUGAGGAGGCCUCAGAACCCCCACAGCCAAAUAUCAAAGCAGCCACCUAGUCGGAUAGACGACCCCUCUACCAACACAGAUCGGCAUACAACGCCGCUCACAAUACAAUACGCGACCCAUGUGAGGGAUCGCACCCAAAGGAUGGCGCAACAAGAUCCAUCUAUGGACUACGCAAGCGCGCCCCAGCAUACAAUGCAACACAACAAACAUCCGAACAACACGGUACACCCAGCUACAGGGGUGCCGCACACCCCCUAUGUUUCACCGACGAGGUGCUGGACCAUGAAUUUCUAGAGGAAUUCAAGCCCGUAAACAUAAAGGCAUACGGCGGAACAACAGACCCUGGGGUUUGGAUUGAGGACUACAUCCUUCAUAUCCAUAUGGCUCGAGGAGAUGAUCUCCACGCCAUCAAGUACCUACCCCUCAAGCUCAAAGGGCCAGCUCGUCACUGGCUCAAAGGCCUACCCGAAAGCUCCAUUGGAAGUUGGGAAGAGCUCGAAGAUGCCUUUUGGGCAAAUUUUCAAGGGACUUAUGUCCGACCUCCAGAUGCGGACGAUUUGAGUCAUAUAACUCAACAACCCGGAGAGUCAGCCCGAAAGCUUUGGAACAUGUUUCUUACUAAAAAGAACCAGAUUGUCGACUGUGCGGACACCGAAGCCUUGGCAGCUUUCAAGCAUAGCGUCCGUGACGAAUGGCUCGCCAGACACCUCAGCCAAAAUAAGCUGAGAACGAUGGCCGCACUAACAAACCUCAUGACCCGCUUUUGCGCGAGUGAGGACAGCUGGCUAGCCAGAUGCAGCACCAGUGACCCCAGUACAUCCGAAGUUAGAGAUGGAAACGGGAAAUCACGGUGCAACAGCAAUAACAAACGCCGGAAUAAAGAAGACAGCAUGAAGGGCACGUCAGUAAAUGCCGGAUUCAAAAACUCUCGGCCAGGUCAAAAGCCGCCCCCUAAAGGCACCAGGGAUGAAUUGUCCAGCCUCAAAAAAAUUCUGGACCAAGUAUGUCAGAUUCAUAGUACGCCUGGUAAACCUGCUAAUCAUACCCACAAAGAAUGUUGGGUCUUCAAGCAGUCCGGCAAGCUCAACGCCGUACACAAGGGGGAGGAUACACCAAGUGAAGACGAGGACGAGCCCCCCAAGCAAGACACGGGGGAACAAAAGAAAUUUCCACCAGAAGUCAAAACAGUAAACGUGUUACAUGUAAUCAAGGGAAAAAACAACACGGCACUCUCGGGAAAAUAUACCCAAGUGCCUGUCACCACGAAGUCCUUCCACUGGUCAUCUCAACCGAUCACUUUCGACCAUCGCGAUUACUCAGCAAGUAUCCGACAUGCAGGAUGGGCUGCCCUGGUACUAGACCCAGUAAUUGGUGGAUAUCACUUCACAAGAGUCUUGAUGGACGGCGGCAGUAGCCUAAACCUAAUAUAUCAUGAUACAAUCCGCGGGAUGGGGUUAGAGCCAACACAAAUUUGCCAUAGCAAUACUACCUGUAAAGGAGUAACGCCGGGCCUAGGGGCUCGUUGUAUGGGCUCCCUCCUACUACAAGUUAUAUUCGGCUCCCCCGAUAACCGCGAGCAUUUAACUUUCCACAUUGCUCCAUUUCAAAGUGGCUAUCAAGCACUGCUUGGACGCGAAGCUUUCGCUCGCUUUAAUGCAAUACCACACUACACCUCCCUCACACUCAAGAUGCCCGGUCCACAUGGCAUCAUUAUAGUGCAUGAAAAUAUCAAGCGAUCUCUGCACGCCGAAGAGAGUGAGGCUGCCUUGGCAACCGCACACUAAAGGCGCCCGGACAAGCGAAAGCAUUCAAUAGGUCGUCAAGACCUCAGAUACAACUAAUCAAGUCCGGCGCCGUUAUUUAUACGGAAUAAGUGGUCACACCCCUAUUUGUCAAUACAAGGGGCUCAACGCGCGCAGACAAGUGGCAUUUUCUUAUCAUCUUGAAAUAUACAUGGUUUCUUUAAAAACUAUAUUUUUGCACGACGACUUUUUCACUUAACUUCCUCUCUUUUACAGACGAUCAUCGUGCUACACCCGUCCAGGAUACGGCACAACGGAGACAUAGGUGCAGACGUGCAGCAGGGACCCGCUCCAAGGAUUCUUUUUAGAUUAAGACCCUGCAUAAACCUUUUUUACCGUCUCUUGUUGAUACAUAUCCACCGUUGAGAAGGAUGCUAACGUCUUGGCAUGUGGCCACGCCAGAACAAUGCACGUACCUGGACACACGGGGCUUCUUACAAAGGCCACUAUUUAGGCCCGGUUUAUACCACAAAGACCGAAUACCUUAGGGAGUAUUCGGCGUCGCGAGUUUGGCCCUAUAUGCAUCAGCUCCGAAUCAUUGUCUUUGGUCAAAUGUUGGGUUUGCCCGGCUCCUGUGUUUUGGUGCCUUAUGUUCCGCCUUGCUGGCUAAGGUAGCACCAGGAGAACUACUGCGAUUGUGCCCUGGUUCAUCCGGACGAGCACCUUAGUAGAUAAAGCCGAAAACUGACUGUCAUGAUAUAGCGUGAGACUGGUCAACCACUCGAUGACCUGUGGGAAUGUUAGAAUUCCUCCGCCUUAACGAAGGGCCGUUUCCCGGCCAGGCAUGUACGCACCCCAAUAUCGGGAGAGUGCAGAGCCACCAGGGGCUAUCUAGUAGCCCCACUGUCAAACUCCUAUGGCUAAGUGAAAGUGCUAAAGCAUUAUAGUCCGGUUCCCUCGCUCGCUCCGCUAUCACCUCCUUAAUAGGACCAAGACGUUGGGUUAAGUGUGAAUGCAUGUUUUUGCGAGCACCUCCGCAUUAUAUGCGUGAGGGUUGAAGCCGACGGCUGCAAUCUUUCAGGUUAUACACAUGUAUACAUAAACGGCCGCCCAGGAGGCAUCAUAUUACUUUCAGGCAAAAGUAUAAAAAUAGCCUUAUACAAAUUUAUAAAAGAAUUUCACUUACAAUGAGAUUACAUAUCACUCAAACAUAAUAUUUUUUGAGCACUGGGUCUCUAUCAAACGGGCACUGUCGGUGUCAAAACCGGCAGAUCUCGGGUAGGGGGUCCCGAACUGUGCGUCUAGGCCGGAUGGUAAUAGGAGGCAAGGGACACGAAGUUUUACCCAGGUUCGGGCCCUCUCGAUGGAGGUAAAACCCUACGUCCUGCUUGAUUAAUAUUGAUGAUAUGGGUAGUAUAAGAGUAGAUCUACCACGAGAUCGAGGAGGCUAAACCCUAGAAGCUAGCCUAUGGUAUGAUUGUUGAUGUGUACGUUGUCCUACGGACUAAAACCCUCCGGUUUAUAUAGACACCGGGUAGGGUUAGGGUUACAUAGAGUCGGUUACAAUGGUAGGAGAUCUACAUAUCCGUAUCGCCAAGCUUGCCUUCCACACCAAGGAAAGUCCCUUCCGGACACGGUACGGAGUCUUCAAUCUUGUAUCUUCAUAGUCCAGGAGUCCGGCUGAAGGUAUAGUCCGGCUAUCCAAACACCCCCUAAUCUAGGACUCCCUCAGUAGCCCCUGAACCAGGCUUCAAUGACGACGAGUCCGACGCGCAUAUUGUCUUUGACAUUGCAAGGCGGGUUCCUCCUCCAAGUACUUCAUAGAAGAUUUUGAACACAAAGAUAGUGUCCGGCUCUGCAAAAUAAGUUUCCACAUAUUGCCAUAGAGAGAAUAAUAUUUACAAAAAUCUAAUCUGCUGACGUAUUCCGUAGUGUGACAUCACACCACGGCCAAGCUUUUAUUCAAACCGUUUUACUAUCCCAUCUCAGCGCGUUAUGUGAGGCGGUUUCCUUGGCACGUCUUGUUAAAGCAGAGAUCGUGUCCCCUUAUUCCAGGAUUCUCAUCAAUACGGGCAUGGGUAACCCAACCGCGCCAUUGAUUACGGCGCUUGGAGAUAAGUGAGUUUUACCAGGCUGGUGGGGACAUGUAGUUGCGUCCUAUAUAAGGGGAUAAGGAUCCACCUUUUCACCUACGCCUUCUUCCUCCUUCGCCUAUCCAUUCUUGCGCACUCGAGCUCCAGCGCCCAAGUCUGCACUCCCCACCUCAACCUUCUCUAGCCAUGUCCAGAGUGGGAGGCAAGUGGAUGGUCUCCUCCGUCACGGAGGGACAUAUCAAAAAGCUGAGGAAGGCCGGAUACCUGUCUAACGACAUCGCGUACCGGCUCCCCAAAAAGGGGUAGCUCAUCCCCACCCCUAGGCCCCAUGAGAGGGUGGUGUUCCUCCCCCAUUUCCUCUGCGGACUGAGCUUCCCUCUCCACCCAUUUGUCCUGGGGCUCAUGUUCUACUACGGCCUGGAUUUCCACGAUCUGGCCUCGAACUUCGUUCUCAACAUCUCGGCGUUUAUCGUCGUGUGCGAGGCCUUCCUCCGCAUCCACCCCCAUUUCGGCCUAUGGCUCAAGACUUCCAACGUCAAGCCGAAGGUGGUGCGCGGCAACCAGGCAGAGUGCGGAGGCGCUAUGGUGGGCAAGAUGGCCAACAUCCUAUGGAUCGAGGGCUCCUUUGUGGAGACCCUGAAGGGCUGGCAAUCGGGGUGGUUUUACAUCACCAAGCCACGCGACGUCGAAUGGGUCGCACCCCCCGAGUUCCGAUCCGGCCCCCUACACGGCUCACCUCCUGGAAGGAGACGGGCCUGUCUUGGGGUAAAAAAGGAGAGCUGACCGGACUCCAAACAUGCAUCCAAACCCUGGCGGACAAGAAGCUCAAGCUUGUCAACGUAGUCCAGGUUAUGCUCAUCCGCCUGAUCCUCCCGUGUCAACAACGGGCUUUCAACCUGUGGGAGUUCGACCCGGCGCGGCACCAGACUCUAAGUAGGAUCUUUGACACGACGUACGAAGAUGCCUGGAAGGUGCUUUUCAAAGGCACCAAGGCUCCCGCAUCCGCUACUGAGGAUCGCGGAUUCAGUGUGCAGCGUCAUGCUCUCGCGGUAAGCUGCUUUUUUCCUUUUACAGGAUAUCAGUUCUUCAUAGUUUGACUCCAUGCGGGAUCUAAGCUCCCUUACCUUUAACAGGAUUGGCAGGUGAUGUCCGGACAGAUCAACUGUCCGACUCCUUUGCCCGAAGGCCCAGCGGACGCUCGCUUGGCGAAGUUGCUGGUUCCAGCACCCUAUGUGGUGCCGGAGAAGAAGGCCGCAAAAAAGGCCACGGGGACUCGAAAGAGUGCCCGGCGCCAGGAGGUGUCGGAUCCAUCAUCCGACGGUUCCGAGGCGCAUUCCUCCCAUGAAGACGAGGUGGAAGAAGAGGAGACCUCUCCCCCUCCAGCGGGGGGAGAGAAGAAAAGGAAGGCCGCCCUCUCGGGGGAGGCCAGAGGGUCCAAGAAGGGGAAAACCCUUCCUCCAGACUGCUCCACCGACGCCGACGGCGGUGGAGAGGAGUGGCAGCCCAGGGCCAAGCCCCUGGCAAAAUCGUAAGUGUCCUAAUACCAGAGUAAUUCAUAGUAUUCGUUUAUUGCACAUCUUUCCCUUACGUCGAAUAUGUUUAUGCAGCCCACCCAAAGACCGGCUCGACGCGUCGUCGAGCGGCUCACUGGACUCGUCGGAUGUGAACUUGCUUCCGAAGGCUUCCUCCCCCCGCCCUACGGACGACACCAAAGUGUUGUCCCAACAGGUUCCAAGCCGGGAGGAGAUGGUCCUGGAGGCGCCGCAAGGCGACCUCCCGGACUCCAGGUGUAAAGGGGAUGAAACCCCCCGGGGCUCCAAGUCCGGCUCUAGGCCGGACACCGCUCCGGAACCUUCAAAGGUUCCAGAGUCCGGCGGGGGACCUCCUUCCAAGAGGAGCAAGUCCACCGUGCUAGCGGCCCCCGUCCAACCGGAGGCGCUGGACAAUAUGUUGGAGGCGCUCCAAGGCGCCUCCAUCAACGAGGAGCACCACGCUAUUAUGAGUGCGGUGGUCCAGAAGGUUCAGUCUGCCAAGAGCGGACUGACUGAAGCUUGUACUAGCCUUUUGACAGGCUUUGAGGUAAGUAAAGAAUGUGUAAAUAAUAGUACCACAUAGACAGUAGCCCCUGAUGCUCUAUUUGGCAUUCGGGAAGAAAAGCCGAAUAGAGGAUCAAACAGAAUUCACAGGAGUCUAACAAAAAUGAGUCAAUAUGCAUAUGCAGGCUUCCCUGCUUGCGUCCGCCGCACUGACUGCGGAAGUGGACACGCUAAAGCAGAACCUCGAGCGGUUCGAGCAAGAGCUCGAUCAUCCCAAGAAGCAGCUCGAGGACAAUGAAGGUAAGAAAUACCAUGUUUUUAAAUAUAUAUAAAAAGGUGCAAUUGCAAAGAAUGACAGGGUGGCUAUUUUAGGGGCCACGUCUGAAGUGGCGACCCUUAAGCAGGCGCUGGUCGAGGCCGAGAAGAGGGCGGCCUCGGAGCGCACCGAGCGGGAGAAGUAUGAGGCCGAGGUUGGCAAGGUGCGGCAAGAGCUCCAAGCUCUCAUGGAAAAACAUGAGAGUUUGGAGCUUGACUCAAAGACGCGAGCGUCCGAGCUCGCGGUGGCUAUUGAAAAUGCCAAGCCUGCCAAGGCCGAAUCCCAGAAGACCCUCUAGGAGUUGGAUGAGGUGAAGAAGAUAGCGGCAGGUAAGGCAUUCUUUAUGCAAAGCAAACACAUAAACGUGAGUUACUUGUUACUUACCCGAAUCCGGAGCUCUCCAGGAGCGUUCGCAGAUCUUCCCUGGAGUGUAUCCGAUGCCGCCGCAUUCUACCGAGCCAAGGAGGGCAGCUCGACAAAGAAGGUGUUCUGGUCUCAGUAUACUGAGGUCGGACACCCCGUGCCCCUGAGCGACCAGCUGAAGCAACUGGUCGAGCUCCACAAGGCAGCCGAACAGGCCAUGAAGGGCCUCAUUGCUCGGCUGUGGCCUGGAGGGGCUCUGCCUAGGAGCUAUUUCGGGCUAGUGCAGUGGUUGGUGGAGGCCUGUCCAAGGCUCAAAGUCAUCAAGCGAUCCGUCUGCAUUGAAGGUGCCCGUAGGGCCCUUGCCAGUGCUAAGGUGCACUGGGGCAAGCUGGAUGCUGAGAAGCUGGUGAAGGAUGGGCCACCGCCGGGGAAAGAGCAUCACAAGCCCGAGAAUUACUAUAAGGAUGUUCUGAAUGGUGCCCGUCUUGUGGCGGAUGAAUGUUCUAGGGAUGUAAUUUUUGAGUGAAACUUGCUCGUUUUGUCCUGUGCGCUGAAAGCUUGUUUAUAUGCGCUAAGCAAUGCUGUUGGAAUUUAAAAUAUUACCUUCUGUGCGUUUGUUUAUCAAUUCUGAGAGAUGGCGAGUCGUCGGCUUCUGCCCCCGUGCCGCUAGUGCUGGGGUGUUCGGGGAUAAACUUGAGCUCUCUUUUUCCCAUGUUUGGGUCCUUCGAGGGAGGCGCUCAGCCCAACGAACAAGGCAAUCGGACUAUAAUGCAUGAACACUCUCACUUAGCCAUAGAAUUCUAUAAUUUUAAAUUUCAGCGAAGCCCCUGGUAUUCGGAAGACCGAGUUUGGGGCGCUAUCCACGCCUUGGACGGACAGAGUCGGCUCCUCGCCCUAAGCGGCAUAAGUCUUUAGGGACUCGAAAAAACCUCUCGAACAGCAACCAGCUCUCGCUUCAUCAUGACAGUCAAUUUUAGCUUUCUCCACUGAGGUGCUCGGCCCAGCUCAACCGGGGCACAAUCGCAGUGGUUCUGCUAGUGCUACCUUAGCCAAUAUAGCGGAACGUAAGGCACCAAAACAUAGGAGCCGGGCAAACCCAACUAUUGACCCAAGACAUGAUUCGGAGCCGAUGCAUAUAAUGCUAUAAGUUCGGGGUGCCGCACUUGUUAAAGUGUUCAGACUUCUCACACCAUAUGGAGGAGUACUAAAGCCCCUGGCGUAUUUUGGCCGUACCAACGUGUACGGGUGCAACAUGUCGUUAAGGAACAUACAUAAAAAGGUAAUGCAAAAAUAGACGAAAGCUAUGCAUUGUUUAUUAAAAAGGGCUGCGAUCAAAGCAGAACGAUACAAAUAAUGCGAUAAGUGGAAGGUUGGACUAGUUAACAUGUUCGUUCCAGGGGCAAGUUGCGGAAUAGUAUGCAGAACGGGUAUACUUCUCGUGAUAGAGACCACCUAGGAGUUCCGUAACGCGGCGUGGCUUGUCUGCUUCCCUGGUUCUUGCAUCGUUUGUGCGGCAAUUGAACUACUGAACAGGCCUUCCGAAGGGUGGAGUCCUGAAAGUAAGAGAAAAUUAAAAAAUCGGCAGCCCCUGGUACGGUUUAAGCCGUGUUUUGGGCGUGCCGUGAUGGUGCCCCUCCCCCCGUGCCCAUGGUAUCUCUAGAGCGUAGUUAUGUACACGAAGUACUGGCGUCGCCUUUUUGCGAGGGUUGGAGUUGGGGCCGCAUUGCUACGCCUGCUCGGAUCAUGCCAGGCGGUCUUGUUGUAGGUUACGCCGGGCGCGUUUGACGGUGUCCGGUCGUUUAGUGGCCGGACUAGAGAACUGCCUAGAGAGGCUGCUUUGUACUUCCGUUGCAAGGGCUGCUGUGUGCUCCUUCGUUCGGAGGGAGCGUUCGGUGUUUCCAUUGACCGUAAUUACUCCUUGAGGGCCUGGCAUCUUGAGCUUAAGGUAUGUGUAGUGCGGUACCGCAUUGAACUUAGCGAAUGCGGUUCGCCCGAGCAGUGCGUGAUAACCACUGCGAAACGGGACUAUGUCGAAGAUUAACUCCUCGCUUCGGAAAUUAUCCGGAGAUCCAAAGACCACUUCAAGUGUAACUGAGCCUGUACAGUUGGCCUCUACACCUGGUAUUAUGCCUUUAAAGGUCAUUUUGGUGGGCUUAAUCCUCGAGGGAUCUAUGCCCAUUUUCCGCACUGUAUCCUGGUAAUGCAGGUUCAGGCUGCUGCCGCCGUCCAUAAGGACUCUAGUGAGAUGAAAUCCGUCAAUGAUUGGGUCUAGGACCAAUGCGGCGAAUCCGCCAUGACGGAUGCUAGUGGGAUGGUCCCUUCGAUCAAAGGUGAUCGGCCAGGAGGACUAUGGGUUGAACUUUGGGGUGACUGGCUCUACCAUGUAUACGUCCCUUAACGCGCGCUUCCGCUCCCUUUUGGGGACGUGGGUUGCGUAUAUCAUGUUCACCGUCCGCACUUGUGGGGGAAAACCCUUCUGUCCACUGUUGUUAGGCGGUCGGGGCUCCUCGUCGUCAUCUCUAUGCAGCCCCUUGUCUUCAUUUUCGAUGUUUAACUUGCCUGCCUGCUUGAACACCCAACAAUCCCUGUUAGUGUGAUUGGCCGGCUUUUCGGGGGUGCCAUGUAUCUGGCACAAGCGGUCGAGUAUUCGGUCCAAACUGAACGGGCCCCUAGGAUUCCUUUUGAAUGGCUUUUUCCGCUGACCGGAUUUAGAGCCUCUAAAUCCGGCAUUAACUGUUGUAUCCUCAGCAUUGUCGCCGUUAAUGCGGCGCUUCUGCUUGUUGCGACGCGACCUGCCACUACUGUCCCUGGUGUCCGAAUUACCAGGGUUUUUGGUCAUAUUGUUGCUACAAGCAAGCCAGCUGUCUUCUCCCGUGCAAAAGCGGGUCAUGAGUGUCGUGAGUGCUGCCAUAGAUUUUGGCUUUUCCUGUCCAAGGUGCCGGGCCAGCCACUCGUCACGGAUAUUGUGCUUGAAGGCUGCUAGGGCCUCAGCGUCCGGACAAUCGACUAUUUGAUUUUUUUUUGUUAGGAACCGUGUCCAGAAUUGCCUGGCCGAUUCCUCUGGCUGCUGAAUUACGUGACUUAGGUCAUCGGCGUCUGGGGGUCGCACAUAAGUGCCCUGGAAAUUGUCAAGGAAUGCGGCUUCCAGGUCCUCCCAACAACUGAUUGAUCCUGUUGGCAAGCUGUUAAGCCAAUGCCGAGCUGGUCCUUUAAGCUUGAGUGGGAGGUAUUUGAUGGCGUGGAAAUCAUUGCCGCGGGCCAUGUGGAUAUGAAGGAGAUAAUUCUCGAUCCAUACCACGGGGAUCUGUUGUGCCAUCAUAUGGUUCGAUGUUUACGGGUUUGAAACCCUCGGGGAUUUGAUGAUCCAUUAUUUCGUCUGUAAAGCAGAGUGGGUGUGCGGCGCCUCUGUACUGGGCUAUAUCAUGAUGUAGCUCCAAUGAGCUUUGUCUACUGUGUUCGGCCCCGCCGAAUUUGUGACCGGCGUGACGGUUACCGUCUUGAGCCGUGGGGCGCCCACGCGAUCUGUAGAUCGAUCUUGUUUGCCUUGCCUUGUCCUCCAACAUGUCUCGUAAGUCCGGCGCAUAUUCCCGUGCCUUGGUACGGGGUGCGGCUUGAGUUGAGGGCCGAGAGGCCUCUCUGUCGCGACCACGACGUGGCCGGUCGGCCGCAUCAAGUGCUUCCUCCUCUAAUCGGGGUAGCAACCUGCGCUUUGGGUAGCUCUUGGAGGGGCGUUCGAGUGUAUGCUCUUCGGCCGCAAGGACUUCAGUCCAUCUGUCGACUAGCAAAUCUUGAUCAGCUCUAAGCUGUUGCUGUUUUUUCUUGAGGCUUCUUGCCGUGGCCAUAAGACUGUGUUGAAAACGCUUUUGCUCGACGGGAUCCUCUGGCACGACGAAUUCGUCGUCGUCGAGGCUUGCCUCGUCUUCGGAGGGAGGCAUAUAAUUAUCGUCCUCGACCUUUCUAUCUGCCGCUCUCUCAUGAGGGAUGGUUUCUCCAUCCUCCUAUGCUAAAUCUUGCUGGAGGGGGUUUUCUUCGGUGCUUUCCGGAGUAUUAGUAUCUCCUGUGCUGGAAUCACCUUGUUUGUUUUGGCGAGAUUUUGAGCGGCGCCGCUGACGCGGGCGCUUAGGCUGUUUCUUGGAGGGGUCAUCCUCCGUUGUUCCAUCGCCAUCUCCCUCUUUUGGGGUGUCCACCAUGUAUAUGUCAUACGAUGAGGUGGCUUUCUAGGGCCUAGUAGGCGCUGGUUCUUCAUCAUCUCCUUCAUCGGCGUCCAGACCAUCGAUGUAUUCGGAGUCGAAGUCGAGCAUGUCGGUUAAGUCGUCGACAGUGGCUACAAAGUGGGUGGUGGGUGGGCUUUGAAUUUCUUCAUCGUCCGUACCCCAACCUUGCUGACCGUAGUCCAGCCAGGGCUCUCCUGAUAAAGAGAGAGACUUCAGUGACAUCAGGAUAUCGCCGAAAGGCGAGUGCUGAAAGAUGUCCACGGCAGUGAACUCCAUGAUCGGUGCCCAAUCGGAUUCGAUCGGUAGGCGCGCGGAGGGUUCGGAGUCCGGCUCCUUGGAGUCACGAGUCUCGCAGAGUACGGGGCUGGUGCUUGGCUCAAUCGCCGUUGGGGUCGCAGCCCCCGAGGUGGCGUCCAACCACCCAUCCUCGAUCGGCGCAGUUGGCUCCGAAUUAAGGGUCGGAGCCAAUGCGGGUAUGGCCUCCAGGGCACUGUUUGGCGGCAGAGCUAGAUCAUGCUCGUUGUGAUAGUGCGGCGUGCUCGGCAAUGGCUCGAAUCCGUCGAAGAUCAAGUCUCCACGGAUGUCAGCCGUGUAGUUUAAACUUCCAAAUCUGACCUGACGGCCAGGGGCGUAGCUUUCCAUCUACUCCAGACGGCCAAGAGAAUUGGCCCGCAGUGCGAAGCCGCCGAAGAUGAAGAUCUGUCUGGGGAGGAAGGUCUCACCCUGGACUGCAUCGCUAUCGAUGAUCGUAGGAGCCAUCGAGCCUGACGGCGACGACACAGAGGAACUCUCAAGAAAGCACCAAUGUCGGUGUCAAAACCGGCGGAUCUCGGGUAGGGGGUCCCGAACUAUGCGUCUAGGCUGGAUGGUAACAGGAGGCAAGGGACACGAAGUUUUACCCAGGUUCGGGCCCUCUCGAUGGAGGUAAAACCCUAUGUCCUGCUUGAUUUGAUGAUAUGGGUAGUACAAGAGUAGAUCUACCACGAGAUCGAGGAGGCUAAACCCUAGAAGCUAGCCUAUGGUAUGAUUGUUGAUGUGUACAUUAUCCUACGGACUAAAACCCUCCGGUUUAUAUAGACACCGGGUAGGGUUAGGGUUACAUAGAGUCGGUUACAAUGGUAGGAGAUCUACAUAUCCGUAUCGCCAAGCAUGCCUUCCACGCCAAGGAACGUCCCUUCCGGACACGGGACGGAGUCUUCAAUCUUGUAUCUUCAUAGUCCAGGAGUUCGGCUGAAGGUAUAGUCCGGCUAUCGGAACGCCCCCUAAUCCAGGACUCCCUCAGGCACCCUCAAGAACAUCUUCAAAGUAGUGCUCGGCAGCCUUUCGACCUAUAGUCGAAUCCCGCGUUGCAACAUUGGUAGCAUCCAUCUCCGCCCAAUAUGCCUUAACACGGGCAAAGGCCAUCCGUGCGCCCUCUAUGCACGCCGACCUCCUCAUCGCAUCAAUGCGCGGCACCACAUCAAGGACCUGCUGCACCAAGCUAAAAUAGAUGUUCGGUUUUGACCUUCUCGGCCAUAGCUGAUCCAUAACAGACCUCAUAGAGAGUUUGGACAACCUGUUUAGUUCGGCCCAUUCGGCUAAUUGGUCGGUCAAUGAAAGUGUACGCUCGGGAGAAUGGAAUUGUCUCCAAAACAGCCGGUCUACUCCACGAUCUGUCUGACCCUGGAAUUACUUGGCCGCAUCGGUAGCGCUCGUCGCCAAAUCCAUAUACACAUCCUCCGAACUCCAUAGCCGAUCCAGAGGGGCAUACCGUGGAUCUCCGAAUUUCCUCCGCAACAUAAAGGAUUUCCCAGCUACAAUAUCCUCGGCUUCCCGUAGCUCCUCCUUCUUUGCCCUCAUAGCAGAGCGGAGAUCCUUUUUCGUCGCAGCAUCCUUUUCAAGGUCCGAUGCCUUCGCUUGGUUUUCUUUUUCAAGAACCCGGCAACGGUCGGCGGCGGCUUUUAAUUCUAUAGCCAUCUUGGCCAUCUUGUCUCGGGUCUCUCCAUGCGCGGCCUUCUCGGCUUGCAACUCUUCGGCCGCCUUCACAGCAGCCGCAUUGCCCAACCUCGCUUGUUCCUUGGCUCGGGAAAGUUCUGCCCGCAAGGCUUCAACAGUGGCAGCUCCAUCUGCAGUCACAACAUAUUAAAGAUACUGGCAUCAUGCUGCUCUUCCUAUUGUGGCAUUUACCAGAUAAUAACACUUACCCUGUGCCUCGUCAAGCCUUUUGUUAACAAGCUCGAUGUCGGCGUCUGCCGCAUCCAACUGCCGUUCUAAAUGGGCAAACUCGCUAGUCCGGCUAGCCACCGGAGCUUCCAUCACCUGCACAUAGAGGCUGUAUGGUUAUUACCUGGGAAUAUGAUCCUCUGUUCAUCGUCGUUUCCGACAACAACCAGAGUCUCAGGGGCUACUAUCUACACAGGGCACACCUAGCAUGUGCAGGACUAUCAUACAUUCUUUUACGUACCUCAAAGCCUGUCAGUAGACUCAUAAAAGCUUCAUGAAAUCCGCUUUCGGCGGACGAUAUUCUCUCCAUCACCGUAUUCAUCAGCACACGAUGUUCAUCUGAGAUGGCCGCUCGCCCCACCAAGUCCCUCAGAACAUCCGAUCGCACACUAGACGGUGUCGGACUCUUUUGUUUGCUCUCUGCGGGAGCCGGACAUUGGGAGCUUUGGGGGUCAAUGGGAUUAUCUUCUGGCCUCACCGGACUCGGAGAGGCCCUCCACGAUGACACUUCAGGGUUGCCCGCUUCCGGAGCGGAGGAGUCCGGAGGAGGCGAUUCGCUCUCCGUCAUCUCUGGAAGAAGAUCCCCCGAAGAUGAGCUCAUUUGAGAUGGGCUAAGGCCCGAACUGCAAAAUAUAUGUGGUGGUUAUUUUCUUAGAAGAAAAAUAUGGCAUAUCUGUACUAUUAAAAGUAUUUCGGGUCACUUACAAUUCGCGGGAAAAUUGAUCCCCCCGCGGACUUUGUGCGGCAACGGUGCCCCCCGAGGUAGGACCCUCUGUGGGAGACUUCUUCUCCCGUUUGGAAGCUUCGGCUUCCGAAUCCCCGGGCGCAGUCCUUUUCCUCUUAUGGUCGUCUUCCUUCAUGGAGACGCUCACUCCCUCAGCUAGAAUGGGUAGCAUUGGGGGCCCGCGUCCGCCCGCAUUAUCCUCCACGGUAUCUUCCUUCAAGGGCUCCGGGCAAGGUGCGGUCUGGAGCGUCUUUUCCAAUACCGGAUUUUCCAAACCCUCAGGGAGGGGGGCCGAACACUGAAUCAACUUCGCCUUUGUUAGCCAGUCCUGGUCAAAAAGCGAACUUUCAGAAAUAACUUCGUAACAAAGGAGAGAUAGUAUGCUCGGCCGGAAGAUGCCUUACCUGUUCAGCGGCGCGGUUACUACUCAGGCCCAUGUCCUCGGUGAUUUCCGGACACUCCACCUCAGGUCCGAAGAAUGACUUGUACAUCUCCUCGUGCGUUAGGCCGAGGAAAUUUUGAAUGGCACGCAGUCCCUCAGGAUUGAACUCCCACAGACGAAGAGGCUGGCGUUUACAAGGCUGGACUUGACGAACCAGCAUAACCUGUAUUACUGCAACCAAACUGAAAUCUCCAUUGAAGAGAUCUCGAAUGCGGCUUUGCAGUAUAGGGACGUCCUUGGCUGGCCCCCAGCUCAGAUCUCAGCUGAUCCAUGACAUCAGCUGUGGCGGGGGGCCCAAGCGGAAAACAGGGGGGGCGCCCACUUGGCACUUCUAGGAGCCGUGAUGUAGAACCACUCCCAUUGCCACAGUUCAGACACCUCUGGGAUGGAACCUUUGGGCCACGGAGCUCCCGUCAUCUUGCGUAUUGAGGCACCUCCACACGCUGCAUGUUUCCCCUCGACCAUCUUCGGCUUAACUUCAAAGGUCUUGAGCCAUGUGCCAAAGUGAGGGGUAACUCGGAGGAAGGCCUCACACACGACAAUAAAUGUCGUGAUAUGAAGAAAGGAGUCCGGAGCUAGAUCAUGAAAGUCUAGCCCGUAGUAAAACAUCAAACCCCUUAUGAAAGGAUCCAGAGCAAGGCCUAGACCUCGGAGGAAGUGGGAGACGAACACGAUGUUAUCGUUGGGUUCGGGGGUGGGGACGGCCUGCCCUUGGGGAGGCAGCCGAUGCAAAAUCUCGGCGGUCAGAUAUCUGGCCUCCCUCAACUUUUUGAUGUCUUCUUCCGUGACGGAGGAAGGCACCCAUCGGCCUUGAAGGCUAGAUCCGGACAUGACUGAAGGUUCGGAGCACCUGACCUGAACUUCGGGCGUUCGAGCUUGAGGUGGGGGAAGGAUUCGAUUGAGCACGGGAGGGAAAAAUAAAAGCCUUGUCCCCUUUAUAAAGAGGGUGAAUAUCAAGCGUCCUCUCCGUGUCCGUUUGGACUUGCCUAUAAUCUAGGAGUCCUACAAGCGGUUGGAUUACCCACGCCCGUAUUGAUGAGAAUCCCGGGAUAAGGGGACACGAUCUCUACUUUAACAAGACAUGCCAAGGAAACCGUCUCGCAUGACGCGCUGAGGUGGGAUAAUGAAACGACUCGGAUAAAGGCUUGGCCAUGGUGUGACACGCUACGGAAUACGUCAGCAGAUUAGAUUGGUGUAAAUAUUAUUCUCUCUAUGGCAAUAUGUGGAAACUUAUUUGGCAGAGCCGGACAAUAUCUUUGUGUUCAAGAUCUUCUAUGAAGUACUUGGAGGAGGAACCCGCCUUGCAAUGCCGAAGACAAUAUGCGCGCCGGACUCGUCGUCAUUAAAGCCUGGUUCAGGGGCUACUGAGGGAGUCCUGGAUUAGGGGGUGUUCGGAUAGCCGGACUAUACCUUCAGCCGGACUCCUGGACUAUGAAGAUACAAGAUUGAAGACUCCGUCCCGUGUCCGGAAGGGACUUUCCUUGGCAUGGAAGGCAAGCUUGGUGAUACGGAUAUGAAGAUCUCCUACCAUUGUAACCGACUAUAUGUAACCCUAACCCUACCCGGUGUCUAUAUAAACUGGAGGGUUUUAGUCCGUAGGACAAUGUACACAUCAACAAUCAUACCAUAGGCUAGCUUCUAGGGUUUAGCUUCCUCGAUCUUGUGGUAGAUCUACUCUUGUACUACCCAUAUCAUCAAUAUUAAUCAAGCAGGACGUAGGGUUUUACCUCCAUCGAGAGGGCCCGAACCUGGGUAAAACUUCGUGUCCCUUGCCUCCUGUUACCAUCCGGCCUAGACGCAUAGUUCGGGACCCCCUUCCCGAGAUCCGCCGGUUUUGACACCGACAGCUACCUCUUGAGCAUGUGUUGGUUUUCCCUUGAAGAGGAAAAGGUGAUGCAGCAAAGUAGCGUAAGUAUUUCCCUCAGUUUUGAGAACCAAGGUAUUAAUCCAGUAGGAGACAACACACAAGUCACCUAGUACCUACACAAAAAAUCAAGAACCUUGCAACCGACGCGAUAAAAGGGGUUGUCAAUCCCUUCACUGUCACUCACAAAAGUGAGAUCUAAUAAAGAUAGUAAAGUAAAUAUUUUUGGUAUUUUUGUUGUACAAAUUGGAAACCAAAGAUUGCAAAAUAGUAAACGAGAUGAGAUGUAAAUAAAAGAGAUGCAAUAUAAUAAGAAAGAGACCCGGGGGCCAUAGGUUUCACUAGUGUCUUCUCUCCAGAUAGCAUGUAUUACGGUGGGUGAACAAAUUACUGCCGAGCAAUUGAUAGAAAAGCGCAUAGUUAUGAAGAUAUCUAAGGCAAUGAUGUUGAAUAUAGGCAUAACGUCCGUGUCAAGUAGAUCGAAACGAUUCCGCAUCUACUACUAUUACUCCACACAUCGAACGCUAUCCAGCAUGCAUCUAGAGUAUUAAGUUCAUAGGAAUAGAGUAACGCAUUAAGCAAGAUGACAUGAUGUAGAGGGAUAAACUCAAGCAAUAUGAUAUAAACCCCAUCUUUUUAUCCUCGAUGGAAACAAUACAAUACGUGCCUUGCUGCCCUACUGUCACUGGGAAAGGACACCGCAAGAUUAAACCCAAAGCUAAGCACUUCUCCCAUUGCAAGAAAGAUCAAUCUAGUAGGCCAAACUAAACCGAUAAUUUGAAGAGACUUGCAAAGAUAUCAAAUCAUGCAUAUAAGAAUUCCGAGAAGAACCAAAUAAUAUUUAUAGAUAAUCUUGUUCAUAAAUCCACAAUUCAUCGGAUCUCAGCAAACACACCGCAAAAGAGUAUUACAUCGAAUAGAUCUCCAAGAACAUCGAGGAGAACUUUGUAUUGAGAAUCAAAGAGAGAGAAGAAGCCAUCUAGCUAAUAACUAUGGACCCGAAGGUCUAUGGUAAACUACUCACGCUUCAUCGGAGAGGCAAUCGUGUUGAUGUAUAAGCCCUCCGUGAUCGAUUCCCCCUCCAACAGAUCACCGGAAAAGGCCCCAAGAUGGGAUCUCACGGGUAUAGAAGGUUGCGGCGGUGGAAAAGUGGUUUUGUGGCUCUCUGGGAUGUUUCUAGGGUAUAAGAGUAUAUAUAGGCAAAAGAAGUACGUCAGUGGAGCUACGAGGGGCCCACAAGGGUGGGGGCGCAUCUACCCCCCUGGGCGCGCCCUCCUGCAUCGUGGCCGCCUCGUGGAGUUCCAGAAUUCGAACCCAAGUCUUCUGGAUUGCUUUUGGUCCAAGAAAAAUCAUCGCAAAGGUUUCAUUCCGUUUGGACUCCGUUUGGUAUUCCUUUUCUGCGAAACUCUAAAAUAGGCACAAAAAAACCUGGAACUGGGCCUCUGGUUAAUAGGUUAGUCCCAAAAAUAAUAUAAAACAACAUAUUAAAGCCCAUUAAACAUCCAAAACAAAUAAUAUAAUAGCAUGGAGGAAUUAAAAAUUAUAGAUACGCGGAGACGUAUCAAGCAUCCCCAAGCUUAAUUCCUGCUCGUCCUCGAGUAGGUAAAUGGUAGAAACAUAAUUUUUGAUGUGGAAUGCUACCUAUCAUAAUUAUCAAUGUAAUUUUCUUUAUUGUGGUAUGAAUGUUCAGAUCCGAAAUAUUCAAAACAAAAGUUUAAUAUUUACAUAAAAAUAAUAAUACUUCAAGCAUACUAAUAAAGCAAUCAUGUCUUCUCAAAAUAACAUGGACAAAGAAAGCUAUCCCUAGAAAAUCAUAUAGUCUGGCUAUGCUCUAUCUUCAUCACACAAAAUAUUUAAAUCAUGCACAACCCCGAUGACAAGCCAAUUAAUAUUUUCAUACUUUUGAUGUUCUCAAACUUUUUCAAUCUUCAUGCAAUACAUGAGCGUGAGCCAUGGACAUAGCACUGUAGGUGGAAUAGAAUGGUGGUUGUGGAGAAGACAAAAAGGAGAAGAUAGUCUCACAUCAACUAGGCUUAUCGAUGGCUAUGGAGAUGCCCAUCAAUAUAUAUCAAUGUGAGUGAGUAGGGAUUGCCAUGCAACGGAUGCACUAGAGCUAUAAGUGUAUGAAAGCUCAACAAGAAACUAAGUGGGUGUGCAUCCAACUCGCUUGCUCAUGAAGACCUAGGGCAUUUUCAAGAAGCCCAUCAUGGGAAUAUACAAGCCAAGUUCUAUAAUGAAAGAUUCCCACUAGUAUAUGAAAGUGACAACAUAGGAGACUCUCUAUCAUGAAGAUCAUGGUGCUACUUUGAAGCACAAGUGUGGAAAAAGGAUAGUAGCAUUGCCCCUUCUCUCUUUUUCUCUCAUUUUUUGGGCCUUUCUAUUCUUUAUGGCCUCUUUUUUUCUCUCCUUUUUUUAUUUUUUUAUUUUUCGUCCGGAGUCUCAUCCCAACUUUUGGGGGAAUCAUAGUCUCAAUCACCCUUUCCUCUCAUGGGACAAUGAUCUAAAUAAUGAUGACCAUCACACUUUUAUUUACUUACAACUCAAGAAUUACAACUUGAUACUUAGAACAAAAUAUGACUCUAUGUGAAUGCUUUCGGCGUUGUACCAGGAUGUUCAAUGAAUCAAGAGUGACAUGUAUGAAAGUAUUAUGAAGGUGGCUUUGCCACAAAUACGAUGUCAACUACAUGAUCAUGCAAAGCAAUAUGAUAAUGAUGAAGCGUGUCAUAAUAAACGGAAUGGUGGAAAGCUGCAUGGCAAUAUAUCUUGGAAUGGCUAUGGAAAUGGCAUAAUAGGUAGGUAUGGUGGCUGUUUUGAGGAAGGUAAAUGGUGGGUUUAUGGUACCGGCAAAAGUUGUGCGGUACUAGAGAGGCUAGCAACGGUGGAAGGGUGAGAGUGCGUAUAAUCCAUGGACUCAACAUUAGUCAUGAAGAACUCACGUACUUUUUGCAAAAAUCUAUUAGUUAUCGAAAUGAAGUACUACGCACACACUUCUAGGGGGAUAGAUUAGUAGGAAAAGACCAUCGCUUGUCCCCGACCGCCACUCAUUAGAAAUACAAUCAAAAAAUAAAUCAUGCUCCGACUUCAUCACAUAACGGUUCACCAUACGUGCAUGCUACGGGAAUCACAAACUUUAACACAAGUAUCUUUCAAAUUCACAACUACUCAACUAGCAUGACUCUAAUAUCACCAUCUUCAUAUCUCAAAACAAUCAUAAGGAAUCAAACUUCUCAUAGUAUUCAAUGCACUUUAUAUGAAAGUUUUUAUUAUACCCAUCUUGGAUGCCCAUCAUAUUAGGACUAACUUUAUAGCCAAAGCAAAUUACCAUGCUGUUAUAAAAGACUCUCAAAAUAAUAUAAGUGAAGCAUGAGAGAUCAAUAAUUUCUAUAAAAUAAAACCACCACCGUGCUCUAAAAAGAUAUAAGUGAAGCACUAGAGCAAAAUUAUCUAGCUCAAAAGAUAUAAGUGAAGCACAUAGAGUAUUCUAAUAAAUUCCGAUUCAUGCGUGUAUCUCCCAAAAGGUGUGUACAACAAGGGUGAUUUUGGUAAACUAAAAAUCAAAGACUCAAAUCAUACAAGACGCUCCAAGCAGAACACAUAUCAUGUGGUGAAUAAAAAUAUAGCCUCAAGUAAAGUUACCGAUAGACGAAGAUGAAAGAGGGGAUGCCUUCCGGGGCAUCCCCAAGCUUAGGCUUUUGGUUGUCCUUGAAUUUUACCUUGGGGUGCCUUGGGAAUCCCCAAGCUUAGGCUCUUGCCACUCCUUAUUCCAAAAUCCAUCAAACCUUUACCCAAAAACUUGAAAACUUCACAACACAAGAUUUCAACAGAAAAUCUCAUGAGCUUCGUUAGUAUAUGAAAAUAAACCACCAUUUUAAGGUACUGUAAUGAACUCAUUCUUUAUUUAUAUUGGUGUUAAACCUACUGUAUUCCAACUUCUCUAUGGUUCAGAACCCCCGAUACUACUCAUAGAUUCAUCAAAAUAAGCAAACAACACACGAAAAACAGAAUCUAUCAAAAACAGAAAAAUCUGUAGCAAUCUGGAGAUUUUGAGUACUUCUAUAACUCCAAAAAUUCUGAAACAUUAGGACGACCAGGAUAAAAAGUAUAUUGAUCUACUUCAGUUGGAAUUGGUAUUGUAUCGCUCUCUAGUAAAAAAUGAUAAUUAUUUUCGAGAGCGCAUACUUUCUGUUUUUAUCAACAAGAUCAAACAACAAUCACCCAAGAAGAGUCUAAAGGCUUGACUUGGCACAAACACUAAUUAAAACAUAAAAACACAAUCAUAACAGAAGCUAGAUGAAUUAUAUAUUACUAAACAGGAAGAAAAAGCAAAGCACAAAAAUAAAAUUGGGUUGCCUCCCAACAAGCGCUAUAGUUUAACACCCCUAGCUAGGCAUAAAAACAAGAAUAGAUCUAGGUAUUGCCAUCUUUGAUAUGCAAUCCAUAAGUGGCUCUCAUAAUAGAUUCAUAAGGCAAUUUAAUUUUAUUCCUAGGAAAGUGUUCCAUGCCUUUCCUUAACGGAAAUUGGAAUCUAAUACUUCCUUCUUUCAUGUUAAUAAUUGCACCAAUCAUUCUAAGGAAAGGUCUACCAAGAAUAAUAGGACAUGUAGGAUUGCAAUCUAUAUCAAGAACAAUGAAAUCUACAGGCACAUAAUUCUAUUUGCAACAAUAAGAACAUCAUUAGUCCUUCCCAUAGGUUUCUUAAUGGCGGAAUCCGCAAGAUGCAAAUUUAAAGAACAAUCAUCAAAUUCAUGGAAACCUAGCACAUCACACAAAGAUUUUGGAAUCGUGGAAACACUAGCACCCAAAUCACAUAAAGCAUAGCAUUCAUAAUCUUUAAUCUUAAUUUUAAUAGUAGGUUCCCACUCAUCAUAAAGUUUUCUAGGGAUAGAAACUUCUAGUUCAAGCUUUUCUUCACAGGAUUGCAUUAAAGCACCAACAAUAUGUUUAGUAAAAGCUUUAUUUUGAUUGUAAGCAUGAGGAGAAUUUAACACGGAUUGCAACAAGGAAAUACAAUCUAUCAAAGAGCAAUUAUCAUAAUUAAAUACCUUGAAGUCCAAAAUAGUGAGUUCAUUGCUAUGUAAAGUUUUGACCUCUUCAAUCCCACUUUUAUUAAUUUUUGCAUCAAGAUCUAAAAACUCCAAAUCAUUGGGAUGCCUUUAAACUAAAAUUGACUCAUCUUCAGUCCCAUCUUUAUCAAGAUUCUAUUGGAAAACAAAGAUUUAAUAAGAGUCACAUCAAUCACUUUUAGAUCUUCAUCAUUAUUAUCAUGAAAACUAGAAGAACACGCUUUCACAAAGCAAUCUUUUUUGGCACGCACCCUAGCGGUUCUUUCUUUGCACUCAUCAAUGGAAAUUUUCAUGGAUUUUAGAGACUCAUUGAUGUCAUGCUUAGGUGGAAUAGAUCUAAGUUUCAAAGAAUCAACAUCAAGAGAAAUUCUAUCCACGUUCGUAGCCAACUCAUCAAUCUUAAGCAAUUUUUCUUCAACCAAAGCACUGAAAUUCUUUUGCAAACUCAUAAAUUCUUUAACACUAAUCUCAAAAUCAGAGGGCAUCUUAUUAAAAUUUCCAUAAGAGUUGUUGUAGUAAUUACCAUAAUUAUUAUAUGAGUUAUUAGGAAACAACAUAGACUAAAAGUUUCCUCUAUACGCGUUGUUACCAAAAUUGUUCCUACCAACAAAAUUCACAUCCAUAGAUUCAUUAUUAUUCUCAAUCAAAGUGGACAAAGGCAUAUCAUUAGGAUCAGAAGAAAUACUUUUAUUAGCAAACAAUUUCAUAAGUUCAUCCAUCUUUCCACUCAAAACAUUAAUCUCUUCAAUCGGAUGAACUUUUUUACUAGUGGAUCUUUCAAUGUGCCAUUGAGAAUAAUUAACCAUAAUAUUUUCUAAGAGUUUAGUAGCUUCUCCUAAAGUAAUUUCCAUAAAAGUGCCUCCCACGGCCGAAUCUAAAAGAUUUCUAGAAGCAAAAUUUAAUCCGGCAUAAAUUUUUUGUAUAAUCAUCCACAAAUUCAAACCGUGUGUAGGGCAAUUACGUAUCAUUAAUUUCAUCCCCUCCCAAGCUUUUGCAACAUGCUCAUGAUCAAGUUGCUUAAGAUUCAUAAUAUCGUUCCUAAGAGAGAUGAUCUUAGCGGGAGGAAAAUACUUAGAGAUAAAAGCAUCUUUGCACUUAUUCCAUGAAUCAAUACUAUUUUUAGGCAAAGAAGAGAACCAAGUUUUAGCACGAUCUCCAAGAGAAAACGGAAAUAGCUUCAAUUUAGCAAUAUCAUUAUCCACAUCUUUAUUCUUUUGCAUAUCACACAAAUCAACAAAGAUGUUUAGAUGGGUAGUGGCAUCUUCACUAGGAAGGCCAGAAAAUUGGUCUUUCAUAACAAUAUUCAACAAAGCGGUAUUAAUUUCAUAAGAUUCAGCAUCGGUAGUAGGAGCAAUCGAAGUGGUAAUAAAAUCAUUGUUGUUGGUAUUGGAAAAGUCACACAAUUUAGUAUUAUCUUGAGCCAUCGUGACAAACAAUCAAUCCAACACACAAGCACACAAGAAGCAGGCGAAAAGAGGCAAACGAAAGAGGGUCGAAGAAAAGGCAAAUGUUUUCGAAAAUCAUUUUAGAAGUGGGGGAGAGGAAAACGAGAGGCGAAUGGCAAAUAAUGUAAUGCUAGGGAGAAGAGUUUAUGAUGGGUACUUGGUAUGUCUUGACUUGGCAUAGAUCUCCACGGCAACGGCGCCAGAAAUCCUUCUUGCUACCUCUUGAGCAUGCAUUGGUUUUCCCUUGAAGAGGAAAGGGUGAUGCAGCAAAGUAGCGUAAGUAUUCCCCUCAGUUUUGAGAACCAAGGUAUCAAUCCAGUAGGAGACAACGCACAAGUCACCUAGUACCUGCACAAACAAUCAAGAACCUUGCAACCAACACGAUAAAGGGGUUGUCAAUCCCUUCACGGUCACUCACAAAAGUGAGAUCUAAUAAAGAUAGUAAAGUAAAUAUUUUUGGUAUUUUUGUUGUACAAAUUGGAAAGUAAAGAUUGAAAAAUAGUAAACGAGAUGAGAUGUAAAUAAAAGAGAUGCAAUAUAAUAAGAAAGAGACCUGUGGGCCAUAGGUUUCACUAGUGGCUUCUCACAAGAUAGCAUGUAUUACAGUGGGUGAACAAAUUACUGCCGAGCAAUUGAUAGAAAAGCGCAUAGUUAUGAAGAUAUCUAAGGCAAUGAUCAUGAAUAUAGGCAUCACAUCCAUGUCAAGUAGAUCGAAACGAUUCUACUACUAUUACUCCACACAUCGACUGCUAUCCAUCAUGCAUCUAGAGUAUUAAGUUCAUAAGAAUAGAGUAACACAUUAAGCAAGAUGACAUGAUGUAGAGGGAUAAACUCAAGCAAUAUGAUAUAAACCCCAUCUUUUUAUCCUCAAUGGCAACAAUAAAAUACGUGACUUGCUGCCCCUACUAUCACUGGGAAAGGACACCGCAAGAUUGAACCCAAAGCUAAGCACUUCUCCCAUUGCAAGAAAGAUCAAUCUAGUAGGCCAAACUAAACCGAUAAUUCAAAGAGACUUGCAAAGAUAUCAAAUCAUGCAUAUAAGAAUUCAGAGAAGAACCAAAUAAUAUUCAUAGAUAAUCUUGUUCAUAAAUCCACAAUUCAUUGGAUCUCGGCAAACACACUGCAAAAGAGUAUUACAUUGAAUAGAUCUCCAAGAACAUCAAGGAGAACUUUGUAUUGAGAAUCAAAGAGAGAGAAAAGCCAUCUAGCUAAUAACUAUGGACCCGAAGGUCUGUGGUAAACUACUCACACUUCAUUGGAGAGGCAAUGAUGUUGAUGUAGAAGCCCUCCGUGAUCGAUUCCCCCUCUGGAAGAUCGCCGGAAAAGGCCCCAAGAUGGGAUCUCACGGGUACAGAAGGCUGCGGCGAUGGAAAAGUGGUUUCGUGACUCUCUGGGAUGUUUCUAGGGUAUAAGAGUAUAUAUAGGCGAAAGAAGUACGUCGGUGGAGCUCCGAGGGCCCCAUGAGGGUGGGGGGUGUGCCUACCCCCCUGGGCGCGCCCUCCUGCCUCGUGGCUGCCUCGUGGAGUUCCGGACUUCGACUCCAGGUCUUCUGGAUUGCUUUUGGUCCAAGAAAGAUCUUCGCGAAGGUUUUAUUCUGUUCGGACUCCGUUUGGUAUUCCUUUUGUGCGAAACUCUAAAAUAGGCAAAAAAAAUAGAAACUAGCACUAGGUGUCCGGUUAAAAGGUUAGUCCCAAAAAUAAUAUAAAAGUUCAUAUUAAAGCCCAUUAAACAUCCAAAACAUAUAAUAUAAUAGCAUGGAUAAAUAAAAAAUUAUAGAUAAGUUGGAGACGUAUCAUGGACGCUCCCUGGGUACUUACAUGGGAAGAAGGAAGAAGGCCGGGGUAAUCGGCUUCAAUGGCCACUUCUGUGCCGUCGUAGCUCGCCUGAUAGAAGAUCCCCUCCUCGAGGUCCACAAAUAUAUCCGGAUCCUCCUGAAAUUCGGAAUCCAGAUCCCGAAUAUGGUCCUCCGGCUAUGGAGCGGAGCUAUAGAUCCCCGCGGUGGCCUUCCGCCAUUCCUGUUAAACGUGGUCGGGUUAAGAUCAACUAGUUGCGACUCAGGAAGAGGAUUGAGUGAGGUUCUGGAUUAAAAGCUUACCCAUCUAGGGGGUUGUACAUGGAAAAGCCCUCUUAGCACUUAAGGCGAGCAAAUUCUUCUUUCUCCCCUUUAUAAAGAUCAGCCAACAUGGCGGCCAGGGCGGCAAAGCUAUCCGGACCCUUGCGCCUAUAGCGAGAUGUAUCAUCCUCCCCAUUGUAGUUCCACAUGGGGAGUCCUCUGGAUUGGAGUGUCUGAACACCUCACGUUAUGGAAAUCGUCAUGACCUCAAUUAUGGAUAGUCCGGAUUGGGCGAGUAUUUUUAUCUUGUCCAUUAACUUCUUAACCUCCGCACUAUCUUCCUCCUCGAGGCUCCCUGGGCACCAGCUGUGGCGCUUUUUUAAUGGGGCACUGGAAAAUUUAGGUAGGCCUUGUUGAAUUGGGUCCGAGAGAACGACAUCUUCAAUAUAAAACCACUCCGAGGGCCACUCCUCGGAUGCCUUCUUCGGAGUGCCGGAUAGGUAUCCUGUCCCGGCUAUGCGCCAUACUUCGGCGCCGCCCACCUUGAAUAUGGAAAAAGCUUCCUCCAUAGCUCGAAAUGGGCCUUGCAGCCUAAGAAUAGCUCGCAAAGAGCGACGAAGCCCACGAUGUGUAGAAUGGAGCCCGGUGUGAGAUUGUGUAGUUGGAGGCUGUAGUACUCCAGGAUACCUUGGAGGAAAGGAUGGAUUGGGAAUCCAACGCCUCUUAAAAGAAAGGAAACGAACCACACUCGCUCCCUUCUGAAGGAUUCGGGAAAUUUUCUUCCAGGGCUUCGCCAGUAAAAGAAGUUAAUCCCGCCCGAACGGGAACUAGAUCCGCAGGGGGAGAUAUCCCUGCAACUGGAGCUUGGUCAGCUAGGCAUGGGAUACAGAGCAGCUCUCCUAGUCGCUUUUUUGAGAACCGUGGGGGCGGGAGGAAGAACUAGGAGCACUGGCCAUGAUUGCGUGGUUUCUUGUGGCCGGUUCGAAGGAUUUUCUCCUGAUAUGGAAUGUCAUCUAAGAUCUAAUCUCCUUAUAUAGACACCUUCCGUACGCUGUUAGGGGGUUAUCUAUAAAAACGCUUGGACCCUUCGUAUUCAUUUGCCACGUGGAAGCUGAGGUGAUGGAAGCACAGAAGCCGAAGGGUAUGACAUUUAAUGUAAAACCGAGCUGUUUGAAGAAUUCACGUUACCAAGACCGAAGAUGUAAGGGCCGAAUAUAGCCCUUCGGUUCAAAUGCUUUGAAGUAUUCGGUGGAGGAACCCGCCUUGCAAUGCCGAAAACAAUUUGCACACCGGACACAUCGUCAUUGAAGACUGGUUCAGGGGCUACUGAGGGGGUCCUAGAUUACGGAGUCCUCGGGUGUCCGGGCUAUGUGACGUGAGCCAGACUGAUGGGCCGUGAAGAUACAAGACGAAAGACUUUCCCCCGUAUCUGGAUGGGACUCUCCUUGGCGUGGAAGGCAAGCUUGGCAUGCGGAUAUGAAGAUUUCUUUCUCUAUAAACCGACUCUGUACCACCCUAGCCCCCUCUAGUGUCUAUAUAAACCGGAGGGUUUAGUCUGUAGAGCCAAUCAUAAUCAUACAUGCUAGACAUCUAGGGUUUAGCCAUUACGAUCUCAUGGUAGAUCAAUUCUUGCAACCCCUAUACUCAUCAAAGUCAAUCAAGCAGGACGUAGGGUUUUACCUCCAUCAAGAGGGCCCAAACCUGGGUAAACAUCGUGUCCCCUGCCUCCUAUUACCCUCGAUCCUUAGACGCACAGUUCGGGACCCCCUACCCGAGAUCUGCCGGUUUUGACACCGACAGCCAUUGCGACGUAGUUAGCUCGAAGGGUUUUAAAUGGGACAAAGAACACAGAGAGUUUACCCAGGUUUGGCCCCUCUCAAUGAGGUAAAAGCCUACUCCAGCUUUAGGUUGUAUUGCUUGGGUUUCGAUUGCCAGGGAGCGAAUACGCUUGACCUAGUUCUCGACUUGUUUUUUUAGUUAAGCCGCCGCGGGGUCACCCCUUUAUAUACACAGGUUGAUGCCCGGUGGCUUACAGAGUCCCGACCAACUUAUACACAACAUGUCCGGCUUAGUGACUAACUAAGCUUGCCUUACAAUACAAGUUAACCAUAUGGCGGUUCAUCCUUUCGGGCCUCAAGUCACCUCUGGGCCUUGGGCCUUCAACAGGCUUCUUUCAUGACCCGCCAUCUUCGCUAUUAACUCGCUAGCAGUAUGACCCGACCCCUCCUGGGCGGGUUAUACCCAAUAGUUAUAUCCCCAACAUUAGGCCUCAGGUUGAUUUGAACUUGUUCACAUCAAUCUUCAUCAUCUUGACUUAGCAAACUCUUCCAUAAUCACCUCAUAGUAACCUGCCAUGACAUCACCUCACAAAAAUUUGGUAACCCGCCAUGACGUCAUCAUGCAUUAAUUCACAUAGAGCCCAGUAUAUCUCAAUGGAUCUUUGUUUUAAUGGAUAUCCCAAAAAUCGAGCUGUUCGUAUGGCCUCAUAACCAUUUCCUGGCCUACUCGAUUCCCGCACAUGCCAUCAGAUCAUUGCCUUAUAAUUAGAGAGGGGGGGGUCCUUGUCUUCACUUUUCCUCCCCGCCUCCUCGUCUUCGUCUUCCUCCUUGCAACUCCUCUGCAGACCCGAGCUCCGCUGCCACCGACCUCCGUCAGCAGCAUCAACUCAGACCACUGCAUCAGCCUGACUAGACCAGAGAAUGCCGGCGCGCCACCGCUGUCCAUCAGCGUCUGUAAGUACUCAUCUUCUUAUACCUCAUAUCUGCAUUAGGGUUCGUUUUGUUCAUCGGUGUUCUUCACCAUACUUCAUUGUUCCUCCAUAGUGUCCCCAGUUUGAUCUGAAAACACCGUGGAAACCACAUGGAAGUAGUUUAACGCUCCUUUUCAAUCAUAGAAAAUAUCUUUCUUACACAGAAAUCCCUCAAGCACACCAGUUCCUCCAGUAUCGCAACCUUAGGUUUAGAUUUUACUUUCCUUUUUCAAACUGCGGUAGAUCCAAAACUAUAGAACCAAUCUGCAAAAUCUGUUUGUCGAUCACUUAGCAAAAUUUUCACUGAUAGAUCUGAAGUACCAUAACUGCCCUGGUGGCUUAUACCAUAAACCGUGACCCGCCAUAUAACAUUAGGCCCCAUUGAGCCGCCAGUAUGUGCUUCAUAACUUAUAACCUGAUAAUGUUCUUUUUAAACUUUAACUGGCUUUAACAACAUAAUUCUUAACCCGACAAUAUUUCGCCCUGUAGUUCACAAUGUCAAAAGUGAAAUCCGUCACCUCAUGCAACUGGGUCGUCUCUUAGGUCACCGAGGAAACUCUGAAUGAAUUUGUUCAAACAAGUGUCUUAGCCAAGAAAGAGGUCAUCCAUUGGAGGGUCCCAGGCACAGAAAACCCUCCUCAACCCAAGGAAGGCGAGGUUAUAGUUUUCACUGAUCAUUUGCUCUAGGGGUUCAGCCCUCCCGGCUCGAAGUUUUUCUACGACGUACUGAGCUUUUUUCAACUUCAUCCACAAGACAUAGGACCCAACUCUGUUUCAAACAUCUAGAACUUCCAAGUCUUCUAUGAAGUUUACCUUCAGCAAGAACCCACUGUAGAACUGUUCAGAGAGUUCUACUAUCUGAACCGCCAGACUGAAUUUACUGACGGACGCAAUUUAGAAUUGGGCGGUAUUUCAAUUCAAAGACGCAAAGAAGCCACUUUUCCAGCUGCCAAGCCGCUCAGUCAUCCUAAGGACUAGAACCAAACUUGGUUUUACUGCCAAGACACAUCUCCAGAGGGUGAGAAUCCUCUGUCGGGUUACCAUGUCAGCCGGCUUAGCAACAAGCACCCUCUUCCAGACUGCAUCAGUACAACGGAACAGAAAAAAUAUAUGCUCGUCUUUUCAAAGAUCCGAGCCUUAAUGGCCAAUGGCUUGACCGGAAUUGAUCUAGUUUGGUGCUGGGUUGCCUGGAGAGUUUUACCCUUAAGCCUCCACCCCGGUUUAAUGUGCAAGUACACCGGUGACUUAAAAGACCCACAACAUCACUUCCAGAUCCAAUUGACUGAUGAUGAUAUCAAUAAUAUGACCAAUACUCUAUUGAACAAGAGCUAGGCAUUUUGUAGCAAAGCCGAGCUGAAUCCUUUCUGCACUCUCAACAAGCCACCAGCUCUAAGCUUGUAAACAUUUUUUAGUUGAAUCAUAUUUUCACUUAAACUGUCUUCUUAUAACUGUUUGACUUCCACAUGUCGAUUCUCCUUUUUGGAAUAAGAAGUUGCAAGACAAGCCGACCAAGGCAACCCGACGAAGAAUAGGGCUCGGAAAAAGCCUGCCAAGAAAAAGACCAACACCUCCGAGCUAUUUGACUUGGAUGAUAAUGAUGAGUCGGAGGUAAAACUUAACUCCCUUGGCUUAUUUUUUGUACAUAUUAUUGAUAACGAUCACUAUCAGGAUGAUGCGAAAGGAAGCCAAGCCAAUGUUGAAGAGGUAACUAUCUUUUCCUCUGACUCUAAACCUCUGAUCAGACAGAAAGUGUGUCAAGCGAGCCAGAAAGUAAGGUUUUCUCACCCUUUAGCUUACUUGGAUCCCAACUUUAUUUUGAAGAAGCAUCAACAUGAAUCUCGUCGUACGAUCUAGAACAGUGGUGGUGGGAUUCUUUCCUCCAGCUUACCAAACACGCCGGCUCCUCGCAAGCGCCGACCAGAGGUUUCAAAUAUUUCCAACUUAGCAUAUCCCAAGGCGGGUCUUUUUAGACAACCUCUUAACCCUUCUGAUUCAAACUAUCAGGGGACUUAUCAUUCUUCCUCUAGGGACUCAACUAGGACUCAGGUCCCUCUUUUCAAGAUUGUGCCUGGGUAAGAAACAUUUAAGCCUAUUUGCUUUCAUUCAUGCAUUCAACUGUCAUAUCAAUCCUGUCUUAUGCUUUAUUUUUAGUGCUAUGGCCAAGCCCAGCAAAAAGCAAAAGGUUGAUAAACCGGCUGAAGAACCCAAGACUGUUGAUCCAUAGAAACACACCACCUCCGAGUCUUUGCAUCAAGCUUCAGGAGCAGUCAUGGAUGAUCCGCCACCAAAGGAACACCCUGUCACCUAGGAUGUCAUGGACAUUGAUCCGGAAAGUGAUAAGCCGCCCAGUCCCGCUCAACCGGCUCACGAAACUGAGGACAUAGUAAUUACUAGGACGACUUACAUGGCCCCAGGCAACCCCACUGUCCUAUCCAAGCACAACGCAAAAGAAGAACUUUCUGCUGUUGAUAAGGGCAAAUGGAAGUUGGACUUGGAGAGCUAUGCCCAAUUUAAUGCCCAGGAGCUUCACACGGGCUACUUGAACUGCCUCCACAUCAGCCGUGACUUUGAGGUUGGCUUGGUCAACCUCAUGAAGGAGUGUUUUAAGGUAAUCACUACAGUCUUCCAUAUAAACAAAUCUAUAUCAGCCGCCAAGUCUACUGGAUAUGAGAAUUGAAUAUGUCAUAGACUUUAAAUAACCUUUAGAGUCUUGCAUUCAUGCAUGACAUACCCAUUGUAGGAUCAAACAAGUAGCCCCCAAGGGUUGACUUAAACUGAGAAGUUAAGCCGGGCCUUCCAAUAGUAAUGAUCAACUUUGCACUUGUAGCCCCCAAGGAGCGACUUAAGCUGAGAAGCUAAACCGGGACUUCUCAUCAUAAUCAUGAAGAAAAUCCAAAUAUGAAUAGCCCCCAUGAGCCGAAUUAAAUCAUAUCAUUUUUUCCGGGUCAUCAUAGAAAUUAUCUUUAAAAGAGCAAUAGGCAUUAGCCCCCAAGUGCCAAGGAAAAUACUUGUAUUGUGCUUGGGACUUCAAAAAGAUGAUCAUAAUACCUUCCACUUUGUUCAUGUUGCAGGCUGAACUAAAUGUGAAGGAAUCCCAAGUCAAAGAUCUGAUGGCCAACAUUCAAACCCAACAAUCUGAGACUACAAAAGCCAAAUCAGAGUUGAAGACUUCAUUGCAAAGUAUUGAAAAACCGAAAGAAGACUUUAGUUCUAAUAAAACCGACUGGGAGACUGAAAGGGCAUUAUUGAAAAGAGCAGAGGAUGCCGAAGCAGCCCUUAAACUGGUAACUGAUGAGCUGUCCGGUUUAAAACAUCAAAUCAACAGCAUGACGUCGGCCAUUUUUGGUAAGUAGCAAAAAAUACUCUCUUUUACACCAGCAACAUAUCAUAAUCAUUUGUCGAUUUACCAAUAAUUUUACUGAUGCAGGCUCCCGAAGCUCCAAGCUGGGUCCAGACAUGCUCAUCAAGCUUAAGGCUAUCUACACUCUUGUGGAGCAGCUAUACACUGGUGCUCAACGGACAAUCUCUGCUGUUGUUCAUAAGAAACAACCACCUUCCCUCAUCAAGGAAACAUCGAAGAAGCUAUAUGUGCUGCCCCAAAGAAUUGAGUAACUCAAGUGAUCAGCCGCCAGAGCCGGCGCCAUCACUGCCCUAAGCUGGGCAAAGGCAUGGCAAGCAGAGCUUGACCCCCAAGAAAUAGCGACCGACUGUCCCAGUUUUAAAGAAGAUGGAUCUCCCUUCAGCGCCGCUGACUAUGCCAACAUCAUGAGGGUUGAUGCGUCCUAGGGAAAGUAAGUUGGCUGAAGAGACAUAUAUCUCCAAGUACCACCUGGUUUAUGAUGCUGAAAACUCAAAGGUGAAGGUGCCAGUUCAUCAGGAGGUGGAUCUCAUCCUGCCGACUCGUAAGCACACCUUCGCUCCUGACAUUGAUCCAUCAAGUCUUAUAGAUGAUGAGGCUGUGUUUAGAGCUUUGACCGGUAUCAACUAGGCUACACCUGACUUCCAACCAAUGGAUAACCAAGGAGAAGAAGAACCGAAACAAGAUGACCCAGAAGCCUCAACCCGCCAAGACCAGGAGUCAUGAUCCAUGAACCGGUUUAUCGCCUUCAGCAUUGGGAUGUCGUGCGUCUCAAAACACUGAUUCUUUUGUGUUCAUAUGAUGCCUUGUAAUAGGCUUAGUUGAAAAACCAUGAUCUGUCACGCCAUCGAGCGUGUUUAUUUGCAUAACACUUUUAAGCUGUCCGAGUUGAGUUGAAACUCCACUAUGUAUGCUCAUAACUUGUGUCAACCUUGCCGAUCAAGUUGUCAUUAGCCCUGCAUACAAGCAGAUAACAAAUGCCCUAGCGGUUUACCCCAGGGCGGGUCAUAAUGCCCCAUAAAAAAGCCACUGGUGACUAGAUCAUCCAUAACCAGGGCGGGGUUAUCAAAACCUCGUUUAUUCAUAAGUAAAUAACAUACCUGUAAUAUUUGUUCAUACCGCUGACUUACCAUGCAGUAAGGGUAACAACCCAAAGAUGUAGAGCACAAUGCCCUAUCCACAAAUUCAUAUUGUCGGCUUACAAUGUCAUACGCAGCAGAGGGUGUCAUCCCAAAUCUUAGAGCGUAGAACUCCAAACACAUAAUCAUGACACACUGGCGACUUAAUCGUCCAAAGCUAGGCCGGGUUAUCAAAACUCUGGAUAAAUUCAAAUAUGAAUCAUAAGGAUCAAAGCAACAUGGCCCGAACCAAUUUGUUAAACCAUAUAUCAGUAAACAAAGUUCAAAAACGAUAACAAAAAAUCAAAAUCAAGGCUUUCAUAGGCGGUCAGGCCUCAAUCAUUAAGUCCUUUUCAUGGGCUUGCACAACCACUAAGUUAAU